rnacentral:lncRNA from 1 species
ACAAGCAUCAGAACCAAGCAACACUAGUUAACACCAAUCCACCAUGAAGACCUUCCUCGUCUUUGCCCUCCUCGCCGUUGCGGCGACAAGUGCAAUUGCGCAGAUGGAGACUAGAUGCAUCCCUGGUUUGGAGAGACCAUGGCAGCAGCAACCAUUACCACCACAACAGACAUUUCCACAACAACCACUAUUUUCACAACAACAACAACAACAACUAUUUCCUCAACAACCAUCAUUUUCGCAGCAACAACCACCAUUUUGGCAGCAACAACCACCAUUUUCUCAGCAACAACCAAUUCUACCACAGCAACCACCAUUUUCGCAGCAACAACAACUAGUUCUACCGCAACAACCACCAUUUUCACAGCAACAACAACCAGUUUUACCUCCACAACAAUCACCUUUUCCACAACAACAACAACAACACCAACAGCUGGUGCAACAACAAAUCCCUGUUGUUCAGCCAUCCAUUUUGCAGCAGCUAAACCCAUGCAAGGUAUUCCUCCAGCAGCAGUGCAGCCCUGUGGCAAUGCCACAACGUCUUGCUAGGUCGCAAAUGUUGCAGCAGAGCAGUUGCCAUGUGAUGCAACAACAAUGUUGCCAGCAGUUGCCGCAAAUCCCCCAGCAAUCCCGCUAUGAGGCAAUCCGUGCUAUCAUCUACUCCAUCAUCCUGCAAGAACAACAACAGGUUCAGGGUUCCAUCCAAUCUCAGCAGCAGCAACCCCAACAGUUGGGCCAAUGUGUUUCCCAACCCCAACAGCAGUCGCAGCAGCAACUCGGGCAACAACCUCAACAACAACAAUUGGCACAGGGUACCUUUUUGCAGCCACACCAGAUAGCUCAGCUUGAGGUGAUGACUUCCAUUGCGCUCCGUAUCCUGCCAACGAUGUGCAGUGUUAAUGUGCCGUUGUACAGAACCACCACUAGUGUGCCAUUCGGCGUUGGCACCGGAGUUGGUGCCUACUGAUAAGGAAAGAUCUCUAGUAAUAUAUAAUUGGGUCACCGUUGUUUAGUCGAUGGAUAUGUCGAUGCAGCGGUGACAAAUAAAGUGUCACACAAUGUCAUGUGUGACCCGCCCAAACUAGUUGUUUAAAUUCUGAAAUAAAAUAAAAAUAAAGUUGUAUCAAGACAAUGUUCAUAUUGGCAUUGUGUGGAUGUCAAUCUGAUUGCCAUGCUUGCAAGUUCAUAAGUUUGUCUUUCCUUGUCACAAGCGCAACCUGGUGCCUUAAUUAAUUAUCAAUGUACUGGAAUAAUCACUAUUUAAAUAUAAUAGUGUCACUGUAAAAUUUGGGUUGAACUCUUUAUUGGUUGGAGAUUUGAGAUCUUGUUUUUUAUUGGUUUGUAUCUAGUACCAACUAGUACCACUGUCUACAGUGACAAUCACAACCAGUUUUGUUGCUAAUUAUGUUUGCUUUCUUGCAAAUACAUUCAUUGAUUCUUUGCAUGUCAAAUUAUUUGCCGAGAAAAAUACCAGCUUUUUCUUGAACUUCACAAACACCACUAGCUAGUUAAUUUGAAAUAAGCUGCCAAUUUAUUUCCUUGUAUUUAUGCCCUUUACAUCGAACCAGUACAAUCAUUGUGCUAGCUAGAGAAAAGGAGUUGCUGGCACGUUCAUGUCUAGAACUAAAUCAGACUGAAUUGAACUUGUUCUUUACAACUAGCUAGGAGCAGAAAACUUACUGUGAAUUGCACUUGAUUAUAUUUGAUUUUGUUUAAGAGCUACAGGGAAAAAUCAUCAAAAAAUGCCCUAAAAUAUCUUAUCGUAAAAUAGGUUCACCAGGAGAUACAGUCGCAAGAAAAAAAAGGCUCACCAGGAGAUAGAUGCUGCACAUUAUCAUUUAGAAAUUAGACCAAGAGAAAUGUGGAUUUGGCGGCUCAUAAUUCUAUAAGACUAUAACAGGUUGUCCAAUCAUUUAGAAAUUAGAUCAAGAAAAUGUGGAACUAAACAUAUUAAUGGCUAGGAUCAUAUUUGCACUGUGGGAACUUGGUAUGCGCGCUCCAACAUGCCCGUUGAAAGCAUUUUUUCCUCUGAUGCACAUAUGAAAUAUGACUGGUCGAAAACAGAAGAAACAGUGAGAUAAUAUGGAUGCUUGGAUGUUGUAACAAACAUAAACUUAUUAUAUAUAUAUCCAAUCCACCGAGCGGACGAACAUCCUAGGAGCUUUUCUCUCGGAGAUCGAAAAGAAACGAAAUGUCCACGCCAACUGCUUCUUCUCCAUCUGUAUAACGCGUGUAGGAGAAUUAUUUUGAUGAUUAUUUGAAGUGGCAUCCACAUAGAGUACAAAGCUAUUCAGCUAGAAAAGCCACAAAUGUACAUCACUUUUAGCCUACAUGACUGAACUCUGCUCCAUGACCUUCUUGAUUCAUGCGGCUCCUGAAUUCAUGUGAAUCGAAUCGCGGAAGAGAUAGGCUUUCAGGGUCAAUACCUCAUGUUCAUGGGAAGGCCGGAGAGGCUGCGUCGAUGUGCAGCCUGAACCCGAGGAGGAGCUCCGUGUCGGUGUCAAAACCGGCGGAUCUCGGGUAGGGGUCCCGAAUUGUGCGUCUAGGAUCGAUGGUAACAGGAGACGGGGGACACGAUGUUUACCCAGGUUCGGGCCCUCUCUAUGGAGGUAAUACCCUACUUCCUGCUUGAUUGAUCUUGAUGAAUAUGGGUGUUACAAGAGUUGAUCUACCAUGAGAUCGUAAUGGCUAAACCCUAGAAGUCUAGCCUAUGUGUAUACGGUAAUGAAUGUCCCCUAUCCGGACUAUGCUCUCCGGUUUAUAUAAACACCGGAGAGAUCUAGGGUUACAUGGAGUCGGUUACAUAAGAAGGAAUCUUCACAGCUGGUCACCUAGCUUGCGUUCCACGCCAAGGGAAGUCCAAUCCGUACACGGGUGUAGUCUUCGGCCUUCGUAUCUUCACAGCCCAUCAGUCCGGCCCAAUGAAUAAUAGGCCGGACGCCCGAGGACCCCUUAGUCCAGGACUCCCUCAGUAGCCCCUGAACCUGGCUUCAAUGACGAGGAGUCUGGCGCGCAGAUUGUCUUCGGCAUUGCAAGGUGGGUUCCCUCCUUCCGAAUUCCGGAAUAGUCUUCGGAUGCAGUAGAUAUAUUUGGACCUGUGUAUAUAAUUGCAAAAAAUACAAUAUUCCACGAGUCUAAUUUGUUGAUAACUGUUUACAACAUCGCAUCACGCCUGCCCGGUUACUAUUUCCAACCGUUGGCUGGCACGUCGCCCCACGUCUCGGGACGCGGUUUUACUGGCACGUCUUGCCAAGGCAGAGAUCGUGUUCCCUUAUUCACGGGACUUUCAUUAAUGCAAGCGUGGGUAACCCAACCGUCCCCUGGGUACAACUCUCUGGGGAUAGGUAAGUUUCGAGACCCAGGUGGAUACCCUUAGUAUUUGGGGUCUUUAUAUAGGGCCCCAGACUCGUCUUCUUCCUUUGCGCUUGCUUCUUCCUCAACCCUAGCCACCCCAAGUUCCAACCCUCGGGUUCCCAUCGCCACCAGCCCUAAUCAUGUCCGAAUCCAGCCGUCAAGGCCGGUGGGUGGCUUCUUCUAUCACAGAGGAGGAUAUUGCAAAGCUCUGCGCAGUGAGGUAUCUGACCCCGGAAAUCCUUCAUCAGCUUCCUGCACAGGGGCAGGUCGUUCCUACCCCCAAAUCCGGCGAGAGGGUAGUGUUUGUGUCCCACUUCCUCCAUGGGUUAGGUUUCGCGCUUAACCCCUUCGUCCGGGGGCUCAUGUUCUACUAUGGGCUAGACUUUCACGAUCUAGCCCCGGACUCUAUUCUUCUCAUCUCGACAUUUAUCGUCACGUGUGAGGCCUUCCUUCGGACUCCUCCGCACUUUGGUUUGUGGCUCAAGACCUUUGAUGUGAGGCCGCAGGUGACAGAGGAGGAGCAGGCAGAGUGUGGCAGCGUCACAAUAGGCAAGCUUGCCAGCGCGGUUUGGUUUGAAGGAUCUUUCACCAAGUCUUCCGACCUAUGGCAGCACGGGUGGUUUUAUAUCAACGAGCCGCGGGGCUCCAAGUGGGAGGCUACGCCUGCGUUCCGACCCGGCCCUCCAAUUCAGCUCGCUUCAUGGAUCAAUAAGGGACUGGACUGGGGAUCCGUCAAUGAAAUGCAGACUCUGCAAGGUCGCAUCCGAAGCCUUACCAAGAAGGGCAUCGGUCUUGUGAACGUCGUUCAAGUAAUGCUAGUCCGCCGGACCCUGCCAUGUCAGCGGCGGCCUCUCCGUAUGUGGGAGUUUAAUUCAGAAGGGCAGCGGCCUCUUCAGCACUUCUUCGGCACCACGCACGAAGGAAUGUGGAAAUUAUAUUUCGGGGAACGAGAGCAAUGGCCGGACACCACCGAAGAUGUCGGCCUUGACUGCAAUCAUCCAGACACCGCGGUAAGUACUCAAACGCUGAACACAUUCAAGCAUCUCUUGACAACAUACUGAACAAUCCGUCCCUAUACAGGACUGGAUAAAGAAAGCAGUGUUAAUCUGGUGUCCGGCGCCCCUUCCCGAAGACUCUGCGACCGCCCUGCUGACGAGAAUGCUGAUUCCCACACCGUACCAGGUUUCUGCGGAGGAGGGCGAGAGCGGGGAACCCGAAGGUGAUACCCGCCCUGAGGACGAAUUAGACAUUGUGUUCGGGGAAACCGAAACUCUUUUGCCCAAGGGCAAAGGUGCGGAGGAAGCUCUCCAUGGCAAAAAGAGGGCUGCUUCCGAAGAUCAGGAGGGGAAGCCUUCCAAGAGAGGAAAAAUGCCAUCGUCGGGCAGUUUGGGCCGGCCAAGCGAUGCUGCCGUAAGGCUUUCUGGCGAGGACGAACCUCUGGCCAAACCGUAAGUGAGGCUGGGGCACUUUAAACAUACCUCAUUCUUUUCCUAUUAGUGAAGUAAUCAUCCGACAUAUGCACAUCCACGUAGGUUAACGCCUGGUGUUUCUCAAUCAUCCUCCUCCUCGGGAGACCUUCUUCCGGAGAUGAUGGAGAGUGACACGCCAUCUCCGGCUUCUUCGCGCAACAGGGGGGAUGAUACCGAGGUAUCGUCCCGAAGGGCUCCUCCCCAUCGUCAAGCGGUGCAGGAAACGGAGAAGGCGUUACCCGAAGGUGGUGCCUCUGUCACCCAGGGUUCGGGAAUCAAGAAUGACGGCCCCGAACCAUCCGGUUUACAGCCGGAGAUGAUUCUGGGGGAGAAUAAGCAGAUUAAUUCAAAGGAAUGCCGUACUCCGGCGGCGGUUUCCGAAGACCCCGGAGCGCCGGAAAUGUUGACGGACAUGCUGCGGCGAGCGUCCAUUUCAGAGAAGCACCAUGCCUUGAUGGUUACGGUGGUCGAAAAGGUUCUAUCCGCGAAAAGCGGAUUGAACGAGGCCUUCUGGAGCCUUCUAAGAGGUUUUGAGGUUUGUGAUGUAGUUUUGCCAAUUGAAUGAUUUUGACAGAAUGCACUUGUUGUAUAUGCAGUAGCCCCUGAGACUCGGAUUGCCUUCCGAAGGAAGCGAUCGGAGGAUAAAAAAGAUAUGCUCAGUUACUAACCUUGAAUCAACUUGGAAUACAGGCUGCCUCGCCUCCUGCGGCUACCCGAAAUACGGAAGUGGCCGAACUGCAGCGAAAGCUGAAUAUUGCAGAAGAUGACAUUGCAUUGAUCAACAAGCGUCUUGACGACUCGCAAGGUAUAUAGUUCGAGCAUUCCUUACACGAAUGUUCUUGUAAUGUAGGCCUGACGCCGAAAAGGGUUUAAUGUGCAUGAUUGCAGAUGGUGUUCCCUCCGUUGAAGCUCCUUGUGAGGAGCUAGCCCGGCCCAAGGAGCAGGCCCGGUGUAGUGAUGCGGCUGCCGAGAAGGCAUCGGCUGAUCUAAGAGCCGAAUAAGCAGCUCGGCGCCGAAGUGAGGAGAAAAUAUCCGCACUGGCGCUUGAAUUGAAGAAUACUGCCAGCCACUGUGAAUUCCUUGAGAAGGAGAAUAAAGCCAAAAUGGCUGAACUUGAUAAGGCCGUUCGAGAGGCGAGUGAAGCUCGGUCUGAAUCUAGGGCAGCUUGGGAAGAGAUUCGGCAGGCUAAGGAGAUAGCGGCCGGUAAGCCCUUUUUGCUUCAGACUAAGUUUGGCGAUCCGGACUAUGCUCAGCUAAACCAGGUCUGGAGUUCUCCGACUGAAUUUUUGGACUUGCCGAAGAGUUCUUCCAAUGCAGCGCAAUUUUACCAAGCGCAAGAGGGGUAUGCGAUGGAGAAGCUUUUCUGGUCACAAUUUGGCGCCUCAAAGCGCCCUCUGUUGCUAAAUGAACAGAUGUCCCAGUGGGCCGAGCUUCAUAGGAUAUCCGGCGACGCCAUGAAGAACGUCAUAAUCCGGUUGUGGCCGAGUGAGCCUGUUCCCAAGAGCUAUUUUGGCCUGGUGCGGCGUCUUGUUGAUGCUGUGCCGCGUAUCGAUGCUGCGAAGCGGUCGGCAUGCACUGAGGGUGCACGGAUGGCCUUUGCCCGAGUCAAGACGUUCUGGGGGAAGAUGAAGGCCAUCGAUGUUGCGGCGAAGGGUCCGCCCAAGGGCAAGGACCGUAAUGAGCCGGAGCAUUAUUUUGAAGACGUCCUAGAAGCCGCCCGCCUGAUAGAGGGUCAAUGCUCGAAGAACAUAAUGUUCGAGUGAGGUGUAUUAGAAUUGUAAAAGACAAUUUUAUGAUUGAUCUAUUUUAUAUUUUUGCUCCAAAGCUUGAAUUCCUCCUCUGCGGCCGUUUUAAUAUAAUAUGAAAGUUUUCCAGUCGUCGGCUUCAGCCCCCUCGUAGGAAGUACGGGGGUGUUCGAAAAAACAUUUAAUCACUCUUUGUCCAAUGUCUUGGUCCGUAAAGGAGGUGAUAAUGCAGCGAACCAGGCAAUCGGACUAUAAGGCGUUAACACUUUCACUUAGCCAUAGGAGUUUUAUGGUGGGGCUACGACAUUGCCCCUGGUGUGUAUGCGGCGUAUAAUGCCUUGCAUAUUUGAUCUGAAAAAGAUCCCUCGUAUGACACGGAGAAUCGCUAAGGAUUCCAAGAAGUCGUCAAGUGGUUAAUCAGCUCUCGCCGCAUCAUGACAGUCAGUUUUCGGCUUUCUCUACUGAGGUGCUCGUCCGGUUUAGAACAGGGCACAAUCGCAGUAGUUCUCCCUUUACUACCCUAGCCGAUAGAGCGGAACGUAGGGUAGCAAGCACAGGAGCCGGGCAACCCAACUAUUGACCCAAGACAAUGAUUCGGAGCUGAUGCAUAUAAGGCCAAACUUGCGACGCCCAAGUACGCUAUAGAGUUGUUGGGACUUUUGCUGGCAACUCUUUCGUUCCCAUACCGAGCCCCUGGCAGGGUAUGCCGAGGUGUAUCUGUAACGCAGCCAUUGAGGCCGUACUCAUUGUUGCAAGAGUAUGAAAGAUUAGUUCGGACGAGGUUUACUGGGAACGGAGCAAUAUGCCAAUGACGAAUUUAAAAAUAAUAAAAAAGAAACCACAAGCCCGGCUAUUUGACAUGCUCGGGGUCGGGUACAGAGGAAAAAAAGGCUUAAUACAGGCUCGGAAUAAAGAGUGUGGUCUACAAAAAGUUAUUUUGGACCUCCUGUCGCACGUCUGCGCCGCCCGUCCUCGGGGAGGGGAAUCCUUAAGGGAAGUAGCCCCUUAGGUGAGUGUACGGAUCCGAACUCCGAUAGAGUCCGUUGUAGAUGCUGUCAUGUUGGUCACCUGUUCUUAAGAAAUGAUACAGAAAAAUAAGAAAAACGGAUAAGAACGUUACAGGGAUUCUUGCAGGCUUGUCCAUAUUGUGCUUCCGCCGAUGCCCAUGGUAUCUUGAGUGCGUAGUGAUGUAUGCGUGGUGUGAAUCUCGCCGGUAUGGUAGGUGGGUGGCGGAUGCCGAACUGCUAUUUCUGUUCCGAGAGUGGUCGAACUUCGGAGGGAAACUGCUUCUGGCCCCUGAUAUUCGGCUGGCGAAACGCUCCGUUGUCUUUAUCGCCUGGUGGCCUCCUCCCCUUGCUAUCGGCGUUGAGCUUGCCUGCCUGCUUGAGGACCCAACAAUUUCUGUUAGUAUGGUUAGCUGGCUUAUCAGGAUGACCAUGAAUCUGACAAGGUCGGUCCAAUAUUCUGUCAAGGGUGGAUGAUCCAUCCUGGUUUGCCUUUAGUGGCUUCUUCCAUUGACCGGGUUUCGAAUUGUGAAAUUCGGCGUUGACCGCUGUGUCGCGUAAUCCUUCAGUAUUAUUGCGACUGUUGUGUUCGGUUCGUCGAGGCUUACCGUUGCCGUCUUGAAUUUCGGAAGUGCCCGGGUCACUGGCGUUGUUGCUCUUACGAGCGAGCCAGGUGUCUUCUCCCGCACAAAAGCGAGUCAUCAGAGCGGUAAGGGCUAUCAUGGAUUUGGGUCCUUCCUGGCCGAGGUGACGCGCUAGCCAUUCAUCCCGGAUGCCAUGUUUGAAGGCUGCGAGGGCUUCUGCGUCCGGACAGUCGACAAUAUGUUUUUUUUUUUGACUAAGAACCUAGUCCAGAGCUCCCUGGCGGACUCGCCGGGCUUCUGGACAAUAUGACCAAAGUCAUCAGCAUCUAGUGGCCGGACAUAUGUUCCCUGGAAGUUGUCUCGAAAGGCGUCUUCCAAGUCUUCCCAGCUACCAAUAGAAUUUUCUGGUAAACUGUUUAGCCAGUACCGGGCUAGCCCUUUAAGCUUGAGAGGUAUGUAUUUAAUGGCAUGAAGGUCGUCUCCGCGAGCCAUGUGGAUAUAUAUGGAGGAGGUAAUCCUCAAUCCAUACCGCGGGAUCUGUUGUUCCAUCGUAUGAUUCGAUAUUAAUGGGUUUAAACCCGUCUGGAAAUUCAUGCUCCAUUACCUCGUCGGUGAAGCAAAGAGGGUGUGCGGCUCCUCUAUGUUGAGCCACACUAUGAAGCACCUCCGGCGGACUCUGUUUACGGAGUUCGGAUCGAGCGUGGUCGGCUCUGUUGUGUCCGAAUAGGUGACCAUCAUUACGGUCGGGGCAUGUCCCCGCGAUCUGUGUAUUGACUUCGUGUGUCAUGUUCUACCCUCCAGGUCCUUGGAUGUCGCGAGUGUUCCCCCGAGCUGUGUUGUUCUUGUUUUGAUGGCCGGAUGGGUUGGUAUGAUGCUCUGCUUGGGCUACUGCUUUGUCCGGACCGAACUGUGGUCGGCCUACAUCCUUAUUCGAUGGUGGUGUGGGCUUCAACGCCCUGCCAUCGUAUUGAGGGGGCCACCUGCUGUUGGGGUGGCUCUUGUCUGGGCCAAUAAGGCCGUAUUGUUCGGCGGCCAAGACCUCGGUCCAUCUAUCAUUGAGCAAAUCUUGGCUCGCUUUAAGCUGCAGCUGCUUCUUUCUUAGGCUCCUUGCAGUGGCUAUGAGCUGGCGUUUAAAGUGCUCCUGCUCGAGAGGUUCCUUAGGCACGAUAAAAUCCUUGUUGUCGAGGAUCUCCUCUUCCUCGGAGAGUGGGAGAUAAUUGCUAUCCUCUGAGUCUCCAUAUGUUACCUGUUCAUCAGGGUUGUCUUGCCCGCCUUCCUGUUCCUCCUGUUCGGAUCCUACCUCAACAGGGUCUUCAUCGUCCGGAGUGUUGUCUUCUCCGGUGCAAGUGUUAUUUUCUCUUGAGCGUCGUGACUUGGAGCGGCGCAAGGCGCGCCGGUGUUCGGACUAUGCACCAGGAGGCUUAUCCUCAAUUGGAUCCUCCUUGUCAUCGUCGAAAGCAUCGUUGGGUGUGUCUAUCAUACACACGUCAUACCAUGAAGUGGUCAUCCCGCGUCUAGCGGGUAGUGAGUUCUGGCCUUGCCCCUCAUCGUCGUCCGUACCGUCGAUGUCUUCAGGGCCGAGGUCAAGCGUGUUGGUUGGGUCUUCGACAGUGGCUAUGAAGUGGGUGGUGGGUGGGAAGCAAAAUUCUCCAUCAUCAGCCGUAAGUUCGAGCCGAACAUAGUUCAGUGGCGAGUCGCCUACCAGAGAUAGGUUUUUUAGUGAGUUUAGUACAUCGCCCAUGGGCGAGUGUUGGAAGACGUCUGCGGCGCUGAACUUGAAGAUCGAUAACCGAUCGAGUUCGGCAUCUGCAGACUCGCAAGGUUCGGAACCUGUCGCCGGGGACGAAUCCGGGGUUCCGCUGAUGCGGAUAUCAUACGCAGUAGAAUCUGUGUGCGGCUCGAACGCCGCCGAAUCGGUAGCCCUCGUGAUGGGGUUGAGCUUCCCAUCCCGGGACGACUUGAUCUGCUCCGGAUCUAAGGCCAGAGUUGCUGUAGGAGCUAUCUCCUCGAUGCGGCCCAAUGACAGGUUUAAGCCAUGUCCAUCGAGGCGGCGGGAGCGAUUGCCGCGGUCUUGAAUCCGUCGAAGAUCAAGUCUCCACGGACGUCCCCAACGUAGUUCAAGCUUCCGAAUCUGACCUGAUGGCCAGGGGCGUAGCUGUCGAUCUGCUCCAGAUGGCCAAGCGAGUUGGCCCGCAGUACGAUGCCACCGAACACGAAGAUCUGUCCGGGGAAAAAGGUUUCUCCCUGGACAACGUCACCAUCGACGAUUGAAGGGGCCAUCGAACCUUUUGUCGACGGCACAGUGGAACUCUCAAUGAAAGCACCAAUGUCGGUGUCAAAACCGGCGGAUCUCGGGUAGGGGGUCCCGAACUGUGCUUCUAGGAUCGAUGGUAACAGGAGACGGGGGACACGAUGUUUACCCAGGUUCCGGCCCUCUCUAUGGAGGUAAUACCCUACUUCCUGCUCUAUUGAUCUUGAUGAAUAUGAGUGUUACAAGAGUUGAUCUACCACGAGAUCGUAAUGGCUAAACCCUAGAAGUCUAGCCUAUGUGUAUAUGGUAAUGAAUGUCCCCUAUCCGGACUAUGCUCUCCGGUUUAUAUAGACACCGGAGAGAUCUAGAGUUACAUGGAGUCGGUUACAUAAGAAGGAAUCUUCACAGCUGGUCGCCUAGCUUGCCUUCCACGCCAAGGAAAGUCCAAUCCGGACACGGGUGUAGUCUUCGGCCUUCGUAUCUUCACAGCCCAUCAGUCCGGCCCAAUGAAUAACAGGCCGGACGCCCGAGGACCCCUUAGUCCAGGACUCCCUCACUCGGAGACCUUCUUGUGGGGACCAUCUACGAGAGGAAGUAAAGAGGGAGAUCAGAAGAGGAUACAUGAGAGGUUAGGGUGGGGAGGAGGCUGCGCCGGCGAGCGGCCACGGCUCAAGGCGGUCCGGCCGACGAGGAGGACGAACAAGGGAGAGGAAGAUGCAGAUCGGCAAACUGUGGGUUGGGCUUAUGACGUUGGGUUCUCACAAAACUAUAGCCCAUUUCGAAUUUGGUGCCCGUGACGACACACACACAACGCUUAUGUUGGGCCUAAUCACUCACUUCCAGCCCCCAACUCUGAUUUCCCCCUCAAAGAAAAACAAAACUUCAACCCUUCUCACUCCCCAUGAUCACAACAACAACAACAGAAAUAUCUAUAUGCAAGAUCAGGAAAUAUCUAUAAGGGGCAUUCAGAACACAUGUGACCUAAUCGCUAUAACAGCUUGAUAUUAUGGUGGGAUAGACAUAAACUGGUUCACGAAGGAAAGUUUCAUGAUGCAAACCAAAAUUCAAGGGGAGCACGUGCUAUAAUGGCAAACUAUGUUAAUGCCUACUCCCCUAAAGCAACUAGUAAAACAGGGGGAUGGAGUAUCCCUUCUAGGGUUUUUGUGAAGCUGAAUAUUGAUGUAUCUUUUCAUCAUGGUCUGCUUCAGGGUACAUCGGGGGUUAUUCUUAGACAUUACAAAGGCAGGCUCAUUGUCGGUGGAAACUGGAGGAUAGAUUGUCGUGCGGAUGUAUUAGCAGCAGAAGUUGUGGUGCUAAAGUUUGGGUUAUUCCUUGCACAGAAGGCGGAUUGCAAUCGUCUUGUUGUUAACUCGUACAGUACAUAAGUGAUUGACACAAUAAAGAAUGGAUGACACUCGACCGGAGCGGCGGUUGUAGUUUUCUAUGAUUGUUAAUUUUUGGGCUUGUGAUUUUUCUUUUAUUAGAUUUGAACUUUGUAAUAGGGAAGUAAAUAAGAUGGCAAAUGAAAUUGCUAGGCCAGCGAAAUUUUUUGUCACUAGUGAUUGGUUUGAGGAGUGAAUGAGAUUGUGCCUUUUUUAUUGACAAUGUAACAGUUGUUUCUAAUAAAUAAAGUUGAAGUUUUAUUGAAAAGGACAACAACAAGAAAAAAUAUCCUCAUCUUGUCCCAAGGGAUCUGAAACCCCAGUAUCCUUGCAUCUUUCUUUUGCAUGGCAUGUACAUAAGAUUUUCUUUGUUAGUAGCAUGUGUUGUUGGCGGUGGCGGCAUGAUGUUAGAGGUGACAUGUGUGGACGGAUGAUUGUUUCGACUCCAUUUAUUCUUAGGGCCUGUACAAUGCUAGGUGUUCAGCGAAGUGCUUAGAAAAAUAAACUGAGUUUUUAAAGCAUUUUUUAAGCACCGAUGUCUAUUUCUAAUGAUGAGAGACACCUAAUUAGACGUUUACCCUAUACAAAUAAACGUCGAUGCUUUAAGAAAUACUGAUUUAUUUAUCUAACAACCUUUCUUACGCACCUUACAUGGUAAGGUUCGAGAGCUAGUGGCGUCUUGGUUUCUCUUGUUUCUGUCACAUCAAUAUCAUGCUUUGGAUAUAUUCCAGUGCCCUUUUAUUGAUCACUGCCUAUGGCCAUUGAAAUGAGAUCUGGGACUCGGCCAGCUGCAAGAUACCUCUAGAAAGCGAAUUUCCUCUGACGCACAUAUGAAAUAUGACAGUACAAAAUAGAACAAACACUAAGAUUAGACAGAUGAUUGGAUGAUGUAACUAACUUAGACAUCGCUGCACCCAGGACGGACUUUCUUCUCAGACAUCAGAGAGAAACUGAGUGUCCAUGCUGUCAGAGACGCUGGCCAUUGGGCGUUGUCAGUGACUUUAGUCUCGCCUCGGAUAUGGGAGGGGCUAGAACCACCUUAUAAGGAGGAGUGCCACACUCCCUUCAGGCUAGUCUUUUGCGAUGUGGUGGACUCUUUGCUUAUAGUGGUGUGUCUGAUGCACACCGGAAACGUCCGAACAUAUGCCGAAGGUUGGGAGCCGGGCCUGGGACGCUAACAAUUGGUAUCAUAGCUGGGCCCCAGUCUGCCCUGUUUUAGGGGGAUGAGGUGUCAGAGACGCUGGCCAUUGGGCGUUGCCAGUGACUUUAGUCCCACCUCGAAUAUGGGAGGGGGCUAGGACCACCUUAUAAGGAGGAGUGCCACACUUCCUUCAGGCUAGUCUUUUGGGAUGUGAUGGACUCUUUGCUUAUAGUGGUGUGUCCGAUGCGCACCGAAAAUGUUCGAACAUAUGCCAGAGGUUGGGAGCUGGGCCUGGAACGCUAACACAUGCCAACUGCUUCUCCUCCACUCCACCUGCAUAGCACGCAUAGGAGGAAAUUUGAUGAUUAUUUGAAGUGAUAUCCACAUAAAGCACAGAGUUACUCAGCUAGCAAAGCACCUAUGUACAUCACUGUAUGGCUACCCAACUGAAAAUUCUGCUUCCUGACCCUCCUGAUUCAUGCGGGUGGCAUGGAGAUGGGUACGCCUCUCGAAUCCAUGUGAAUCGAAUCGUUGGAACAGAUGGACGGACAGGGUCGAUACCUUGUGUAGAUGGGGAGGGGAGGCCGGAGUGGCUGCCGUCGACCGACGUACGGCCCGCAGCCGACGGAGGAGCUUCAAAAGUGACCUUUUUGUCGAGCGAUGGCGGUGGUGGUGGGGUGCCGGAUGCGGAGGGUGGUGGGAAGCCGGAUGCGGAGGGUGGAAGGAAGGCUGACGCCUCCGUCGCCGCGGACGUACGAGGAGCGGCCGCGAGCGGUGGGGUCCGGGAGAGGCUGCGCCGGCGAGCGGUCCGGCCGGCGAGGAGGACGGGGAAGGGGAGACGAAGACGACGCAGAUCGGCGGAGUGUGGGCUGGGCUUGUGACGUUGGGGCCUCCGAAAACUAUAUCCCAGUUCGAAUUUGGUGCCCUAACACACAACUCUUACGUUGGGCCUAAUCACUCCCUCCUGGCUCCAUCUAUCAUUCCCCAAAAAAAAUCCUUCACACAUAGAUGGAACUGAUGAUUCUCAAAAGAAAAAGAGAUGGAACUGAUUGUGUCAUGUCUUAAAAAAAAGAUCGAACUGAUUGUCUAAAAAAAACAUAGAUGGAACUGAUGAUUUAUCUCCGAAAAAAAGAUGGAACUGAUGAUGACGUGUCUAGAGUUAGGACCGGAUAUAUGUUAGUAGGAGUAGCUUGUAAGAAAUUACCAUCCUUUACAUAUAACGGGAAUUCGAUGAGUCAUGUCAUGCUCUAGAGGCGUCAGUUCAUCUUAUCAUCUUAGAGGAAACUACAAAGUUAUUUUUAUGAAAAGCAACCAACUCUAGAAGAACCCUCCACACGCAAGGCUUUAAUAAUCGAGCAUAUCUUAACAGCCCACACACGAUUGCAAACUUAGUCCUACACAAGCUUUGCCUUUCUUCUUUACGGCUGACAGCCUAUACAAGGUUUCAAACUCGGUUGCAAAAGUGAUACUAUCCUGAUAAGUGUGUGACAUGUAAAGUGAAUAAGGUGAGUCAUAUAUAGCAAACAUCGGGGUUUCUGUACUUUGUGUGUGAUCAUAUGCACAAUUAAAAAGCAACUUUGAUGAUCAAUCCAAAAGUACGCGUGUAGCUAGUGCAACCUAACGCAUUGUACCAAAAAUCAUUUCAGAUGCAUCCAAACGGAAUAAUUAAAGCUAAUGCAAAGAAGAAAAGAGGUGGUGCCCAGGCUACUAUAAAUAGGCAUGAAGUAUAAAGAUCAUCACAAGCACAAGCAUCAAAACCAAGCAACACUAGUUAACACUAAUCCACCAUGAAGACCUUCCUCAUCUUUGCCCUCCUCGCCGUUGCGGCAACAAGUGCCAUUGCACAAAUGGAGAAUAGCCACAUCCCUGGUUUGGAGAAACCAUCGCAGCAACAACCAUUACCACUGCAACAAACAUUAUCGCACCAACAACAACAACAACCUGUCCAACAACAACCACAACCAUUUCCACAACAGCAACCAUGUUCACAGCAACAACAACCACCAUUAUCGCAGCAACAACAACCACCAUUUUCACAACAACAACCACCAUUUUCGCAGCAACAACAACCAUCAUUUUCGCAGCAACAACAACCACCAUUUUCACAGCAACAACCACCAUUUUCGCAGCAACAACAACCAGUUCUACCGCAACAACCAUCAUUUUCGCAGCAACAACUACCACCAUUUUCACAGCAACAACCACCGUUUUCGCAACAACAACAACCAGUACUACCGCAACAACCACCAUUUUCGCAACAACAACAACCAAUUCUACCGCAACAACCACCAUUUUCGCAACAACAACAACAACCAGUUCUACCGCAACAACAAAUACUAUUUGUUCAUCCAUCUAUCUUGCAGCAGCUAAACCCAUGCAAGGUAUUCCUCCAGCAGCAAUGCAGCCCUGUGGCAAUGCCACAAAGUCUUGCUAGGUCGCAAAUGUUGCAGCAGAGCAGUUGCCAUGUGAUGCAACAACAAUGUUGCCAGCAGUUGCUGCAAAUCCCCCAGCAAUCCCGCUAUGAGGCAAUCCGUGCUAUCAUCUACUCCAUCAUCCUGCAAGAACAACAACAGGUUCAGGGUUCCAUCCAAACUCAGCAGCAGCAACCCCAAGAGUUGGGCCAAUGUGUUUCCCAACCCCAACAGCAGUCGCAGCAGCAACUCGGGCAACAACCUCAACAACAACAAUUGGCACAGGGUACCUUUUUGCAGCCACACCAGAUAGCUCAGCUUGAGGUGAUGACUUCCAUUGCGCUCCGUACCCUACCAACGAUGUGCCGUGUCAAUGUGCCGUUGUAUAGAACCACCACUAGUGUGCCAUUCGGCGUUGGCGCCGGAGUUGGUGCCUACUGAUAAGGAAAGGUCUCUAGUAAUAUAUAGUUGGAUCACCGUUGUUUAGUCGAUGGAUAUGUCGAUGCAGCGGUGACAAAUAAAGUGUCACACAACGUCGUGUGUGACCCGCCCAAACUAGUUGUUUAAAUUCUGAAAUAAAAUACAAAUAAAGUUGUAUCAAGACAAUGUUCAUAUUGGCAUUGUGUGGAUGUCCAUAUGAUUGCCAUGCUUGCAAGUUCAUAAGUUUGUCUUUCCUGGUCACAAGCGCAACCUGGUGCCUUAAUUAAUUAUGCAUGUAUUGGAAUAAUUACUAUUUAAAUAUAAUAGUGUUACUGUAAAAUUUGGGUUGAACUCUUUAUCGGUUGGAGAUUUGAGAUCUUGUUUUUUAUUGGUUUGUAUCUAGUUCCAACUACUACCAUUGUCUAUAGUGACAAUCACAACCAGUUUUAUCGUUAAUCAUGUUUGCUUUCUUGCAAAUACAUUCAUUCAUUCUUUGCAUCUUAACUUAUUUGUCGAGAAAAGACCAGCUUUUUCUUGAACUUCACAAACACCACUAGCUAGUUAAUUUGAAAUAAGCUUCCAAUUUAUUUCCUUGUAUUUAUGUCCUUUACAUCAAACCAGUACAAUUAUUGUGCUACCUAGAGAAAAGGAGUUGCUGGCAGCACGGUCAUGUCAAGAACUAAAUCAGAUUGAAUUGAACUUGUUCUUUACAACUAGCUAGGAGCAGAAAACUUACUGUGAAUUGCACUUGAUUAUAUUUAAUUUUAUUUAGGGCUACAGGAAAAAAAUCAUCAAAGAAUGCCCUAAAAAAAUCUUAUCGUAAAAUAGGUUCAUCAGGAGAUACAGUCGCAAGAAAAAAAGGUUCACCAGGAGAUAGAUGCUGCACAUUAUCAUUUACUCCCUCCAUUCCAAAAUAGAUGACUCAAUUUUAUACUAACUUUAGUCAACUUUGUACUAACUUUAUACUAAAGUUAGUACAAAGUUGAGUCAUCUAUUUUGGAACGGAGGGAGUAGAAAUUAGACCAAGAGAAAUGUGGAUUUGGCGGCUCAUAAUUCUAUAAGACUAUAGCAGGCUGUCCAAUCAUUUACAAAUUAGAUCAAGAAAAUGUGGAAUUAAACAUAUUAAUGGCUAGGAUCAUAUUUGCAAUGUGCGAUUGGUAUGCACGCUCCAACAUGACCGCUGAAAGCAUUUUUCCUCUGAUGCACAUAUGAAAUAUGACUGGUAGAAAACAGAAGAAACACAGAGAUUAUAUGGAUGAUUGGAUGUUUUAACAAACUUAAACUUAUAAUCCACCGAGCGGACGAACUUCCUAGGAGCCUUUCUCUCGGACAUCGAUAAGAAACGAAAUGUUCCACGCGAACUUCUUCUUCUCCAUCUGUAUAACGCAUGCAGAAGAAUUAUUUUGAUGAUUAUUUCAAGUGGCAUCCAUAUAGUGUACAAAGCUAUUUAGCUAGAAAAGCCACAAAUGUACAUCACUGUCAGGCUACACGACUGAAUUCUGCUCCAUGACCUUCCUGAUUCAUGCGGCUCCUGAAUUUAUCUGAAUCGAAUCAUGGAAGAGACAGGCUUUCAGGGUCGAUAGCUCAUGUUCAUGGGGAGGCCAAAGAGGCUGCGUCGACGUACGGCCUGAAACCGACGAGGAGCUCGAAGACCUUCUUGUAGAGACCAUCUGGUAGAGAAGUAAGGAGGGAGAUCGGAAGAGGAUACAGGAGAGGUUGGGGGUGGGGUGGAAGGGGAGGAGGCUGUGCCAGCGAGCGGCCGCGGCUCGAGGCGGUCUGGCCGAUGAGGAGGGUGAACAAGGGAGAGGAAGAUGCAGAUUGGCAUACUGUGGGUUGGGUUUGUGACGUUGGGUUCUCAGAAAACUAUAGCCCAGUUCGAAUUUGGUGCCCGUGACGACACACACUGAGCGUUUAUGUUGGGCCUAAUCACUCACUUCCAGCCCCCCACUCUGAUUUCCCCCUCAAAGAAAACAAAAGCUUCAACCCUUCUCACCCCCCCCCUUGAUGACAACAACAACAACAAAAAUAUCUAUAUGCAAGAUCAAGAAAUAUCUAUAAGGAGCAUUCAGAAUGCACGUGAAUUAAUCGCUAUAACAGCUUGGUAUUUAUGGUGGGAUAGACAUAAACUGGUACACGAAGGAAAGUUUCAAGAUACAAAUCAAACUUCGAUAGGAGCUCGUGCCAUAAUGGCAAACUAUUUUAAUGCCUACUCCCCUAAGGCAACUAAUAAAAGAGGGGAUGAUGGAGCAUCCCUCCUAGGGUUUUUGGGAAGCUGAAUGUUGAUGCCUUUUUUGAUCAUGAUCUGCUUCAGGGUACAGUGGGGGUGACUCUUAGACAUGACAAAGGCAGGUUCAUUGUCAGUGGAAAUUGGAGGAUUGAUUGUCGUGCUGAUGUAUUAGUAGCAGAAGUUGUGGCGCUAAAGUUUGGGUUAUUCCUUGCACAGAAGGCGGGUUGCAAUCGUCUUGUUGUUAACUCGUACAAUAUAGAAGUGAUUGACACAAUGAAGAAUGCAGGACACUCGGCCGGUGUGGCGGCUAUAGUUUUCUAUGAUUGCUAUUUUUUGGCUUGUGGUUUUUCUUUUAUUAGAUUUGAACAUUGUAACAGGGAAGUAAAUAAGGUGGCUCAUGAAAUUGCUAAGCUAGCGAAUUUUUUUGUUAUUAGUGAUUGGUUUGAGGAGCCUAUGAAUGAGAUUGUACUUUUUUUUAUUGACGAUGUAACAGUUGUUUCUAAUUAAUAAAGAUGAAGUUUUAUUAAAAACAACAACAAGAAAAAAAAUCUACUCAUCUUGUCCCGAGGGAUCCGAAACCCCAGUAUCCUUGCAUCUUUCUUUUGCAUGGCAUGUACAUAAGAUUUUCUUUGUUAGUAGCAUGUGUUGUUGGCGGCGGCUGCUCGAUGUUAGAGGCGACAUGUGUGGACGGAUAAUUGUUUCGAUCCAUAUAUGUUCUGAUAGCCUUCUUAGGCCCUGUAUAAUGCUACGUGUUUAGGGAGGUGCUUAGGAAAAUAAACCAAGUUUUUAAAGCGUUUUCUAAGCACCAGUGUCUAUUUCUAAUGAGAGACACCUAAUUAAGCGUUUAGCCUAUACAAAUAAACACCGAUGCUUUAAGAAAUACUAGUUUAUUUAUCUAAGCACCUUCCCCACGCGCCUUACAUGGUAAGGUUCUAGAGCUAGUGGUGUUUUGGUUUCUCUUUUUUCUGUCACAUCAAUAUCAUUCUUUCGAAUGGGUCAUGGGUCAACCAAAAUGGGUUUGUCUCGCGACACGAAGGCCGUAAGAGCCGAGCAUCACUAGUCUAAGAAGACCAUCGAACAUGACAUCAUGGAGCGUUUUCUUUUCUUCUUGCCGUCUUCUCCUCCUAGUCCACUAUGUCUCCUUCAACACCAAGGAGUAUUCUUUUUCUCUACAAACACCUCGUAUCGACCUUACGUCCUGCAAAUCACUGAUGGUAACUUCCAUCCUAUCACGAUAACAAUAUUCUCUUUCAAGAAUCAGCCUUCCUCGAGUUACUUAUACCACGUUAAUUGUUGAUGCUGAAAUUAAUAACCUCAACCGUCAACUGCACCCUUGCAAACAUUAAAACACGCGGGUCCAACUUGGUUCAAAACCCAUCGAUCGAUGAUAGUCGGUCAUGUGGGAUUCCGAUCGACUUAGACAUUGAGGCGUUAAAGUCACGUAGAAUAUUUUCUACAAGAAAACAUAUAAUAUAUUCAUCUUCAAUCACGACAGUAUAACAAACACGAGAAAUAAUAAAAAUUACAACCAGAUCCGUAGACCACCUAGCAACGUCUACACCAUAGAUCGAGACAAAGAAGACGAGGACUGAUCCAAAUACUUAAUCACAUGGUGCAUUCGUCGUUCGUUUCAUCAUCACCUCCCGACUGGUAUAGGCACGUCUGGUUCACGUAAUACCCCACAUAACAAUACAGUGGUUGCAUGGCCGGGCAAUAAGAAUAGACGGAGGGCGUGUAGCAUUUUGCUGAGCUCAAUCGCCGUGCAGCCGAUCAAGUUUAGGCAGAUCAAUGUUCCACAAAAUUACAUAGGCGACAAGACAGCCAUAGGCGACAAGACAGUAAAUAAACUACCACAAGCGAUAAUGGCGUACCACACAAAGGAGGCGUCGUCGACCGUCCUCGAAUUACUUAUACCACAUUAAUUGUCGAUGCUGAAAGUAAUAACCUCGACCGUCCACUGCACGCUUGGAAAAAAAAUAGUUCUUGUCAUGGAUAUAAUCAUGACAAUACUAUGGUGAUGUGAAUGUAGAGGCAAUUAUUACCUGAUUGGUACGUAAAGCAGAUGGGAUUAAACACACAGAAUUAUACAGGUUUGGGCUCUCUACGGUGUUGGUAACACCCUACUCCUGUGUGAUCUCGCUCUUGGCGUAGAUUACAAUGUGAGAGAGUUCAACCCUCAGUGUGAUGUCCUACUCUUGUCUUAUAUAUAUGGAGUACGCUAGGAGGGAGUGCCAUAACGGGCUGGUGUAAAUACUAUUGAUGGUCACAUGCAUGAUUGACUAUUCGUGGCUAUUAUUACUGCUAACUGGUGUAACGGCAAUGAUGAAUGCUCAUGGGGGGUCACGGCAUCCUAGGACGUAGCCGACUGUAGAUGGUCCGACUACUCCUGUCUUGCCGAUGUCCGACUGUAGAUGAUCUUACUGCUCCUAUCUUGCUCAUGACCGACUAUCGAGUCUUGUCUGUUAGGGGGCGUGUGAUCCUACUUUAGACACUGGACUCCUUAAUUAGCGAGUAUUCCCCUUGUAUCUGAUGCCCUGGGCUUGUAGCUCCAAUGCCCCAUUUGGGACCGUAUCCUUGAUUAGCCUGGGCUUUUGGCUGGGCCAUAUGUGUACUUAGGCCUAUCCCUUAUAUAUAACCCCAAUACUAUGUUCAUGGAACAAGUAGACGUCAAAAAAUAUAAGUUUAAAAAAGGUAAUCAUGUAUUUGAAAACUGUUGAACCUCUCUAUCAAAAAUAUUUUUGAUAUAUACAAAAAAUAUAUGUCAAAAGGUUGACACUAAAAGAAAGGAAAACAAUGAAAUCCCUAAACCCUAAACAAAGAAAACUGUGAAAGAAACAAAGAAAAAAAAGGAUAGAUAAACGAGUAAAAAAGGAAAACAAGUGUAAAACAUGAAAGAAACAAAGAUAACCAAUGAAGAAACAAAAGAAGAAAGAAAAUAAGAAGAAAAAACUAACCAAACUAGUAUGUGGAACCGAGUGAGCGAAUGACCUGAGCAUGAGCGAACGACCCAAGGUUGUCAGAAACAUGAUUUUGAAUCGGAUAGAAGUUCUGAUGGUAGGAUUGCAAACCUUACAACGACCUGAUGCUAUUCUUGCACCUUCAGGCGUGGCAAAUGCUAAUCUCGCUUUCAGCGAGAUAUAGCAUUCGUGAAGCAAUGAAGGGUGUCAAAUCGUCAUAGCUAUAUCACGCAUAUUCAGGCUCACCUCUGGAGUCCGCAUGUAUGGGCUGGAUCAUUAACGUGUUCUCUCAUAUCUCUGUACGUUCUUUUUCUUUUCGAGUCUUUUUUAAGUCGGGUUUCUUUUCAUCUACAUGAGAAAUAAUUUUAAAUAGAAUCAUUAACAUUAAAAAAAAUACAUGUUUUCAUGUCUAAUUUUUUCAUACACAUUAGAAAUUGUUUUGUAUGCACCAGGAACAUUUUUUCUCUAUACACAUUUAACAUUUUUCAAAUACACGAUUAAUACUUUCAAAAUAUAUCAUUUGAUGUAAAAAAAAUCCAUGUACAUUUUACAUCUGUCUUAUAUAUUAGGAACAUUUUUUUCUAUACACAUUUAACAUUUUUUCAAAUACACAAUUAACACUUUUCAAAUAUAUGUUUUGAUGUAUAAUUUGUUUCAUGUUUUACAUUACAUUAGGAACAUUUUUAAACAAAUUUAACAUUUUUUAUAAUUUCACAUACAAUUUUUUAAGUACGUGAAGAUUAUUUUGUUACCACAAUUUGUUUAAUGCUAUCAAUAUUUUUUUAACAAUGCACAAACAUUUUUUUCAAAAUUUCAGCAUUUGUUUGUGGAAUAUAUUUAUUUAUUUUAAUAUGAAAAAAUAGAAGUAAAAAAUAUAGAGAUAAUCUGAGAGAAAAAACAAAACUGAGGGUAGAACUGAACAAAUCUGUCUCUAGGGCGGCCCACCCGGGCGUUUCUUCAGGAGACGCUGGCUUUCGUGUCGCUAUAAGCUACCCAUAGCCGCGCGCAUAUCGAACCAGACAUGAUUGGGUGUUUGCCAUCUUCUUUCACAAGGUGUGGAUAUUGUAGGCAAGCAGCUUAUAUUCAGUGAUGGCUUUUGUCGUAACACGACAACGGUUUGCUCUUUCAGUUUCUUACCAAAGCAACUGCGGUCAUAACAUGAACCUAUCAAUCACACUUGUAACAUUCCCAUGCAACUCUAGCUAGAUUGGUUCAAACACAUUGGCUCACACAUCGAGGCGAUAUAACCGUAGAGUUCACAACAGGCAACCGAAUAACAAAACAUAUGCAACCCUAAUAUCACAAACUCAAAAAUGAAAGAUGUCAUAGCUUGACAAAAAGAAGGCACCGUAAUGCACCAGAUAAGCGAUCGAGAGACUUAAUCACAUUGUGCAUACGCUCGUUCGUGUGGUCAUUUGCUCCCUGGUCCGUGCAGCUACCCUACAACAGACUGCAAGCAAGUCUUUUGAUCGUGGCCAUUGCCGAAGCACCCUUGAUCCCACUUGUUCCCCGCCAAGAAAAAGGCAUCUAAGUACAGCUAGCGCGGCAUAAUUCAAACGUGACACUGGAACCGAUAUAGGUGGACCGGGGUGGUCAGGAACACUGUCAUCGAGGUUAUUAGGCAUGGUUUUCAUAUUUGUACUUCCUACCCUAAAACACGGUUCGGAUUAGCCGUGUUUUUUUUUUCCUUUCAUCGACCUUAGAAAUGUAGAGGCGAUUGCUGCGUCACCCUGUUUCUGUUUUUGCCGCCAUUUCUGAUAUAGCGAUAUAGGUACGGUCCCUAACUGUCCAUUGCAUGGCCGGAGCCUAAGAAUAACGGACGGCGUGCAUCACUUAAUUUGCAUGCUAAGCUUAAUCACCGUGCCACCGGUCAAGUUGAGGCAAAUCUACCCCGGCCGGCUAAAUUCUCGCUGAGCAAUCAAUGGAAAGGAGAUCGCCCUGUUUGAAAAACCAUAAGAAGGAGACGUUGUCAUCGUCGGGAAGCUAGUUAGAAUGGCGUACCACGGGAAGGAGAGCUCGCCGGCGGCGGGGCAGGUGCUGGUGGUGGCGGUGGCGAUGGCGGUGCUGCUGCUGGCGCAGCAUGCGGGGCGCGCCGACGCCAAGAUGAUCUUGUACGACGUGAUGCAGGGGGACGAGGUGCCGGGACGUAACGGGCUGACCCACGUGGAAGACGAGGCCAACAAGUACACCCGCGGCUGCGAGAGCUCCAACAAAUGCAGAGGCUGAGAACCACGGCAUAGCCGGGAUGGUAGGCAUGGGCUGAUGCAUGCCUGCCCGCCUGGGUUCGAGCCUCCGUGCUCGCAAUACCAGCGCGUACUCACCUAAUUCUUCUAUAAAAGUAAACCGAGGGAUUCUUCCCCUCCGGUCUCGAAAAAAAAUACUAACCAAUUUGCACUCAUUACAUUCCUUCCUACCUUUUUUUUGUUAAUAAGCGGGAGAUAAAUACCCACGCGAUUGCCACGGAAUUCGGUUGUAAUUAUUUUAAUAAGAAUUGGUUGUAUGAAAUAUCAUUAGUUAGAUUCACUUGUAGAAAACAGGGCUUUGGUUCGGGCAGAAAAAAGCAUUAAUCCCGGUUGCAUUACGAACCGGGACUAAUGUGAGCAUUAGUCCCGGUUCGAGCGGCUAGGGCACCGUACAGGCAUUAGUCCCGGUUGGUGCCACGAACCGGGACUAAAGGGUGCGAUGCCCAUUAGUACCGGUUCGUGGCACCAACCGGUACUAAAGGUUAGACCUUUAGUUCCGGUUCGAGCCACCAACCGGUACUAAUGGGGUUUGAGGCAUUAGUACCGGUUCAUGGCACGAAUCGGUACUAAAGGUCCCAUUUCCAAACUCUACCCCCUAUCGCCUUUUCAGUUUUGUAAAAAGCAAAAGAAAAUGAUAAAAACUUCAAAAAUUAAAAUCCUUCCAGAUGUAGUUAUGUUACUACAUGUACUAGUUAGGAAAAUUAAAAAACUUAAAAUUGGACAUGUUUUGCAAAAAGUGUAGGGAAAAUGUAAAACGGCUAUAACUUUUGCAUAUGACGUCAGAAAAAAACGUAUAAUAUAUCAAAAUGUUCAGCACGAAAAUCCGCAUCCGAUUUUGACUGCCUACGGCUUGUUUGCAAAUUUUUAGAAUCCUCAAAUUCUAAAAGGAAAAAAAGUUAUGCUCAAAUUUCUGUUUUUUUGAAUUUUUGUUAAAUCUGGUCAAACUAUGGUCAAACUACUUAUUCAAGAAGUAUUAGUGUUACUAAAUAAUUAUCCAAGAAUAUUAUUGUUACUAAAUAAUUAUUUCAAUUUUUUGAAUUUUGGUCAAAUCUGGUCAAACUGUGGUCAAACAAUGGUCAAACUAAUUAUUCAAGAAAUAUUAGUGUUACUAAAUAAUUAUUUCAGUUUUUUUGAAUUUUGGUCAAAUCUGGUCAAACUGUAGUCAAACUAUGGUCAAACUACUUAUUCAAGAAAUAUUAGUGUUACUAAAUAAUUAUUGUUUUUUAGAACAAUAGUUUCAAAUUCAAACAAUGAAAUGUGUGACUUCAUGCUCAAGCUAAAUUCCUGAGGGUUAAUAGGAUUGACAUCUUACUAUUGUCAGGAAAACAACAAGUGAAGACUUGGAAACGAGGGAGAAUAGAACCCGGAAGUUAAGCGUGCUCAGGCUGGAGUAAUGAGAGGAUGGGUGACCGUGUGGGAAGUUAGAUGAUUUGGAAUGAUGAUGGGUGAUUAGAGAUUAGAGGUUAAAUUGAGCAGUGAUGAGGGGUGAUUAAAGAUUAGAGGUUAAAAUAAUUCAGAAAUUUGAAAAUAAAAAAAAAUUCAAAAAAAAUCAUAAAAUUUCCUUUAGUACCGGUUCAACCGGGACUAAAGGUGGACCUCCAGGCAACGGCCACGUGGAGGGCCUUUAGUCCCGGUUCAUGUAAGAACCGGGAUUAAAGGGUCGUUACUAAGUUAAUGGAGAUAACUAUUUAGCUUGGUACUGAUUGAUUUGUUGUCACAUGCACAUUGGCCAAUUUCAUCGAUUCAUGUCGUCCAAUUAGCUAGCCAAGACCUGGCCGUACAUGCUCUGCUGAUUCCUAACUAACAUAGGUUAGAGACCAGUCGAGUGAAAAUGAAUUUUGCGUUUGUCCAAUCGUUUCCACCCUUCAGAUACAGAUCCAACGGUGUAGGUGCCUUUUUCUACCUCUCAAUCAUUUUCCCUGUUCAUCUUCUACCCUAAGCCGUCCGCGGCCAGCGGCGCUCCGGCACCUGCCUCGCCUCCCCGCGCACCGCCGCGCUGCCAUCGUCUCUGGCCAUCCCUCUAACCCUGGCGAUGAACAGAUUUUUCCGGCGGACCAGCACCCUCCCCCCUAAAAUAGAUAGCCGGCGAGCCUACCAUCCUAAUGUAGACACCGGGGUCGCCUGCCAUCCUAAGAUAGACACAAAGGGCUUCGCUGGCGAGCCGGCGGCUGUUUCCUUCAUGUGAACUCGACUGACCCAUAUAUUAUUUUGAUGCAACUUACAAGUAGCUAAAUUGGAAUAAACAAAGCCCAUAUUCCAUAAAAGUGUUAGUAAAUGAGGUUUCCCAAUGUUAAUAAUGCUGUCGAUCGAUGGGGAUGUCCCGGUAGAGAAAGUCAUCAUGCUACAUGAGCGCAUGGCCACCCAUGUGUACAUCACGGCUUUCUUCUUCUCAUCCAACUUAUCUGCAUUGAUCGAGACCACGCACCAGGCCACCUAGGCGGAUUAGGCGCCAUAGCUCCUUCCAGGAGGACAAGUUGCUAGUGGUAACCGGAAUCGUCAUGCCCUUUUGUCGUUGCCACUAACCAGGACGAUCGUCGAUUGAAGUGUAGACGCAUGAAGGUGACGCUUGCGUAGCAGCUACUACAAAACAACCUAUUUUAUUCAUCUCCCGCUUAAUUUAUUUUCUUCCCUCUGAAAUGCUUGCAUAUUUCACAAAACAAAACAUUAAUAACGUCGUGAAGGCGCCUUAGCACAAUCGAGACAAGGAGAUUUCAAGUGGCUCCUCUAUUUUCUCCGACGACGACGUGAACACCACGGAGGGCCGUCGGUUUGAUCCGGGACACUGAGAUUAGCGAAGCACGAAAUGAAAGAGAAAUCUAGCCUUUUUUUUUCUUCUAAUGGAGGAGACGGGUACUAGUAGUCAGCUGAGAACUACGAACUAAAACCGCGACAUUCUUUUUUUGGAAUGGAGGAAGUAACUAUUUUCGAAUCGAUCAAGUCGUGUGUGCUUGAUUAUGAAAACAUUUCAGUUUUAUAAUUAAGAAAAUCUCCUUAAUCGCCAGAAAGAAAAUGAAAGGAGAAAGAAUACUACUACUAAUAUAAAGAGCUGCUUUUGUAGCUAGGCAACAUUCUCGCAGCAUCAACGUUAAGGCGGUAGCUGCCAUGGUAGUGGUUGGACCGGCAGUGAUCACCGUCAGCUUGAUCACGACUGAUCGACUGAUUGGUGUGAGACUAGGGCGUGCCAUACGUGCACACCGGCCAGCCGCCCACCCGACCCGGGCAGGCAUCAACAGCACAAGAGUACAGUGCAGUACGACUGCACAAUGAUUUCCCUCAUCUUCCUCUUUGAUUGGAAUGCACAGGACUAACAAAAUUUUAAAAAGUAUUCAAGCAUGUAUUAUGUGUGAUGGAAAGCGUAUGUGUGGGUAGCUAGUUUUCUCAUUGAUCAACGUACGUACUUAAUUGAUGGAGUAUUGCAUAAUUACUUGGUUAAAUUCAGCUAUCAUCAAGUAGCUAAUUCAUUGUAUCAGCAGAAUCAUGAACCCAAGAAUAACACAUGGGUAAAACUACUGAUUAUAAUCAAUCCAUACUCUGGAUAUCACAAGGGAGGGUUGUAGGGGUAGUUGAAAAGCGCUGUAGCUGAAAAGAAGGUCGUUGCUUUGCAAGAAAAAAAAUAAUGCAAACCUUACUAUAUGUACACAUCUACCGGUUAAUCUAGAGCUUCAGAUGAUUAAAUAACUUUGUAUGUGCCACUCCAUGGAAAAUUGAGUAAACACAUCUCUUUAUUAAUCAAGAAGCUACAUACGCGGCAACAAACAAACAUGAUCACAUGUACUACUACAAGUAGUUGCAAGCAGCAAGAGCAGAACAGAACAGAAGAUAGGCAGGAGUCAGAUGGAUCGGAUGAAAAAAAGAAAACGGAAGAAGGGGAAGAGCAGCUUAAUUGGAGCUGGCCGGCCGGGGUGAUGGAGCUCAGCCGGUCUCUAGUCAGUGGUGAUGUGCACGCCGAUGACGAUGACGAAGAGCGCGAUGAGGGCGAAGUAGAUGAUGGCGUGGACGAGGAUGGCCAUGGCGCUGGUGUGCAUGUUGCCGAACUCCACGAAGUGGUGCUUCCCGGGGAGCUGCAGCAGCAGCCCCGGCGACAGCAGCACGAACAGCACCACCGCGAUCACCACCGGCCCCCAGUCCGACAUCCUCCCUCUCCCUCCCCUUCUCCGACUCCGGCAAGCUUCUUUCUUUCUCUCUAGCUAGCUCCUCGCGGCAGAGAAAGGAAGGCAAUGGAGCAGAGCAGAACAGGAGCGGGGGCGCAGAGUAGAGCAGAGAAGGAUGGUGUGAUUGUGGAGGGAAAGGCGUGAGGGCUCCCUUUCAUCGCCAUUCGGUUGGUGACGUCUCGCUUUCCCUACCGCCUACGACCACAUCGCCCGUUUUCUAGUCACACCUUUUGCACUUGUAUUUUCUAGUCACGCCUUUUGCACUUGCGCUUCAGAAAAGAAAAGAAAAGUUUUUUUCUAAAUUAUUAUAUACUGUUAGCAGCUCCAUGCAUGAAUUUUUUUUAAUCAAAUCUUAUGAUUAGGUAGUCCUUUUUGCGAAAAAGGACCUAGAUCUUUUACAAAGGUUUGUAAAAAGGGCAAAGCAUCCUAUAUACAUAAUAAAAUAAAAUCGAGCACAACCGAAGGACCACUGCCACCGUCGGAGUGGCCAUCUAUGCGCAGCUAUUGAUGCUCUCCUCUACCUGAGCCGGUUUGACUUCGUUGAUGACAGUCGGGAAGUCUUCAUGCACGUGCCCCUAAGGUGCGGCGUACUAGAGCUGAUAUCAUCGCCACUGAACCCUUGAAUAGAUCUAAAACAUCUGACUCCAAAUCUAAUCAUCGCACACAAACAACGAGAAACUGUAACCUCAUCACACCAAGGAGACAUCAUGGAUCUACACCGGAGCUCCAUCGAAUCCAUCCCGAUGGACAAACUCGAUGAGAAUCGAUGUCCGGAAGACCAACUCGAAAUGAACCACCGACAUCUACCUAAACGCCGCUUAUGCGAGAACAAAAACCCUAACCUAAACUACUACCCAAAGUCGAGGCACCGAGAUCCCCCUUCCCCAUCACGGCCGCCUGAGCGGCACGCAGAGGGGAGGUGGAUCCAUGGGCUCACCGGCGAAGCCUGAAGGGAAUGAGUGCCCUAGCCGCCGGAGUCACGAAAGUGAAAAGGAAACCCUAACUUGGCGGGAAGGUUUGUGUAUUUUCUUUGACCAUUUAUAAUUAGGUAGUUAAAUAGGUGAUUUCGACAACAACAGGAGCGAGGAGAACAACUUCAGAAACGAAACCUUUUUUAAAUUUCACUUGUUUAACUCCAUGGAUGGGGAGUUCAAACAAUUAUGAUUAGCUAGCUAUAUCUAGGUGAUUUCAAUGCCACAACAACAUCAAGGAGGAGAACAACCGCAAUUUUGCUUUUUUUUAAUGAGCUUGUUGAUAACAGACAGGCAGGCAGGCAGGCAGGCUGGUGGACAGUGAGUGUGAGAGUGAGGUCUCUCUGGCGGGACACCUCUCACUCUCGUCCUGUCCUCCAUGAGAGUGAGUGCUGAGGUCAACUGGCAAUGCUCAUUGCGUGACCAAUAUCUCCUCCCAACUGACAACGACUUGGCCUGAACUUUUCUUAUCUAUUCGAGCAUAUCGUACCUUAAUCUAGAAUACAAUCCAGUGGAACCAAUGCGGGAGAUGUAAUUGCGAUUAACCUUCAGGAAGCUGCAUGAAGAAGAUGAUGAUGGUCUCUCAUGUUUUAUGGCCGUGCCUGAAACUUCGCUUUCCACCGAGCAAGAACAAGUGGCGGAGGGCGAAAUGAGGAAAAGGUGGAGAAGAAAAAUGUGCGUGUAGAGGAUACGCAACACCUAAAGCCACACACACAAAAACAAUAUGCUAGCUAGCUAGCUGGUCCAUGCCAUGGCAUAUUGACAUGACAACUCCGCUUAUUUGCUGCAACCAUUUCAAAGGACACAGUGGAUAUGCUAUACUCCCUCCGUUCCUAAAUAUAAGCCUUUUUUAGAGAUUCCAACACAGACUACAUAUUAAGCAAAAUGAGUGAAUCUACAUUCUAAAAUAUGAUUAUAUACAUCCAUAUGUAGUUCCUAUUGAAAUAUCUAAAAAACUUAUAUUUAGAAAUGGAGGGAAUACAUUAUUUAGAAACUUAUAUUUAAAAAACGUAUCGAAAUAUCUAAACAAUACAUUUUUUUUUAAUUUUCAUAAAUAUUACGCUGGGUAAUUUUUUUCAAAAAUAAUACUCCGUCGGCCCGUUGCAGGCCGACUGGGCCUAGUCGGCCCACAGCAGGCCGAUUGGACUGGCCCCUGUCGGCCCACUGUGGGCUGAUUGGGUCCUGUCGGCCCACUGUGGGUCGACUGGAGCUAAUUAGCUCGUUGUGGGCUAAUUGUUUUUGCAAAAAAAGUAGGCAUAAAAAAUAUGUUUAAAAAAUAUUAAUUAUGUAAUUAAAAAAUGUUAAACGUGUAUAAAAAAAUGUUCCUAAUGUAUAAAAAAAAUGUACAAUAUAUAUGCAAAAAAGUUGACAUAAAAAAUAUGUUUUAAAAAGUGUUAAGCAUGUUUUUAAAAAUUGUUAAAUGUGUCUAUAAAAAAUGUUUCUUAUCUAUUCAAAAAAUAUAGAAUGUGUAUGAAAAAAAGUUGACACCAAAAAAAUAUGUUUGAAAAAAAUAUUCCAGUUCCAUACAAAAAGAGCAACCAAUCAUACUUAGGUCUGUGAUGCUCCCAUACCGGAUCCGGAGCUGGAACAUUUUUUAUACACGUUUAACCUUUCAUUCCAAUACAUGAAACAUUUUUGUGUACUCGUUGAACAUUUUUUCAAAUACAUGAUUAACUUUUUUUCAAACAUAUUUUUUUGGUGUCAACUUUUUUCAUACACAUUCUAUAUUUUUUGUGUAGAUAAGUAACAUUUUUUCAAAUACAUGAUUAAUAUUUUUUUCAAACAUAUUUUUUUGGUAUCAACUUUUUUUCAUACACAUUCUAUAUUUUUUGUAUAAAUAAGGAACAUUUUUUAUACACAAAUUUAACAAUUUUUAAAUACAUGCUUAACACUUUUUAAAACAUAUUUUUUAUGUCAACUUUUUGCAUAUAUAUUGUACAUUUUUUGUAUACAUCAGGAACAUUUUUUUUAUACACAUUUAACAUUUUUUAAUUACAUAAUUAACUUUUUUUAAAACAUAUAUUUUUUAUGCCUAAUUUUUUUGCAAAAAAAUUAGCCCACAGCGAGCCAAUUAGCUCCAGUCGGCCUACAGCUGGCCGACAGGAGUCCAAUCGGCCUGCUGUGGGCCGACUAGGCCCAGUCGGCCUGCAACGGGCCGACGGUGUAUUAUUUUUGAAAUUUUUUUAUCCAGCGUAAUAUUUAUGAAAAUUAAUUAAAAAAUGUAUUAUUUUAAAAAAAUAGCCAUUAUUUGCAUGGAUGAAUAUAUCGUCGAGGAUAUAACAAGAAAAAGAACACUGACAAGAGUUACCAAGCAAGAUCUGCUGCAUAUCAGUUUGUGCUCCUUAAUUAUAUCCAAGUGUAUCGAAACGGCAGUAUGGCUUUUGUUUGCUGCAUGAUGGAGACUGGUUCCCCCAUUCAGUUAGGCCGAUCUACAGUUUACGCAACUCAGCCAUACUCAUUCCUGAUUUCAUCUAUUCUCAUAUCGUGGGGAAACAAUGAAACACUUUCUUUCCUGCCGGCUCCUUGCUUGCUUAGUCUUUCUCUGCUCCCAUAAAAUCGACGAUGAUAAGAAGACAAAAAUAAAAUUCACCAGACAAGCUCAACCCCUUUCGUUCCUGAAUGCGUGAUCCACCCAAGUGUAUUCACAUGCCUUUUGUUGAUGCUAUGAUGGAGACAUGUUUUUCCCAUUCAGUUAGGCAGAUCAACGUUUUUCUUUCUAGCAUAUUGUUAACUCCAUGGAUGUGUUUAUUUAAUUCUUAAUUAUGAUUAGGUAGCUAAGUAGGUGAUUUCAACAUCAACAACACCAAGCACUAGGGCAUCAAUAAAGAGAACAACCAACUUCAAGAAAGAAAACUUCUUAAAAUUUCACUUGUUUAAUUCCAUGCAUGGGACUUUCUUUCCUUUCUUUUUUUAAGAAAAUGAGGAUUAUGAUUAGCUAGCUAAUUAGGUGAUUUCAACACAAGAUUAACAUCAAGGAGAAGGAGAAGAGUGAUUUCACUUGUUUUUAAUGAGCUUGUUGUUAACAGACAGGCAGGCAGGCAGGUGGGCAGUGAGAGGGUGAGAGCUAGGUGUCUCUGGCUGGACACCUCGCACUUUUUCCUCUGUGGGAGGAAAAAGUGCUUAAUUGUGUAGAGGAUAAGUAACACCUAAGGCCACACAGACAUUGACAAUUUAAUUGAUUUGCUGCAACCAUCUCAAAGGACAUGUCGGAUAUACAUAUAUACGCAUGGAUAAUAUCAUCACAGAUAAUAAAGAAAAAACAAUCGAUGAUUCUUACUUUACGGGCAGAUAAUACAUGGAAAACAAUGUGUGUAGAGGAGACGCAACACCUGAAGUGUCACACACACACACACACACACACACACAAACAGUACUAUGCUAGCUGGCUUGUCCCUGACAUGGACAAUUCAAUUGAUUUGCUACAACCAUUCGAAUGACACAGUGGACACAAAAACAUAUAUGAAUGAAUAAUUUCUCCAAGAUAAGAAGAAAAAACUGUAUGCAUACCGGUGUGUUCUUCUUUUGUUCAUGCAUGCAUGUUGGAUGGACCAAGUGUAUCAGCAGUAUGGCUUUUAUUUGCUGCAUGAUGGCGACAGGCUCCCCCAUUCUGUUAGUCCGAUCUAAGAACUUCACAAUUCAGGCAUGUGCUUAGUCCAAAAUUCAAUUAUUUAUCGUAUCCCGGAUUUAAAUUAAACGAUAAAACGCUUGAGACAGGUUUCUCUGCAUGGAUAAAAACAACAAGGAUAACAAAAUAGAAAAACCCAAAUGAUAAGUGCCACACGUCAGGUGCGUGGCACUCCGGCCCUGACGUUUUUCGAAGGAAAUUCCAGUCAUGCAAGGAUGACAAAUUGCAGUGAUCUGUCAAAAAUAAACUGAAGCACGAAAGUUGUCAUGCUUGUCAACUAAAGUUGCCAUCCUUGUGUAACUAAACUUGCCAUCAAAAACGUUCGAAGUUGCCAUAUGCAUGCACCUGACGUGUGGCACUUAUGAGGGUCCUAGAAAAAGGAAACAAAUAUAGUUAUCAAGCAAAAUCAACUGUAUGUUGCUCUCUUCGCCCAUUGUUCCUGAAUGCAAUACCCAUCUAAGUGUAUUCACAUGCCUUUUGUUGAUGCUAUUGCAAUGGUUGAGACAUGUUUUUCCCGUUCAGUUAGGCAGACAUUUUUUUAGCAUACUGUUAACUCCAUGAAUGUGGUUAUUUAAUUCCUAAUUAUGAUUAGGUAGCUAAGCAGGUGAUGUCAACAUCAACAACAACAACUACUGCAUCCGUAAAGAGAACAACAACUUCAAGGAAGAAAAACUUCUUAAAAUUUCACAUGUUUAAUUCCAUGCAUGGGACUUUCUUUCCUUUUUUAUAAGAAAAUGAGGAUUAUGAUUGGCUAGCUAGUUAGGUGAUUUCAACACAAGGUUAACAGCAAGGAGGAGGAGAAGAGUGAUUUCACUUGUUUUUAACAAGCUUGUUGUUCACAGACAGGCAGAUGGACAGUGAGAGGGUGAGAGCGAGGUGUCUCUGGCUAGACACCUCCCACUUUUCCCCUGUGAGAGUGAGUGCUGAGGUCAAUUGGCCACAAGGCAAAUGCUUAAUUGUGUAGAGGAUACGCAACACCUAAAGCCACACACACAAACAACAUGGUAGCUAGAGGUCCAUGACAUUGUCAAUUCAAUUGAUUUGCUGCAACCAUUUCAAAGAACACAGUGGAUAUACAUAUAUACGCGUGAAUAAUAUCAUCAAUCAAAGAUAAUAAAGGAAAAACCACCGAUGAUUGUUACCGACGGGAAAGAUAAUACAUGGAAAACAAUGUAUGUAGAGGAGACGCAACACCUAAAGUCACACAAACAAAAACAAUACUAUGCUAGCUAGCUGGUCCAUAAAAAGGGCAGGGUCUUUGGGUCUUUUCUAUGCAGUUUUUCUCUAUAUUUUUGCUAGAGGUUUCAGGACUCGAACCCGUGACCUGACCAAGACAACAGCUCUACCGCUAGCUAGCUGGUCCAUGACAUGGACAAUUCAAUUGAUUUGCUACAACCAUUCGAAUAACAAGGUGGACACACAAACAUAUAUGAAUGACUAAUUUCUCCAGGAUAAGAAGAAAAAACUGUAUACAGACCGGUGUUUUUUUUGUUCAUGCAUGCAUGUUGGAUGGACCAAGUGUAUCAGCAGUAUGGCUUUUGUUUGCUGCAUGACGGCGACAUGCUCCACCAAUCAGUUAGGCCGAUCUAUGAACUUCACAAUUCAGCCAUGUGCUUAGUCCUAAAUUCAAUUAUUUAUCGUAUAACUAAGGUGUCCAGCAGGGUUACGCCUUGGAGGGGGCGCUACAAUUCUACUGCUGGAAGGGUCUGUUUGAUCAAUGUGUGUUUGUCUUCUCUUCGUAUGUAUGUUAUGGGUUUCUAUCGCCUUAUGGAGGGUAUUCAUGCCGGUUUUGAUAAAUAUCGGGGUGGUUUCUAUUGCAAUACCAUGGACAAUAAAAAGAAGUACAGAUUGGUUAAGUGGAAACUCAUGUGUAGGCCCAAAAGUAUGGGGGGUUUGGGGAUCCUUAACACUUUCAUUAUGAACAAGUCUUUGAUCCUUAAGUGGUGGUGGCGUAUUCUUUCAGAUGAUCAGGGCAAGCUUUGGUUCCACAUAAGCCCAAAUAUUUUCCUCACUCCUCCCCCCUCAUGUGCAAUCCUGUGGCCAGCUCUUCCGUUUCUCAAUUCUGGCGCUAGCUGCUCAAUGUUCGGGAUGACUUCAAAGCUUUGGUGAAAUUCUCUGUUGGCAACGGUGCCUCCGUUCGUUUUUGGUUGGAUUGGUGGGUUGGGGAUGGGACCUUUGCGCUUUCCUUUCCUGUUUUUUUCUUUUGUUACUUAUCCUUCUGUCUCCAUCGCGGAGCUGGCGGCUAGUGGUUGGGACCUCGGCUUUCGCCGGGUCCUAUCUCCUGUAGAGUUGGAGGACUGGCACCGGCUUGUUGCCUGCGCUCUCGGAGGCUCAGGACUUGGCCCCAUUCUGCUUCUGGCCGCUUUUCUGUUAAGUCCUGUUAUCGUGUUUUGUCCUCGAGGUCAGUGGUGUCUAAGUUUAAGCCCAUCUAGGUGGUCAGAGUGCCUCCGAAGAUCAAAAUUUUCAUGUGGCAGGCCUUGAGGGGCUGACUGCCCUUCGCGGAUUAUAGUAAGAAGAGGCACGGCCCGGGUUCGGAGUUUUGCUCCUUGCGUGGGAACUUAGAGGAUAUUAAUCACAUUCUAUUCUCGUGUCCUCUGGCCCAGCUACUUUGGAGUUGUAUUAGGGACUGGAUGGUUGUGUCGUGGGCGCCUGCUAACUUUAAUAAUCUUCUUGCGCUUUUGGUUCCUUUGUCUAUUCAAGUCAGAUGGGUGUUUUGGUUCGCCUUCCCUGCCAUGUGCUAGACCCUCUGGACGACCAGAAAUAAAUUUACUAUCGAACAGGUGUUCCCUAACAAGGCGGUUCAUGUUGUUUCCAAUCUCUCAAUAUUUUUGAUGCAGUGGAAAUCUCUGAUUAAGGAAGGCAACAAGGCAGCUGUGGAGUUGCUCAUUUCCCGUGUUCGUGCUUCGGGAAUAUCUGUCUCAAGGGGUGAUCGACUCAGGCCGCAGUAGGUAUUGCUACUUGUCGUCGUUUGGUGUUAGUCAUCUGGGGACUCUUGAUGCUGGCCUGCGUGCCAUUUUGCCGGUUGUGGCCGUCUGUUGAAUUCGGUGCUGUGGUGUGUGUCCGUCCUAAACUCUUGUUGUCUGUCCUACUCGGUUGCCUGGUGCCUUUAUUAAUUUAAAGCCGGGCUGAGGCCUUUUCUCUAAAAAAUUAUUUAUCGUAUCACGGAUUAUAUGAUAAAACGCUUGAGACAGGUUUCUCUGCAUGGAUAAAAACAACAAGGAUACGAAAUAAAAAAAAGACACGGAUAUAGUUACCAAGCAAAAUCAACUGUAUGUCGCUCUCUUCGACCUUUGCUCCAGAAUGCACGACCCAUCCAAGUCUGCUGACAUCCCAUUUAUCGACCAAUGAUUGGCACAGGUUUUUCUAUUCAGUCAAGCUAAUUUAUGGAUUUCAGUAUUUCAAACUAAUGGAACUAUUUCUUUCCUGUCGAUACCUUGCUUGGCCUUUCUCAGCAAGAUGAAAUUGAUGACACCCUUUUUCACUGCCAUUGAUCCGACCUGUCUCUAGCUGUCCAUUGGUGCUGGUCACCGCGACGGCAAGGAGGGCAAGGAGGGCUGCCCACCUUUGAUUAAUCAUGCAUGCAUCUGAAUUAUCCAAAUUCAUCAAGAUAUCCUAAAUAGAUCCAACCUGAAGAUUAAACGUAGUGCAGUGGAGGAACAUAGGAGUUGUAAAUGUAAUUAGCAUGCACUGAUUGUUGGGCAUAAGCCACCGCAGGACGCGUUGGGUGCGAGCCAGGGCGCGCCGGAUCCGUGGCCGUGUGUGUGUGCGCGCUUGAGUUUGUGGCUUGAGUGAAAUAGUGGCUGUUCGUGCAGCCGGGUGGCGUUCGUGCGCCGGAUAUAUCUGCUGUGUGCGCCUCGUUCUUCUUCCUCCUUUCCUCUAGUCCUGAGCGAGAGAGAGUGAGAGCUCCGUUGAGAGGCACGGCAAGGCUACGGUAACAACAAUUGGUAUUCAGAGCCACUAGUUCGGGGGGCGGCCGUGGCGCGCGGCGGACAUGAAGGUCUCGGCAACGCGCGGCGAGUCCACGGCGGUGUGGCGUGAUGCCGGGUGCGCGGCGAGCGCGUGGCGUCAGCAACGCGCGGCGAGUCCACGGUGGUGUGGCGUGAUGCCGUGCGCGCGGCGAGCAGCGACGGUCGCAGAGACGAGGAGGUCACGAAGGACCUGCGUGGUGUCGCAGAGGCCGCGGCGGCUCGGCGCGACGACCGUGGAGGCGCUGCGCUGUGGUUGACGGCGCAGCGGUGCAGGGCAAUAAGCGCGGCGGCGAGCCGGGCGCGACCGGUGCGUGUUAUGGAUGCGCACCGGACGCGUCGGGCACGUCGGGACCGCGGGAGUGGACCGCGUCGAGGCGCAGGACCUGGUUGCGCAGACCGCGUACGUGCGCGGCGGGAGCGCGGGGACGUGGGGAGUGCACGCGAAGGGCACGGCGGCACGGUGGCAGGCGUGGCAGCGACGUCAGGGCGGCGGCGGCUACAACAACGUCGACGGCACGACGGAGGCCGCAGCGGUGCGGUGCGACGGCCAUGGCGACAUCAACGACGAUGGACUCACCUGCUGUAGUUCGUGGCUUAGGGGGGUGUGUGUUGGGCAUAAGCCACCGCAGGACGCGUCGGGUGCGAGCCAGGGCGCGCCGGGUCCGUGGCCGUGCGUGUGUGUGUGCGCUUGAGUUUGUGGCUUGAGUGAAAAAGUGGCUGUUCGUGCAGCCGGGCGGCGUUCGUGCGCCUCGGUCUUCUUCCUCCUUUCCUCUAGUCCUGAGCGAGAGAGAGUGAGAGCUCCGGUGAGAGGCACGGCGAGGCUACGGUAACAACACUAAUCAACUAGGUUAUUCGGCCAUCCGUUGUUGUACUAGCUAGCCAGAGCCAUAAGGAGGAGGAUGUGAAGAUGACACGCACACAAUAUCAAGUUUUUGGGUUUGUGCUCGUGUUGCAUAUUUCACUUUCCAUCAAGAAAAAAAAAUUGUGGUAUAGGAUGGCAGAAUGAAAAUAACGAAAAUCAAUAUAUGGAAUUACGGAUGCAACAACUAAGGUCAUACCCACCACAAGAAUUGUGUGUGUUAUAGCUAGUUCAGCAGAUGACAGUAUUGCCAGCUUCUCCUUUGUUCUAGCUAGGACACAAAUUCGAUCCACUGAUUUGAGGCAUCGAUCUGCCGCAAGUCCUCAAAGGACAUAUAGACAAGGCGAAGAACUAAAUAAAGUUGCAAAGCAAAAUUAUCGAAAAAAUAUGAUCCCAGAGAUACACAGUAAUGUUGUCAUCAAAUCUCAAGAAUAUAAAUUUCACAUGAUCCCACCAUGUAACAUAUCCCAGGUCAGCAAUGACUGAGCGCAGGCUAACUAAUUAACAUGAAGCAAGAACCAAACAGACAGAAAGAGCAAAAGAAACAGCUAGAACAGGAUGAAGCAGAGUAUUGUACUACUCAUGAUGACGAGCCGAACUCGAUGUGGACGCCAACGACGACGAGGAAGAAGGCAUCGAGGGCGAAGAAGAUGAUGGUGUGGAUGAGGAUGGAGACGGCGCUCGUGUGGAAUUUGCCGCACUCGAUCGUCCGUGAUUUGCCAGGGAUCUGGAAGACAAGCCCUGGGGACAGAAGGAUGAAGAGCAUGAAGGAGAUGAGAACUGGACCCCAGUCUUGCAUCUUCUUCUUCUUCUUCUUCUUCUUCUUCUUCUUCUUCUUCUUCUUCUUCUUCUUCUUCGAAGUCUUUGGGAUGACGAUGAUGAUGAAUACUCAAGCCAGCUACAGCUAUGCUUCUUCUUCUUCUUCGAAGUCUUCUGGUUCGUGUCUCAAACCGGGACUAAAGGGGUUCUGAAAUUUGUUAUUUGUUUUCUAUUUUUAGUUUAUGUUUUAAAUUGCUUAUAUUUUUUAGGAUAUUUGAUGUUUUUGAGUGAUUCUUUUUGCAUUAGAUUCAAAAUUUUGUCUAGUUUUUGUUUGUGCCAUUAGUUUACAAAUUUGAAUGUUUUAAAUAUGAAUUUUUUUCAAAUUUUCUUCAAACCCUAGAUUGUGAAUAAUUUGAGUUUAAAAAUGGGUUUUAAUUUAAUUGUUUUUGCUCCUAGUCACAUGUAAGACUGUUGUCACACAGUAAGAUUUAUUUGGUUAUUUUUAGAAUAAUUUGAAUUAGGAUUUUAGUUAAGUUAAAAAGUAAUUCUUUUUGCCACUUUAAUAGAACGUGACUCUGGCUGGGACGGUGCUAGCAGAUGUAGUGGACGGUACGAUUGGAUGGACACCAUCCGGGACUAAAGGGGUUCAAACUCUACCCCCACUAGUGCAGAACCGGCCUUUAUCACCGGUUCGUAAGGGCCUUUAGUGCCGGUUCUGCAACCGGCACUAUGGAGUGGAGACUAAAGGCCCCCCCUUUAGUACCGGUUUGGCACGAACCGGCGCUAACGUGCCACCACGUGGCACGAGCCAGGCCCGGGUGCGUGUAGGACAUUAGUACCGGUUGGUAACACCAACCGGUACUAAAUGUUUGGGUGUGUUUUGGUUUUAAUUUUUAUUUUUCCUUUAGUUUUGUGUUUUCAAUUUAAUUUAGUGAUUGUUUUACAUUAUAAUGAGUUGUUAAAUCAUUAGGUGAAAGUACCGCAGAUUAGUUUCGACUGGAUGCAUGUGGAUCCUAGCUAAGUGAUCUAAGUAAUAUGGAUAUGGCAUAUACUUGAUUACUUAGCUAGGAUCCAUCCAGUUGAAACUAAUAUGCGGUUUCUUUCAUAAAUGUUAUAAUAACUCAUCAUCAUCAUCAUCAUAUUAUAAGCGUUCAUAACACCACAAAAGCAAAUCACUCUUUGAGAUUAAGUUCAGGACGAAGAACACGGACACGCAUGAGAGGACAACAAGUACUAAGAGCAUGAUAACUAGCUAAAUCACUCCUGCUGCUCUCUCACAGGUAAAAUAGCAUAGAACAUGUAUAGCUCUCUUGAUUCAUCAUAUUGGAGCAUGCAGAUGAACCUGUCUCCUAAUCGUGGGCUGCGCUUCUGAUUGGUGCCCCCUAGUACUUCUCUGCGAUCGUUAACAAUUUUGCUCCAAUCUUUCACUAUUAAGCAUUCAUCGCUUUCAGAAAUCCUGAAUGCACUCAUGUGCACUGUAGGAUAUCUUGGCCGUAAGCUAACAAUUGACAUGCGACCUUUAGUCUCGAUCCACUGAGGCACAACUGUCAUCGGGAGUCCCUGUUGAAGAACAUCGUAUAGUAAUUAAUAUACUUAGCAAUGAAAGUUUAGCUUGAAAAAUAAUGUAUGCAAAAGAUGCACUGAGGACUAAUAGUAAAAAUCUUACCAUCUUUCCUAAAUACAUGUGACCGUAGUUCAAUACGAUCACUAUUGGUCGCACGUUUUGAGUACUAAGAUUUUCAAAUUCAGGAAAAUGAUUUCUCUUAACAGCAUCAAGAUCCUCAAGCCAUGAAACAUAAUGACUUAUCUCCUCGCAGUUUAGUUCAACUCCGGGACAGUAGUAGGUCCUGUCUACCAAGCGCCGGACAUGUUUGCUUGAAUGGAAAUAAGCUGUCAAUAGAAAUUAGUUGUGAACUAUUUUUGAAUAAACAAUAUCAAAGACAUAAAUAUGGUUGAGAAACUCACAUAAUGGUAGAACUGGAGGCGUCUGCACAUCGACCCAGAUGUCUCUAUUACCUUCAAUAUCAUCUUCCGGACGAAUAUCAAAGGUGAUAACCAUAUCAGGCUCAAAUGCAUAAGCCUUGCAUAGUGCUUGCCAAGUUUUGCAUUCAAAAUAGGUGUACGUGUCUGCAUUGUAUAAUUUGAUGUUGAAAGUAUAACCAUGCUCGGUCUUCAGGUAAACUCUUUUUACCUCCAUAGUUUCCAUAGCACUGAAACCUAUCUUAUCCAAGACAAAAAUUCUUGCAUGGCAGGGGAUGCGCUAGUAGAAUAGUGAAAAUUUAAAAUUAUAAGUUGAAGCAAAUGAAGCAUAUAUAAGUCAUGCUUAAUUACGAAAAAAGACUUGUCGUUGUGACUUACUGUAUCCACUUCGAAGGUCUCAUCCAGCUUGAUGCUGAAGCGCCUAUCAUCAACAAGGAAAUUUCUGUCGCACAGGCCGCGCUGGUCUUCACAGGAUUCGCACUUAAUGAAAUCUUUUUCGUCGUCAGACGACAUUUCCUAUGUUCAUAUAGGUGAAACAUUAAACACUUACUAGUUCUAUUAAUUCAACUAAUUCAACUACUUCUAUUAGUUCAACUAGUUCUAUUAAUUCAACGAAUUCAACUAAGCAUUUACUAAAAAUAAACGUGUUCUAUUAAUUUUCUUACUAAAAUAAAGUAGCUAGUUCCAUAUAGUAAUAUUUUAAUUAGAUCAUCAAAUCUCAGGUAUCUAAAUUUUCUUACUAAAAAUAAACUAGUUCUAUUAAUUCAACUAAUUCAACUAAGAAUUUACUAAAAAUAAACUAGUUCUAUUAAUUUUCUUACUAAAAUAUAUAAGGUAGCUAUAUAUAUAGUAAUAUUUUAAUUAGAUUAUCAAAUCUCAUAUACCUAAAUUUUCGUACUAAAAAUAAACUAGUUCUACUAAUUCAACUAGUCCAACUAAGCAUUUACUAAANNNNNNNNNNNNNNNNNNNNNNNNNNNNNNNNNNNNNNNNNNNNNNNNNNNNNNNNNNNNNNNNNNNNNNNNNNNNNNNNNNNNNNNNNNNNNNNNNNNNNNNNNNNNNNNNNNNNNNNNNNNNNNNNNNNNNNNNNNNNNNNNNNNNNNNNNNNNNNNNNNNNNNNNNNNNNNNNNNNNNNNNNNNNNNNNNNNNNNNNNNNNNNNNNNNNNNNNNNNNNNNNNNNNNNNNNNNNNNNNNNNNNNNNNNNNNNNNNNNNNNNNNNNNNNNNNNNNNNNNNNNNNNNNNNNNNNNNNNNNNNNNNNNNNNNNNNNNNNNNNNNNNNNNNNNNNNNNNNNNNNNNNNNNNNNNNNNNNNNNNNNNNNNNNNNNNNNNNNNNNNNNNNNNNNNNNNNNNNNNNNNNNNNNNNNNNNNNNNNNNNNNNNNNNNNNNNNNNNNNNNNNNNNNNNNNNNNNNNNNNNNNNNNNNNNNNNNNNNNNNNNNNNNNNNNNNNNNNNNNNNNNNNNNNNNNNNNNNNNNNNNNNNNNNNNNNNNNNNNNNNNNNNNNNNNNNNNNNNNNNNNNNNNNNNNNNNNNNNNNNNNNNNNNNNNNNNNNNNNNNNNNNNACGGGGACGGCGCAACGACGAGCGGCAGGCCGGGGGCGACGGCGCGAUCGAGACGGCGACGUGGUACGGGGCGGCGGCGACGAGCGGCGGGGGCGACGGCGGUGACGGCGACGAUUGGCGGUGAGGGCGACGGCGGUGACGGCAACGACGGGUGGCGGGGGCGGCGAGGGCGGCGGCGAUUUUGCGCGAAGGAGUUGGAGAAGAAGUGGUGGUCGAUGAAACUGAAUUUUUUAUAAGUGCCAUAUAUAUAGGAGGGGCCUUUAGUACCGGUUGGAGCCACCAACCGGUACUAAAGGCCAAUUUUUGCCAGGCCAAGGGGCGGAAAACUGCCCCUUUAGUACGGGUUCGCGGCUCCAACCGGUACUAAAGGCCCCCCUUUAGUACCGGUUGGAGCCACGACCCGGUACUAAAGGUAUGCGCUGGCGCAGGAGCGGUGCGGGCAAGUUUAGUCCCACCUCGCUAGCCGAGAGGCGCCCGCACCAGUUUAAAAGCCCCGGCGCGGCUGCUGUCUUGAACUCCUCUCUAUAGCAGGCUUUUGGGCCUAACUCUGGCGCGCUGCCCGUUGAGCCUGCUGGCCCUUCUGGGCCUGUAUUUGCAAACCCUAUGGUUGGCAGGCGCAGCGGGCAGCGCCCCAACAAUUUUUUAUAUAAUUUUCUUCUAUUUAUUUCCGAGUAAUUUUUUUGCUGUAUUUAGUUUCUUUGUGAAUAAAAAAGAAUUAUAUAGUUUUUUUUCUUUUCUGCAUUAUUUAUUUUCUGCUAUUCAUUUUGUAGUGAUUUUUAAUUUCACUGUCAUUUAGCUCUCUAAACAAAUCGGUAAAUGACUGAAAAACAACAAAUGAUGUCAGAACGUGUUGGAAAUUGAUGACGUCGCUUUGAAUGAUGCAUACUGAACGCAAAAAUAGGCUGGAGUUCAAAUAAGUUUAAAAAACAUUGAAGUGCCCGUGUAACAGAUGAGUUCUCGUCCGAAACCCUGAUACUCCGAAAGAGAUUGUCCAGUUUGUACACGAGGUGCGUCCAGUUUUCGCCGUGACCCUCUCUACUCUUUUGCACAUGCUAUGCGGGCGAAAUGAUGAUACCAUGCCAAGUUCCAACAUUUUCAGAGUUCAUUUUGUAGUAAUUUUCAAUUUCACCGUCAUUGAGCUCUCUAAACAAAUCGGUAAAUGACUGAAAAACAGCAAAUGAUGUCAGAACGUGUUGGAAAUUGAUGACGUCGCUUGGAAUGAUGCAUACUGAAUGCAAAAAUAGGCUGGAGUUCAAAUGACUGAAAACAACAAAUGAUGUCAGAACGUGUUGGAAAUUGAUGACGCCGCUUUGAAUGGUGUGUACGGAACGCAAAAAAGUCUGGAGUUGUAAUAAGUUUAAAAAAAUGAAGUGCCCAUGUAACAGAUGAGUUCUCGUCAGAAACCCUGAUACUUCGAAAGAGAUUGUCCAGUUUGUAUACGAAGUGCGUCCAGUUUUUGCCGUAACACAAGAAGUCCGGAGUUGUAAUAAGUUAUUAAAGAUAAAAAAGACCCUGAUACUUCGAAAGAGAUUGUCCAGUUUGUACACGAAGUACGUCCAGUUUUUGCCGUAACACAAGAAGUCCGGAGUUGUAAUAAGUUAUUAAAGAUAAAAAAGAGGCACAAUGCUCGUUAAUUAGCUUCAAGUCUUUCGGAAUAGUGCAAACUGCACUGCACAUAGCUCCGUGCAGUCUACACUAUUCCUCAAGGCUUAAAGCUAAGCAACAUGCAGAUGAGCAUUGCGCCUCUCCUUCAUCGUCUCUGCACUCAGAGCUUAUAAACCGCUCCUAGUGCCUCUCUCUUCGCGAGGUGGGACUAAAAAACAGCUUACUAAGAAACUAUAGUACCGGUUCAUGGCACGAACUGGUACUAAAGGUGCCCGUGGGGCCCCAGCCUGACCACAGCCUGACGCAACAUCAUUAGUACCGGUUCGUGACACGAACCGGUAUAAAAGGUUGCUCACGAACCGGUACUAAUGAUCUCCGUCCGCCUAGCCGUUGGAACCGACACUAAUGGACACAUUAGUGCCGGCUCAAAAUCAAACCGGCACUAAUAUGCUUCACAUUUGACCUUUUUUCUACUAGUGCCCCCCCCCGCGUGUAUCGCCAUUCCAGUUUUGAAAAGAACAAAAGAAACUGAUAAAAACUUCAAAAAUUAAAAUCCUUCGAGACGUAGUUAUGUUACUACAUCUACUAGUUACGAAAAUUUAAAAACUUAAAUUUGAACAUGUUUUGCAAAAAAGUGUUAUGAAAAAGUAAAACGGCUAUAACUUUUCCAUACAAUGUCGAAAAAACGUAUAAUAUAUCAAAAUAUUUAGCACGAAAAUCCAGAUCCGUUUUCGACGGCCGUAGGCUGUUUUGCAAAUUUUUAGAAUCCUCAAAUUUUGAAAGGAAAAAAAGUUAUCUUCAAAUUUUUUUUUUGAUUUUUUGGUCAAACUCUGGUCAAACUACUUAUUUAAGAAAUAUUAGUGUUACAAAAUUAUUGGUUUUAAGAAUAAUAGUUUCAAACUCAAACGCGAAACUGUGAUUUCAUGCUCAAGUUCAACUCCUAAGGGUUAAUACGAUUGACAGCUUACUAGUCAGGAAAACAACAAGUGCAGACUUGAAACGAUGAGGAAUAGAACUCGGAUGUUAAGCGUGCUCAGGCUGGAGUAGUGAGAGGAUGGGUGACCGGCCGGAAAGUUAGACGAUUUGGAAUGAUGAGGGAUGAUUAGAGAUUAAAGAUUAAAUUGAGCAGUGAUGAGGAGUGAUUAAAGAUUAAAUUCUCAAAUAAUUCAGAAAAUUGAAAAUCAGAAAAAAUUAAAAAAAUAUUCAAAUAUUUUUCUAUUUUUUUUUCAAAAAAAUUCCUUUAAUCCCCAACCGGGACUAAAGGUGGAGCUCAACAGACGUGGAGCCCCUUUACUCCCGGUUCGUAGGUGAACCGGGACUAAAGGUUUUGGGCUUUAGUCCCGACAACCGGGACUAAAGGCCCUCUGAAACCGGGACUAAAGACCCGUUUUCUACUAGUGCAUGGUCCCUCUUACCUUUUAUUUUCACAUUAGAGGUAAGAGUAUAUAAUAAAUUUGAGCCGUUGAUUUCAUUAAGUAGUCGGUCUGAGUAACUCUUACCUUCUUACCUCCCAUGUGAAAAAAUGAGCUACGUGAGAGGGACUAUGUUAAAAUUUCUCGUCGUCAAGGAUAUAAGAAGAAAAUGAACAAUGGUAAGAAUUACCAAGCAAGGAUCAGCUGUAUAUCGAUUAUAUAUAUAUAUAUAUAUAGACUAUUCGUCACCUUGGGUGAGAAAUAGUUAUUCUUCACCCCCCUCUAUUUUACCUUCAAUGCACCGUAAUUUUAUGUUCCGUAAGUUUUGUCUUAUUUCUGACACAAAAAGAGACCGUAAGAAAAUAUAUAAUCGCCGUAAAAAAUAUUUCAUGUUCUGUAAAAUUACAAACGUAAAAACAUAGUGUAAAAUACACAUAAACUGCAAAUUUUCUUGUCUUAUGACCUAUAUUUUUAUUUUCUUAUGCCAAAUUUUACAUAAUGAAUCAAUAUGAAUGUAACUAUAUAUCGCUCUCUUCUUCGCCUUUUUUUCCUGAAUGUGGGAUCCAUUCAAGUGCAUUGACAUGCCUUUUCUUGAUGCUAUGAUUGAGGCAUGUUCUCCCAUUCAGUUAGGCCGAUCAAUGUUUUUUAUUAUACUGUGAACUUUUUAUUAUGAUUAGGUAGUUGAGAAAGUGAUUUCAGAAAACAACGGCCGCGGCAAAGAGAACAACAACCUUAGAAGAAGGAAAAUAAAACUUUUUACAAUUCACUUGUUUAACCUUAGUUGAGAAGAGGAUUUCAGAAGGUGACUUUCUAUUCUUUUUAAGAGAAGGGUGAAUAUGAUUAGCUAGCCAGUUAGGUGAUCAACACAAGAUUAAUAUCAAUGAGAAGGUGAAGAACGAUUUCACUUGUUUUUAAUGAGCUUGUUGAUAACAGACAGGCAAGGCAGGUGAAAAGUGAGUGAGGUCUCUCUGGCUGGACAUCUCUCACUUUUCCUUCUGUGAGAGUGAGUGCUGAGGUCAACCGGACACAAGGCCAACUCUGCUAGUCGUCCUUCUACUCCUAUCACUUUUCUUUCCUGACAAAGACUUGCUCUGAACCCGUAAUUCAGAUUCACGGUGAUGACUAAUCCAUGAACAGGAAAGAAAAAACAUGAUUUAAACAUCCGAUGUUCAAAUUCUGAAUCCACCGAUCCACUAAUCCAGCAUAUUUACACGAAUCUAGAAUGACAUCAACUAGGAUUAACAGGAGCAAUAACUAUGAUUAGCCUUCACGAAGCUUCAUGGAGGAGGAUGUAGUCGUGUUUUCUUGCCGUGCCUGAAACUACGCUUUCCAUCAAUCAGAAAACAAGAGGUGGAGCGGGCAAAAGCGGAAAGGAAAACAAUGUAGAGCGGUCACACACACACAACAGUACUGUACAAUGCUAGUUGGUCGAUGACACUGACAAUUCAAUUGAUUUGCUGCAACCAUUCCAAAGGACAUAGUGGAUAACUUGAUAUACAUACACACACACACAACAUGUUUUGGUUCGCGAAGAUAAGAAGGAAAAACCACUUAUGAUUGUUUCCAAGCUCAAUCAAUUGUAUAUUUUUUUUGAUACAGUGUGAUAUAUAAAUAUCAAGAUGAUAUCAAUUACACCUGGCUUCUGCAACGACACUAUAUCAAGACCAAGUCGUGACAUCGAGGAUGCACACAAUCAAUCGUGUAUAUAUGGGUAUGUUCUCCUUAUGAUCAUGCAUGCAUGUUGCAUGGGCCAAGUGUAUCAGCAGUAUGGCUUUUGUCUGCUGCAUGAUGGAGACAGGUUUCCCGAUUCAGUUAGGCCGAUCUACGGAUUUCGCAGUUCAGCCAUACUUUGUCUGAAAUUCAUUUAUUCUCGUUUCGUGGAUGGCUCUUUUCUGCAGGGAUAAAAUGGACAAGGAUAAGAAGAAAGAAGACACUGCUAAACCAAAGUUACCAAGCAAAUAAACUGUAUAUAUGUCGCCCCCUUCGCCUUUUGUUCCUGAAUGCGUGAUCCAUCCAAGCUUGUUGACAUGGCUUUUGUUGAUGAAUGACUGAGACAGGUUUUCUCAUUCAUUAGGCUGCUCUAAGGAUAUCCGUAUUUGAACUAACUCAACGCUUUCUUUCAUGUCGAUUCCUUGCAUGGACUUUCUCAGCAAGAUGAAGUUAGUGAAACCCUUUCACUGGCAUUGAUCCUGCUGCCCUCGAGCUGUUCAUUGGCGCUGGCCGGUGCAAUGGUGGUGAGGGAAAGGAUGGGGAUUUGUCUUUAUGGUGAAUUGCUCUUGACUACUGCUACUUGUCUUCGAUGUUUCAAUUUGUAUUUUGUACUUGUGAUGAUCUUUAUCGCACAAGUCCAUUUAGGGCAUAAUCUCUUGCCGUCUUUGCAUUUUUUUCUCUUUUUGUUUUGGACGUGUUGGAUUGUGGACAUCUUGUUAUGUAGAUGUCGGAUUGCAGUCAGUGUGGUUGUACCAGCUUUGAUGGGAUGAUUGAAUGAAAUUCCAGCUAGCGAUUUUUUUCUUUUUUUGCAUCCAUUUUCCAUUUUUUUGCAUGCAUGCUUCUGAAAUGGAUCAUUUUGGAUAUUCUGUCAGGUUGCACUAGCCACAAGUUUAAUAGAGGAUUGAUCAUCAAAAGUUGUUUGUCUAGUUGUCCAAAAGAUCGUAUGUUUAUCACGAAAGCAUGGUGCUUGGUAUUUUAUUCUGAGGAAAAACUGACUCUCCGUUUUCACUUUACGUAUCAAAUCCUUAUCAAGGUUUUGUACUUUUUUGCGGUAGAGGUUUGGAACUUUCUACAGUUUGUGUAGAGUUCAGUAUCUGAACUUUGUACAAGAUUAGUAAAGCUUUACACAUCGAGUUUUUUUUUCUGGAACCAACUUUGUUGUGUUUUCUAAAGUGAUAAGACGAAGUGGAAUUGGUAGAGUGACACGACUCGUCAAAUUUGCUUUAAGGCAUCAAGAACUGUAAUCCAAAAACAAGAAGUUUAACCAUUUCACUUAAUUUUAAUGAGUUUACUGAUGUUUGAUGACAGACAUGCAGAGACGGUGAGAGCGAGGUCUUUUAUUUUCUAGAUCAUGGAAGAACAUAUAACUUUUCUCCUUUGUGUGAGUGAGUGGUACUAGUAACUGGUGAGGUCAACUAGCAGGCAAAUGUUCAAUGCUCUCUUUUCUGAUGAAGGUUGUUCUUAACUAACUCUGAAUUACAUGGAGGAUCGGCUGCCUGCCUUUGAUAAAUCAUGCAUCUGAAUUAUCCAAAUUCGAUCCAACCUGAAGAUUGAAUGUGAUGAAGUGGGGGAACAUAGGAGCUGUAAAUGUAAUUAGCUUGCACUGAUCAACUAGGUUAUUUGGGCAUCCGGUGUUGAACUAGCUAGCCAGAGCCGUAAGGAGAAUGAUGUGAAGAUGACACACACAUCCAAUCUCAAGUUUUCGGGUUUGUGCUCGUGUUGUAUAUUUUGCUUUCCAUCAAGAAAAAAUUGUGGUAUAGGAUAAUAGAAUGGAAAUAAAUAAAAGGAAUAGACACUUGCAACAUCUAAGACCAUACCCACCACACGAAUUGUGUGUGUUAUAGCUAGUUCAGGAGAUGACAGUACUGCCAGCUUCUCCUUUGUUCUAGGACAAGAUUUCAAUCCUCUGGUUUGAGGCAUCUUUGCUGCAACUGCUCAAAGGACAUAUAGACAAGGUGAAGAACUACAUAAAGUUGCAACGCAAAAUUAACUAUGCAUAUAUCUAUAUGUUCUCCUUUUCUUCCUGCAUGCAUGAUCCAAGUGUGCCGACAUGCCUUUUGUUGCUGCACCUGCAUGACCGAGAUUAUUUCCCAAUUAUGAUGUCUGAACAUGACUUUUCUCUUAUGCCAAAAUUCAGUUCAAACGAUCCAUGGGUUUCAUCAUUAUGCCAUACUUAUUUUUAAAUUAGUUCACCAAUAUAUACCAUGGAGCACUAGUGAGACCCUUUCUUUCCGGCCUACCAGUACCUUGCCUAGCCUUUCCGUUGAUUCAUUAAGAAGACUGGUCUCUUUUAUGCUGAAACUAGACGCAAAACCAUAGAACUUUCUUUUUCUUUUUCAAAAAGGAGGAAGACCCACGGCCUCUGCAUCAUGUGAUGCACACAGCCAUUUAGAACUAGAAACUGGUAAGUUACUUUCAGUUAACUAGCUAGUGGUUUCCGAGAAGUUCAAGAGGAAACUCAUGUCUUUCUUCGAGAAAUAAGUGAACUUGAGAAAAAUUGACCAACACGUUUAUAAAAGAACAGAGCAACCAUAAUUGCCGAUGUGGUUAGACAAUGGCAUGUAGUACUUGGAAUCAGACUCACACCAAUCAAAAGGGUCUCAAAUCUCUAAGCAUUAAGAUUUUUCAGAUAGUCCUAGCUUGGCUUGGUUUUAGUUCAAUCCAAAUUUAACAAUAGCGCUAAUGUACUUAUAUUAAUAUUAUUGCAGUACAUGAUAAUUAAUUAAUGCAUGAGGUUGUGGUUGUGACCAGGCAAGACCAACUUAUGAACUUGCAAGCAUGGCAUUCAGAUUGAUGUGCAGACAACGCCAACAUCAACAUUGUCUAGAUAAAGAUUAAUUUGUAUUUUAUUCCAUAUUUUAAACAGCUACUUUGGNNNNNNNNNNNNNNNNNNNNNNNNNNNNNNNNNNNNNNNNNNNNNNNNNNNNNNNNNNNNNNNNNNNNNNNNNNNNNNNNNNNNNNNNNNNNNNNNNNNNNNNNNNNNNNNNNNNNNNNNNNNNNNNNNNNNNNNNNNNNNNNNNNNNNNNNNNNNNNNNNNNNNNNNNNNNNNNNNNNNNNNNNNNNNNNNNNNNNNNNNNNNNNNNNNNNNNNNNNNNNNNNNNNNNNNNNNNNNNNNNNNNNNNNNNNNNNNNNNNNNNNNNNNNNNNNNNNNNNNNNNNNNNNNNNNNNNNNNNNNNNNNNNGCGACUAAUAAAAUUUUGACCUCUUUUACAAAAAAAGUGGGUUGUCUAGAUAUGCAACUAGAUGAACAAUAUAUAUGACAAUCUUAAGAAGUAACAAGUGCAAGAAAGAGUAAAACACAAGAUAUAAACUUGCAUAACCGAAAUAAUCACAAGUGGAGUCGUGGAGACUGGGAUGUGUUUUCGAAGUUCCCUGCUUUGAAGAGGUACGUAAAUAAUAGAUGGUGUGCUUUUGUUUGUGCUCCACAUGGUGGCAAUUUUAAAUUCAUAUGUUUGUCUCUUCAUUUAUAUAGAAAAAAUAGCAUGUAAAUUUUUAAUCCACAUUUCUUGCCAUCAUGGUACAGAUGCAAAAUUGCCAUGAACUUUUUCUUUUUUGCCAUCAAAAAUUACACAAACAAUAAUUCCCCCAACAACAACAAUUACCGCAACAACAAUUGCGCCAACAACAAAAGUUCCCCCAACUGCAACAAUUCCCCAAGCAACCACAACAACAAUUUCCCAUACCAUACCCACCCCAACAACCAUUCCCCCAGCAACAACAACCUUCCCCACACCAACAACCAACUGGGAGCGAUGUUAUAAGUAUCAGUGGCCGAUGAAAUGAAGAGAUGUAAUACUAGACGGGUGAAUCAUCGUUGUUAGUCAAUUGAGCAUUUAAUGUAACAAUGAUAAAUAAAGUGAUGUGCACCAUCAUGUGUAACCCCGACCUAUACUAGUUCAAACAUGGGGUAAAAGACAAAUAAGUUCUUUUCUAAAGCACAUUGCUGGCAAUUGUUACAUUCAUGCCAUAUUUCGAUUUUCAUCCCUAACUACAAUCUCAAUGUUAUGCGCUAUCUACUUAUUUAUGAAGUGUAGUAUUAUGAACAUAACAUAUUAACGUGUGUGAAACUUGGUUCAAAUUGAUGUACUAUUAACUCGGGAGUAAGGAUUAAUGACAAUUUAAUAUUUCAAUGGAGAGCCACAUGAGUUGUGCAACCUUCUUAUCUGACAUGGAUCUACAUCAAACUAGGUGUUAAUGUUCUCCACAAACUCCAUGUCAGAUUUCAUUGUUCAUUUAUAGUGAGAAUAAUUGAUUACUUAUGCACUUUUCGCCUUUGAUGUUCCACUCACAAAAUAAGUUUAACUACCAACUAUCUCCAAAAACAAUCUUAGCGGGACAAAAAGUAUCCUCUGACAAAUCACGACCCAUCAAACAAGGUUCAAAUUUGAAGGAAAAUGACCCCUUCAACUUGAGUCAAACAAAUAAUUUGCAUACAAUCAACCGAAAUCAUUAUGGGCUUCUUCAGCCCUCCACUCGAUACACACCUACGCAGGGAGUCCACCAUUGCCGCUACCGAACAACAUUUUUGGAGGCGCACAUUAUCACCCAUAAACACAAAAUAAAUCAAAACGCAAUACAAGCCUAAAAGCGGUCAGUUCCUAGGGCCAGAAAAAGCUUGUUGACCUGCAAUUGCACAUGGUUUAUUUUUCACCUAUUUAAGUAUGAGUAUAAAUCCCACAGGGAAUACAUGAAUUGGACUUUGUCCCUAAGAGACACUUAUGGUAAUGUGCCUGCAUAUUAGUUUUUGACACAAAGCAAAGUGAACGCCAAAGAUUAUAAUGACUUCUGAGUUUAGUGCGAACAAAAGUAAAUAAUGCAAAAGAAUUAAAACAGCGCAGCGGAACGAAUAAAGCAGGGAAACCGGUGGAGGAUUGAAGCAUUCUCAAGGACUCCAUAAUUCCCAUUGCAGUGUGUCUAAGGUAACAUAUGCCACUUCAUAAUUCUAAGCUAGAUACUUGAGUCACUCUUGACAUUUGUUAUUGGGCGUAUCCGGGUACAAAAUACGUUCUACUCGAGGUGUACUCCGUACCACGAAGGCCACCACAGAAGCUUCCCCACUCUAGUUCUCACUGCGGUAAUUAAGGGUUUCCCCGUGGAAGCGGCCUUAUCAAGGGUUCUCCGUUAUGCCCCUAUCAGUUGCAAAGGCGAGGUAAAGAGUCUUUUACACUCACCUUGAAUUACCUCAACAUCCUAACCUUUACAACCAUGGUAAUAUGCCUCGUGGCCUUGCGACAGAAAUGGUGAGUGGGGCACCUUCACAAAAUUCAUGAAGGCUAUUGAAAAAAACAUUCAACAGAGAAUAUCACAUCCUUAUUAACAUUUCAGCCUCCUAUACAUACCAUGGUUCAUCCAAAUCCCUGAGAACUGAGGAAACUACUCACACGUUGAGACAUGGAUGAAACAUCGGAUAAUACAUGUAUGGAUCGUACGAAUAGUGGAAAUAGUGGUGGUAAACAUGGUUUAAACACACGGAUAAUACAUGUAUGGAUCCACAAGGUUUCGGUAUUACAAUGGGAAGGAGAUGGAUGAUGCUGACGUCCCCUUGCACGAGCUGGUGGUGAUAGUGAUCUCCUCCUUUCCUUAAAUCUGCAAGCACAUUUAAAACAACAUCUUGGAGAGAACAGGAAAAAAGAAUUGUGCAGACGCGGUAAAAGCUAGCAAAUUUUACUGUGUAGGCGGGCUUGUGAUGGCUGUGGCAGUGUGGAUCUGACUACCGAGUUGUGACAAGUUGUGUGGGGCGAUGGUGGAGGUCCUCCCUCUUCUGAGCGUGAUAUCUGGCGACGGUGGGUUUCGACAGUCCCUCUCACGGGUGUGGAGGCGGGUCAAGGGGCGGUGAGUGUUGGCCGUGGUUUAGGCUGGCACUGGCGGAUCUGGGCAGGGGGAUUCAAUGGAGAGGCGGGGCUGGCAUUGGUGCGACUUCUCAGCGACUGGAGUUGCCGGCUGUUCGGAGCGCCCCCGCCCCUCUUGAUGGGGUGGCGCCCCCCUCGUGCAUAUGUCGGCAGCGGGUCGGUGAUGCAGACUAGCCGCCGGGCAAGGAGUUUGACAUGGUCGUCCUUGUCGGGGUUAGUUGCUCCCCACACAAGUUUUAGUGCUUAGUCGCCUAGGAUUAGGGUUUUUUGACUCUGGGUCGUUGUCGGUCAAGCCAAGGUGAAUGCUUGCAGCUCUGUUGGGGGAGGCACCUCCACACAUUGUAGUGUCGGUGAUGAUUGGUAGAUGUGGUGGUCAGGGCUAUGAUAUGCCGGCUGGUGGACCAGUGCCUCAGUUCACAGACUUGGCAUCUACGCUGGUCUCGACGAUGGUCGUCGGCAGUCACCUAGCGAGGUGACUGAUGCCGGGCUUUACUUGCUGCGAUUUGUGCAUUGUGAAGCGAGCGGGUCUAGGUGGUGCUCGGUGGUGAUGGUUGUGUUAGCAUUGCAUUCGUGCGCGGAUCAGUGCCGGUGAUCGCAAACAUGGCGUGGUGCGAGCUCGCCUGGCCAAGGGCUCGGUGCUGGCUCACCGGCGGUCCCCCUACUCCACCGACCAUUGGCUGGGGAUGCAGGUGUGGGUGCGUCCUAUGGUGGAGGUGCCCAACCAAACUCUUGGACUGAGUCUGGGCUAGGAGUAGAUGGAGUGUCGUCGCUCUUCCUACCAUGGUUGGCUACGUUGUCAUGUGAGCGGCGUAUGGUAUUUCGCAACAAGGAUGCCGGGUUGGCGGCCCCUGAUGGCGGGCCGCAUGAUUGCUCUUUGGCAGCCAUUAUUUCGUUGGUGGUGGCUCCCCUCCUGGGUUGUGGGGGCAACGGGAGGUGUUGCGGUUAGUAGCUCAGACGUGCCCUCUCUCUCGGAGGGGCAGCGUCCUGAUCAAGAUCUGGGGAUCUAACAUCAACGCGCUAGUCCUGAGGACCUCGUGGUGGCACAGGUGAGUUGUCGAGCAAAAGCUCCGUGCCUUGGCGUCGCCGCUGACGACACUCAUGGGUGCCACACUCUUCUUGAAGACGUCGUUGUGGUUCUUCUCUCCGUGUCAGGGCUCCGGGUGUAGAACUUUGUCUGGUGUGGACUCAGCAGGGGCGACGCUGUGCGGAGUUCUCCCACUUGGGGCCGUUGUCGUGGAGCUUAGGUGUGCUAGGUCGUAGCGUGAGGAUGUUUUGUUCUUCCGGUGCUUGUUGCUGGUAGCGUAGAAGCGUGCGUUUUGCAUGUGCCGGACAACUCAGGACCGACUUUGUAAGGUCUACGUGACCAUAUUGUAUCGUUUGGCCGUGUGCAUCUUUGGAUGUUGCUUUGUUUAUAAAGCGGGGCAAAAGCCUAUUUCGAGAACAACGAAAACAACAGCAACAACAAACAAAUCAACAACUUCAGAAUAGUUUAUCUUUUAAAAUUUCACUUGCUUAAUAAACUACAUGCAUAGGACUUUCUACAGUGUUUUAGAGAAGGACAACUACGAUUUGCUAGCUAGCUAGUUAGGUAUUUCAACACAACAUCAACAGGAAGGAGGAGAAGAACUGUUAACAGCCAGGCAGGCAGGUGGAGAGUGGAUGUGUGAGAGUGAGGUCUCUCUGGCUUUUUCCUGUAUGGUACCCCUACUUCCUUCGCUGACAAAGACCUGUUCUGAAUCUGUAAUACUGAUUCACAGUAAUGAUGGUGGAUCGACUAUAUCUUGACUAAUCCAUGUACAACGAAAAUUACUACGUACAUGAUUAAAAAUCCAAGGGUCAAAUCCUGAUCAAUCGAUCCGGCAAAUUCUGCACGAAUCUAGCAUGACAUCAUGUGUGAUUAACAAGAGUUUCAAUUAUAAUUAGCCUCCGAGAAGCAACAUGGAGGAGGAUGUAGUCGUGUUUUUGGCCUUGUUAGAAACUUCGCUUUCCAUCAAUCUGAAAACAAGUGGUAGAGGGCAAAAAAAUUAAAAAAAACAUGUGUAGAGGAUACCGCAACACAUAAAGCCACACACACAAAAACAGCAGUAUGCUAGCUGGUCCAUGACAUUGACAAAUCAAUUGAUUUGCUGCAACCAUAUGUAUGAAUAAUAUCGCCAAGGAUAAGAGAAGGAAAAAAUAUAAAUAUACCGAUAGGCUCUUCUUUUGUUCAUGGAUGCAUGUUGCAUGAGCCAAGUGUAUUGGCAGUAUGGCUUGUGUUUGCUGCAUGAUGGCGGCAGGUUCCCAUUCAGUUAGGCAUGCUAAGUCCUAAAUUCAUUUAUUCACGUAUCAGGUAGAAGUAGAACAAAUUUCAUUUCUUUUCUGUAGGUUCCUUGCUUAAAAGAAAAUAGAAAAAAAUACACUUCUAUAAUUACCAGAAAAAAUCAACUGUAUGUCGCUCAGCCUUCCCUUUUUGUUCCGUAUCAGUAUCAACAAUCAUAGUACUAAUAGCUUUCUAUACUGGCGGUAGUAAAUUCAAUAAAAGAAACCUGGAGACUAUCUGAACAAUUUGAAACAAUAUAUACAAAUUGAGAUCAACUAACGACAAAAAUCCAAAAGAAAUGUUCAUGUCUACGUGGAGUGAAUCGAUCAAGCCGUGCAAAGCCCUAACAAUUCGUUUUGUAUUAAUAACUCAUAUGACAAUACAACCGCUCCAUAUGAAAAUGUAAUAUGAUGAUUCAUGAAUGCUUAUCCAUCUUAUAAAUAUAUUGUGCAAAAAAUAUCGAGUUAGUUCAGAGAAAACGCUGUCUAGAACAAUCUUCACAUUAAUAGUGUGAUCUAUCUCAACGACUCACACAAGAUUACAUAGUUUGUUCCCUUAAGUAUGCCAAUCUGGAUACGCCUAACAAUAUGUAGAACAUGACAAACUAAAUCAGAACAAGGGACAAAAUCUAGAUCAAUGUUUGAAGUGUAAAGUGAAUACGAUGAGUCAUUUGUCGUUAUCAAGCAUUCCAUACACCUAGAUGAUAUGUGCAAGAACAAUCAACUAUGACGAAUAAUCCAAAAUCACGAUAGUAAGUAGUACCAUAAAACACGACAUACCAAAUUAUUGUAAAUGAUAAGCUUAAGAGCACUUUUUCAAGAAGCACGUGUAAAGAUUACAAACUUAGUUCCCUUAAGUUAUGCCAAUCUGGAUACACCUAACAACAUGUAGAACAUCACAAACUAAAUCGGAAAGACGGACAAAAUCUAGAUCAAUGUUUGAAGUGUAAAGUGAAUACGAUGAGUCAUUCAUCGUGAUCAAGCAUUCGAUACAGCCAGAUGAUAUGUGCAAGAACAAUCAACUAUGAUGAACAAUCCAAAAUCAUGCUAGGAAGUAGUGCCACCAAACACAACAUAUCAAAUUAUUAGGUCGAUAAUCGUAAGUGCACUUUUUCAAGAAAAGAGUGGGAAGAUGAAAACAAAAUAUGUCAUGCCUGCUAUAAAUACGACUACACCAUGUGGGUCUCUUCCAUCAUCUAACCUUCAAACACCUAAAGCAAAAACACCAAAGCCAAGUGAGCAAUAGUAAACACAAAUCAAACAUGAAGACCUUCAUCAUAUUUGUCCUCCUUGCUAUGGUGAUGAGCAUCGCCAGUGCCACUAGGCAACUAAGCCCUAGAAGCAAGGAGUUGCAAACACCACAAGAACAAUUCCCCCAACAGCAAUUUCCUCAACCACAACAAAUCCUCCAACAACAAUUCCCCCAACAACAACAAAUCCCCCAGCAACCGCAACAAUUCCCCCAACAACAAAUCCCGCAACAGCAAAUCCCGCAACAACAAAUCCCCCAACAACAACNNNNNNNNNNNNNNNNNNNNNNNNNNNNNNNNNNNNNNNNNNNNNNNNNNNNNNNNNNNNNNNNNNNNNNNNNNNNNNNNNNNNNNNNNNNNNNNNNNNNNNNNNNNNNNNNNNNNNNNNNNNNNNNNNNNNNNNNNNNNNNNNNNNNNNNNNNNNNNNNNNNNNNNNNNNNNNNNNNNNNNNNNNNNNNNNNNNNNNNNNNNNNNNNNNNNNNNNNNNNNNNNNNNNNNNNNNNNNNNNNNNNNNNNNNNNNNNNNNNNNNNNNNNNNNNNNNNNNNNNNNNNNNNNNNNNNNNNNNNNNNNNNNNNNNNNNNNNNNNNNNNNNNNNNNNNNNNNNNNNNNNNNNNNNNNNNNNNNNNNNNNNNNNNNNNNNNNNNNNNNNNNNNNNNNNNNNNNNNNNNNNNNNNNNNNNNNNNNNNNNNNNNNNNNNNNNNNNNNNNNNNNNNNNNNNNNNNNNNNNNNNNNNNNNNNNNNNNNNNNNNNNNNNNNNNNNNNNNNNNNNNNNNNNNNNNNNNNNNNNNNNNNNNNNNNNNNNNNNNNNNNNNNNNNNNNNNNNNNNNNNNNNNNNNNNNNNNNNNNNNNNNNNNNNNNNNNNNNNNNNNNNNNNNNNNNNNNNNNNNNNNNNNNNNNNNNNNNNNNNNNNNNNNNNNNNNNNNNNNNNNNNNNNNNNNNNNNNNNNNNNNNNNNNNNNNNNNNNNNNNNNNNNNNNNNNNNNNNNNNNNNNNNNNNNNNNNNNNNNNNNNNNNNNNNNNNNNNNNNNNNNNNNNNNNNNNNNNNNNNNNNNNNNNNNNNNNNNNNNNNNNNNNNNNNNNNNNNNNNNNNNNNNNNNNNNNNNNNNNNNNNNNNNNNNNNNNNNNNNNNNNNNNNNNNNNNNNNNNNNNNNNNNNNNNNNNNNNNNNNNNNNNNNNNNNNNNNNNNNNNNNNNNNNNNNNNNNNNNNNNNNNNNNNNNNNNNNNNNNNNNNNNNNNNNNNNNNNNNNNNNNNNNNNNNNNNNNNNNNNNNNNNNNNNNNNNNNNNNNNNNNNNNNNNNNNNNNNNNNNNNNNNNNNNNNNNNNNNNNNNNNNNNNNNNNNNNNNNNNNNNNNNNNNNNNNNNNNNNNNNNNNNNNNNNNNNNNNNNNNNNNNNNNNNNNNNNNNNNNNNNNNNNNNNNNNNNNNNNNNNNNNNNNNNNNNNNNNNNNNNNNNNNNNNNNNNNNNNNNNNNNNNNNNNNNNNNNNNNNNNNACAACAAUUCCCCCAACAACCACAACAACAAUUCCCCCAACAACAAUUUCCCAUACCAUACCCACCCCAACAACAAUCACAAGAAGCUUCCCCAUACCAACAAUACCACAACAACAACUAUCUGGGAGCGACGUUAUAAGUAUCAGUGGCCGAUGAAAUGAAGAGAUGUAAUACUAGACAGGUGAAUCAUCGUUGUUAGUCAAUGGAGCAUAAUGUAACGGGUAUAAAUAAAAUGAUGUGCACCAUCAUGUGUAACCCCGACCUGUACUAGUUCAAACAUGGGAAUAAAAGACAAAUAAGUUCUUUUCUGAAGCACAUUGCUGGCAAUUGUUAUAUUCAUGCCAUAUUUCGAUUUCCAUCGCUAACUACAAUCUCAAUGUUAUGGUCUAUCUACUUAUUUAUGAAGUGUAGUACUAUGAACAUAACAUAAUUAACAUGUCUGAAAAUUGGGUCAAAUUGAAGUACUAUUAAUUCAAGAGUAAGGAGUAAUUACAAUUUAACAUUUCAAUGGAGAGCUCUAAUUGUAGACUGCGUUGUUAAUUCCCCGAAGAGGAGAGGAUGAUGUAGUAUAGUAGAGAUAAGUAUUUCCCUCAGCUAAGAACCAAGGUUAUUAAUCCAGUAGGAGAACCACACAAAACCUCGUUAGCAGCACCUGCACACACAACAGCAAACACUUGCACCCAACGCAAAUAAGAGGGUUGUCAAUCCUCUUAGCGAUUAUUUGCAAGGAUUAGUUCUGACAGUGAUACAUAGAUAAAAUAAAUUACUAAAUAAAAUAAAAAUAAAUAAAUUGCNNNNNNNNNNNNNNNNNNNNNNNNNNNNNNNNNNNNNNNNNNNNNNNNNNNNNNNNNNNNNNNNNNNNNNNNNNNNNNNNNNNNNNNNNNNNNNNNNNNNNNNNNNNNNNNNNNNNNNNNNNNNNNNNNNNNNNNNNNNNNNNNNNNNNNNNNNNNNNNNNNNNNNNNCAGAGUUUUCACUAGAGGAUUCUCUCUUGAUCAUAGAGCAUAUGGUGGGUAAACACAUUACUGUUGGGCAAGCUAUUAUAUACUAAAAGGAAAAUAUUGGUCCAAAAUAGAGAAUAGGCUAGAAAAUCCGGCGUUAAUUAGAAAAUAUGAACCCUUGAUCCGUUUAAUUUUAAAAAUUAUAAAUCUAUGACCGUUCAAUAUACGUAACAAGGUAGGGCGUGGAUAACUUCCCGCGUAACGUGACACAUGUAAGAAACACAAACAUGGGUCCAGUUAAGGCAAACACGUAGAUGUGUUGAAGUGGGAAUGAAUAGAAUUGCUACGUCCGAAUAUGCAAGAGAUAUAAAAGAAGAAGAAAACUAAAGAACAUGUCGUGUUCAGAUUGGACUAAACGUAUGUGCGUAUACAACCACAACCACAAUCCGAAAGGUCCAGCCAUUAAUCCCGUGGGUCCAUCCAAAACAAAAGGUGGAUAUCCAUCUAAUUGCCCCACGUCCAUGGAACAUACUUAUUAGAGUCCACAAACAACAGCUGCUGGUCUCUUUUACAUGAUCCUCCUUGCACUGUUAGGACUUUGCCGUCGGACAUCCCAAAGUUCUUGUGAAGUUCACAUCUAAAAAUACUAUCAUAAUAAAAAAAAUCCAUUUCAUACUCCAGGAAAGAUAUCACCGUCCCAAAGUUUCAAUUGCAAUCUAAGUUUUGCCACAACUGGGUAUUUAAAGCUUAUUUUGCCAUAGCCAGGCAAUUUCAGCCACUAAGGUUUUUGUGGCAGAUCAAGCAUCUUCCCAUUGGAAACUCCCAACUGUAAAAAGACCAGCAAAUUAGCAAUCAUUGGCAAAUCAGCAAUCUUAUAGCGGCAGCAGCUCCCAUCAAUCAGGCAACUCAUCUUUCAAAAAUCAGAGACAAUAAGCAACCAUACACAUCAUGGACAUAUGAUAUUAACGAUAAUUACAUAUGUGAUUUCUGUGUUGAAUUUCGUACAACAUCACCAUGAAGAGAAGCGCAUCCACAUGGCAAGUAAUUUCCAAAAGCCGCCAAGAAGGUGAAAAGCAAUCAAAUAUGCAAUCCAACAAGUUAAUUAUUAAGCUAUAGACCAUGCAUGUUUCAGUGGUGCAUACAAGAUCAGUAGAACAAAUUCCUAGCCGUUACGACAUUCAUCAGGGAGGCGAGGACUGUGAAGCGAGGGGUUGCGAGCUGGAGGGAAUGGCGGCACACCCCGUGUCUCAGCCGAGAGAGGAGAGGCCGGGGAUAGAAUUAAGAGAGACACGAGAGAUGACAGAUGAUAGGCUAGGGAUCGUUGGGCGUUCUCACAUAUUGCGUGGAGGUGGUUAGCUAAAUGGGGCAGCACAAAGGCCCAGUCAACCGCAGGUGGCAGAGUUUUCUCCCAGUGCAGCAGCCCUUUAGGACAGUUGAGCCAAGAAAUAUAAUUACAAAAUUAGGGAUUCAUCCAAUAGUCAGAAAUGAUCUAUACAAGUGAUCUGAUAGUUACAAAUGUUGAAUGCUUGAGAGAGCUGGGAUAAGGCUAGGUUUUACUGUCCUAAAUGUAUUAGAUAUGUAGAAUCUGACAGUUAUUAAAGUUUAAUUGUCCUUCGAAACAAACUAUGGCUAAUCACCACUACGCUAAUUACUUUUUACAAUUGUUGAACAUGAAUGGGGGUUAGGGGGGCGUAACACUGCUGAUGAGGGUCCCAACCCCGAAAAAGGUGGAGGGUGCAUGAUCAAAUUAACAUCUAACACUAACAUGCAAUACCUUUUAAGUUCUUAUAUUGAUUCAAUCGCAAAAGGGAGAAAUGAAACAAAAGUAGGCAGCGGGACCUGGAAGUCAACAGAGGAAACAGAAGGGUAUGCUCAUCGUGUGGAAUCGUUUGUGGGGGCGAGCUGAGUAAACAGAGGAAGGUGAUCGAAUGACGUCUCAGGUUUAUUUGUUUACUGAACAGACAGACAUGUGUAAGUUUUUUUUCCCUUUGAGGGGAAAGACGUGUGUAACUAGGGAGAGAUGAUUUUGCACGUUCUGUAUUUUUUUCCACCAGAAAACAGAUACUACUUUAACAAAUAAAUCCUACACUAAAUAUUUUAUAUGCUGCAAAUUACAGGCCACAUACGCAUGAGCCUAAAUUAUAGGCGACUAUUUCAUAGGGUGAAAGUAAACAAAAUAGAAAAUCUUAUAGGCGACAUAAGCAUGAACCUAAAUUAUAUAUUUUAUAUGCUGCAAAUUAUUUUAAAAACAUGUGAAAAUAUAGUGCAUGAUCAUCAGACCAAAAACUCUAGCCUGUACAAAACACUCAUAUUUAGACGUAUAUUUCAUAUGGAGCUGCCAAUUCAUAUCAAUCCGGCACUACAACAGUAACACUAUCGUGCAGCCGCUUAAGUCAAAUCUAAGGUUAAAGCUAAUCAACACAAAAUAUCCAAUGUAAAAGGAAUUACUUAUACUAAAAAAUAUAAAAUAUACCUAAGAGUGCGAACAAUGACGAAUAUUUACUAUAAGAGUGCUAGCCCUCGCAUUUGCGAGGGCCACCUUGCUAGUUGAUAAAAAACAAAUAAUUAUGAUGGAUUCAUGGCAAUGAUCAUGUAUAUAGGCAUCACGUUCGAGACAAGUAGACCGACUCCCGUCUGCAUCUACUACUAUUACUCCACCCAUCGACCACUAUCCAGCAUGCAUCCAGAGUAUUAGGUAUAAAACAGAGUGACGCCUUAAGUACGAUGACAUGAUGUAGAUAAAGUAAAUUCAAGAAAUAUGAUUAAACCCCAUCUUUUUAUCCUUAAUUGUCAGCCCAUUGGCUGUUAUUUUCCCCGAUCUGACCGUCCGCGACGCUCCUGUUGUUCGCAACGCUACCGCUACGACUGCGGGAGCAUGUCAUUUUCGUUAUACAUGUAACCCAAAAAUAUCUCUAACAUUAAUGACAACAAUACAAAUACGUGUUAUGUCCGUUUUUGUCACUGGGAUUGAGCAAUGCAAGAUUGAAUCCAUCACAAAGCACCUCUCCCCAUUGCAAGAUAAACCAAUCUAGUUGGCCAAACCAAAUCGAUAGAUCAGGGAGAAAUAUAAAGCUAAAAUAAUCACGCAUAAAAGAGCUCAGAGAAGACUCAAAUAUUUCUCAUGAAUCAUAUGAUCAUAAACUCACGAUUCAUUGGAUCCCAACAAACACACCGGAAAAGAAGAUUACAUCGGAUAGAACUCCAAGAACAUCGGGGAUAACUUUGUAUUGAAUAUCAAAGAGAGAGAAGAAGCCAUUUAGCUAUUGGCUAUGGACCCAUAGGUGUGUGGUAAAAUACUCACACAUCAUCGGAAGGACAGCAUUGUUUAUGUGGAAGCCCUUCGUGAUCGAUUCCCCCUCCGGCAGAGUACUGGAAAAGGCCUCCAGACGGGAUCGCGGAAGAACAGAGGCUUGCGGCGGCGAAAAAGUUUUGUCAUCUAUCUCUCUGGUGGUUAUGGAAUAUUUGUGAAUUUAUAGUGGAAGAAUUAGGUCAGGAGGUGCCACGAGGGGGCCAUAAGCCUAGGGGCGCGGUGAUACGUCCAUUUUGCAUCAUGUUUUAUUACGGUUAUUUAUUAAGUUUUGAGCCAAUAUAACACUUCAUGGAGUAUUUCUAAUGCCUUUUCUCUCUUAAUCUGCAAGGUUUACACAAAGAGGGAGAAUACCGGCAGCUGGAUUUCAGGGCCUGAAAAAGCUACAUCAGAGAUCCCUAUUCUGCACAUCUCCAAAUGGGCUGAAAAUUCACGAAGAUUUAUUUUAGAAUAUAAAAAAAAUACUGGGCCAAAGAUCCACGGGAGGAGGCCACCCAGGUGCCCACACAACAAUAGGGCGCGCCCCACCCCUGGGGCGCGCCCUGAUGCUGUAUGAGGCCCCUGGCCCACUUCAGCCCCCCUCCUUCUGGUAUAUAAGUCAUUUUACCAUAAAAUAUUUAUGGGGAGACUUUCAGGACGAGGCGCCGCCGCCACGAGGCGGAACUAGAGCAGGAGAAAUUUGGCUCUCCGGCGGGCAGAUUCCGCCGGGGAUACUUCCCUCCGGGAGCUGGAAAUCAAAGCUUACGCCAUCACUAACAACCCUCUCAUCGUGGGAGGGCCAAUCUUCAUCAUCAUAAACCACAACACCAUCUCAUCUCUAUCCCUAGUUCAUAUCUUGUAUUCGAUCUCUGUGUCAAAACAUUAGAUUGGUACUUGUGUUUGACUAGUAGUGUUGAUUACUUAUCGUAGUUGAUGCUAGUGGAUUUGUUUGGUGAAUUACCAAAUGUUCUGAUCGUGCAUCCAAAUUAUAUCCUCUCUGAUCAUGAACAUGAUGAUGAUGUGUGAGUAGUUACUUUUAUUCUUGAGGACAUGGGAGAAGUCUUGUCAUUAGUAAUCAUGUGAUUCCACUGGUAGAAAACUGGGCUUUGGUCACAGGGCAAUAUUCACAUUAGUCCCGGUGCAGUCACGAACGGGGACUAAUGUGAGCAUUGGUCCCGGUUCGUGCGGCCAGGGGCCUGCCGGGCCUCGUGGGGGCAUUGGUCCCGGUUCGUCCGGCCCCUUUGGUCCCGGUUGGUGGGACAAACCGGGACCAAUGGGCCACGCUCCUGGCCCACCACCCUUUAGUCCCGGUUCAUACCACAAACCGGGACUAAAGGGCUGGUCCUAGUUGCGGCCAGUGUUUAGUCCCUCCUCGCCAACCGAAGGGCGCUCACACCAGUUUAUAAGCCCGUCCCUCUCUGCCUUGUUGAGCUUCUCUUAAAGUGAAAAUAGAUGCCCUUAUACAGGGAAUUUGACCUAAAUUCACAGUAAAUUUCAUAGAAAUUUGUUAUGAAUUUAGGUUUAAUUUUCUCUAUAAGCGCAUCUAUGUUCAUUUUUUAUAUUUAUAAAAUAAAUAAACAUUAAUAAAAUAAAUAAAACUAAAUAAACCUUAAUAAAAUAAAAUAAAAUAAACUAUAGUAACUACAAUAAAUAAACCUUAAUAAAUUAAGUAAAAAUAGCAGCAGUAAAAUAAAUAAAAAUAGCAGCAGUAAAAUAAAUAAAAAUAAAAUAAUUAAAGUAAAAUACAUAAGUAAUUAUAAAUAAAAUAAAUAAGUUUUUUGUUGUAAGUAGAACAAAACAAAACAAAUAAAGCAAAAGAGAAAAAAAACAGAGGAACAAAAUUAUGCCACCUACUGGGCCACCACGGCCUGAAUACGACUAGAAACCCAUCCAUGGGCCAGGAUUCANNNNNNNNNNNNNNNNNNNNNNNNNNNNNNNNNNNNNNNNNNNNNNNNNNNNNNNNNNNNNNNNNNNNNNNNNNNNNNNNNNNNNNNNNNNNNNNNNNNNNNNNNNNNNNNNNNNNNNNNNNNNNNNNNNNNNNNNNNNNNNNNNNNNNNNNNAAAAAAUUAUGCCACCUACUGGGCCACCACGGCCUGAAUACGACUAGAAACCCAUCCAUGGGCCAGGAUUCAGGCCCGCAGAAGGCCCAGUAGGCCCCACAGGCAAAGAGAACAGUUAGGCCCGAAAGCCUGCAGUUGAGAGGAGUUCGAGAGGGUGGGCGCAGCAGCGCUUAUAAACCACUCUCGAGCUCUCUCAACUAGCGAGGUGGGACUAAACUUUUGACGCGGGGCAGCACAAGGCCUUUGGUCCCGGUUGGUGCCACCAACCGGGACUAAAGGAGGCAUUGGUCCCGGUUCGUGGCACCAACCGGGACAAAGGCCUUUAGUCCCGGUUGGUGCCACGAACCGGGACCACCGAGUUCCCUAUAUACCCCAUCGCCACAGCAGAGCACUCCAGAGUGCUCUGUUUUUUCUGGCCGCGAGGGGAGGGCAUUUGGGUGCUCUAGCUCACCUCCUAUGCACAUGAGGUGUUCGAUGAAAUGUCUGAGCCACACUAGUUAAUCUUUGUCCUCUCGAAACUCGACCUCCGAGCUCCAUUUUCCCCGAGAUUUGUCUAGGUUUAGCGGUCCGUCACGUCCCGUCCCCGUCUUCACCGCCGUCGAUCGCCCGCGCCGAUCUCGUCGCCAGCACCACCGUGGUGAGCCUCUUGUUCUUAUCUUCUUUCUGAAAGGAAAAAAAUUCUUACUUUAGAUAGUUACUUGUCUAAUUUUGUUACUUUUAUUAUUCCUUCUUAUUACAUAGUGCGAUGGUUUUGGUAUCCGCCCCCGUCGGCCCUCAUCCUGUCUAUGAUUCGGAUGUGGUAUAUAUUAUCUUUUUAUAACUAUUUGGUUCAUUUACUGUUUAUGACAAAUAUACCGACCAACGUGACAUAGAUUUUAUUUAUCUAGGAGGUGGUUGAACCGGAAAUUCUAACCGACCCUAUUGUUGAGAGGUUAAAUUUAGUUGAAGAAGAAAACAAUUAUUUGAAGGAAAAAAUAAAAAAAAUUGAGGAGGAGAAGAUGAUAUUGGAGUGGCAUGUUGCGGAUGUCGUCGAUGAUCACAAGAUCAAGAUGGAUGCAAUGCGCUUAAAGAUUAGAAAGAUUAGAAAAUAUGCCAUUCAUACUGAGGCUUGGUAUCAUUAUGCCAUUGGAUCAAUUGUUACCUUGGUUGCGAUUAUGAUCGCAUUUGUUUUCGCAUUGAAAUGUUUUACAUAGUUUCAAUGUAUGGUUUAAUUAAUUAGAUGCUCUGGAGAGCUAUAUAUAUGUUGUUAGAUGAGAACUAUGUAUGUACUUUGGUUUUAAUGUGAUGAUGAACUUCUAUUAAUUUGGUCACUUAAUUAUCUAUUCAUGAUGUUCUGUAAUGGUUUUUGACACACUUAAUUAUAUAUAAUGCACGCAGAUGAACCGGCAAUGGAUGUACGAUGACAGACACACCUCCGAGUACAUUAAGGGCGUGCAUGAUUUUCUCGAAGUGGCUGAGGCAAACAAGCAGAAUGGUUUUAUGUGUUGUCCAUGCCCUAUAUGUGGGAAUACGAAGUCUUACUCUGACCGGAAAAUCCUUCACACCCACCUGCUUUACAAGGGUUUCAUGCCACACUAUAAUGUUUGGACGAGGCACGGAGAAAUAGGGCUUACGAUGGAAGACGGUGAAGAAGAAGAGGAUGAUGACAACUAUGUGCCCCCUGAAUACGGUGAUGCUGCAACGGGGGAAGCUGCUGAAGAUCAAGAGGAACCAGACGAUGUGCCCAAUGAUGCUGCAAGGGGGGAAGCUGCUGAAGAUCAAGAGGAACCAGUGCCCGAUGAUGAUGAUCUCCGCCGGGUGAUAGUCGAUGCAAGGACGCAAUGCAAAAGUCAAAAGGAGAAGCUGAAGAUCGAUCGCAUGUUAGAGGAUCACAAAAAAGGGUUGUACCCCAAUUGCGAAGAUGGCAACACAAAGCUCGGUACCGUACUGGAAUUGCUGCAGUGGAAGGCAGAGAAUGUUGUGCCUGACAAAGGGUUUGAGAAGCUAUUGAAAAUAUUGAAGAAGAAGCUUCCAAAGGAUAACGAAUUGCCCGACAGUACAUACGCAGCAAAGAAGGUCGUAUGCCCUCUAGGAUUGGAGGUGCAGAAGAUACAUGCAUGCCCUAAUGACUGCAUCCUCUACCGCGGUGCGUACAAGGAUCUGAACGCAUGCCCGGUAUGCGGUGCAUUGCGAUAUAAGAUCAGACGAGAUGACUCUGGUGAUGUUGACGGCGAGCCCCCCAGGAAGAGGGUUCCUGCGAAGGUGAUGUGGUAUGCUUCUAUAAUACCACGGUUGAAAUGUCUGUUCAGAAACGAAGAGCAUGCCAAGUUGAUGCGAUGGCACAGUGGGGACCGUAAGAAAGACGGGAAGUUGAGAGCACCCGCCGACGGGUCGCAGUGGAGAAAAAUCGAGAGAAAGUACUGGGCUGAGUUUGCAGCUGACCCAAGGAACGUAUGGUUUGGUUUAAGCGCGGAUGGCAUUAAUCCUUUCGGGGAGCAGAGCAGCAAUCACAGCACCUGGCCCAUGACUCUAUGUAUGUAUAACGUUCCUCCUUGGAUGUGCAUGAAGCAGAAGUUCAUUAUGAUGCCAGUUCUCAUCCAAGGCCCUAAGCAACCCGGCAACGACAUUGAUGUGUACCUAAGGCCAUUAGUUGAAGAACUUUUACAGCUGUGGAAUGGAAACGGUGUACGUACGUGGGAUGAGCACAAAAAGGAGGAAUUUAACCUGCACGCGUUGCUGUUUGUAACCAUCAACGAUUGGCCCGCUCUCAGUAACCUUUCAGGACAGACAAACAAGGGAUAGCACGCAUGCACGCACUGUUUAGAUGACACUGAAAGUAUAUACCUGGACAAAAGCAGGAAGAAUGUGUACCUGGGCCACCGUCGAUUUCUUCCGACAAACCAUCAAUGUCGAAAGAAAGGCAAGCAUUUCAAAGGCGAGGCAGAUCAGCGGAAGAAGCCCGCCAUGCGUACCGGUGAUCACGUACUUGCUAUGGUCAAUGAUUUACACGUAAUCUUUUGAAAGGGUCCCGGCGGACUAGCUGUUCCGAAUGACGCUGAGGGACACGCACCCAUCUGGAAGAAGAAAUCUAUAUUUUGGGACCUACCCUGCUGGAAAGAGCUAGAGGUCCGCUCUUCAAUCGACGUGAUGCACGUGACGAAGAACCUUUGCGUGAACCUGCUAGGCUUCUUGGGCGUGUAUGGGAAGACAAAAGAUACACCUGAGGCACGGGAGGACCUGCAAUGUUUGCACGAAAAAGACGGCAUGCCUCCGAAGCAGUAUGAAGGUCCUGCCAGCUACGCUCUUACGAAAGAAGAGAAAGAAAUCUUCUUUGAAUGCCUGCUCAGUAUGAAGGUCCCGACUGGCUUCUCGUCGAAUAUAAAGGGAAUAAUAAAUAUGCCAGAGAAAAAGUUCCAGAACCUAAAGUCUCAUGACUACCACGUGAUUAUGACGCAACUGCUUCCGGUUGCAUUGAGGGGGCUUCUACCAGAAAACGUCCGAUUAGCCAUUGUGAAGCUAUGUGCAUUCCUCAAUGCAAUCUCUCAGAAGGUGAUCGAUCCAGAAAUCAUACCAAUGCUAAGGAGUGAUGUGGCGCAAUGUCUUGUCAGUUUCGAGCUGGUGUUCCCGCCAUCCUUCUUCAAUAUCAUGACGCACGUCCUAGUUCAUCUAGUCGACGAGAUUGUCAUUCUGGGGCCCGUAUUUCUACACAAUAUGUUCCCCUUUGAGAGGUUCACGGGAGUCCUAAAGAAAUAUGUCUGUAACCGCGCUAGGCCAGAAGGAAGCAUCUCCAUGGGCCAUCAAACAGAGGAUGUCAUUGGGUUUUGUGUUGACUUCAUUCCUGGCCUUAGGAAGAUAGGUCUCCCUAAAUCGCGGUAUGAGGGGAGACUGACUGGAAAAGGCACGCUUGGAGGGGACUCAAUAAUAUGCAGGGACGGAUAUUGUUGGUCUCAAGCACACUACACAGUUCUACAGAACUCUACCUUGGUGACCCCGUAUGUCGAUGAACACAAGAACAGUCUGCGCUCCAAACACCCGGAGCAGUGUGACGACUGGAUUACAUGUGAACACAUCAGGACUUUCAGCAGUUGGUUGGAAACACGUCUCAUAGGUGACACCACUGUUUGUGUUGAGUUGUACUCAUUGUCCAGGGGACCAUCUUCGACUGUAUUGACUUACAAAGGAUACGAGAUAAAUGGGAAUACAUUUUACACGAUCGCCCAAGAUCAAAAGAGCACCAACCAAAACAGCGGUGUCCGCUUUGAUGCAGCAACCGAGAGGGGAAAGGACACAUAUUAUGGUUACAUAAUGGACAUAUGGGAACUUGACUACGGACAUGAUUUUAAGGUCCCUUUGUUUAAGUGCAAAUGGGUCAAUCUGUCAGGAGGUGGGGUACAGGUAGACCCACAGUACGGAAUGACAACAGUGGAUCUGAACAAUCUUGGGUACACUGAUGAACCGUUCGUCCUAGCCAAUGAUGUGGCACGGGUUAUCUAUGUGAAGGACAUGUCUACCAGACCGAGGAAAAGAAAAGAUAAGGAAGCGAAUACAUCAUACGAUGAGCCAAAGCGCCACAUAGUUCUUUCAGGAAAAAGGGACAUUGUGGGAGUGGAGGGCAAGACAGACAUGUCUGAAGAUUAUGAAAAGUUUCAUGAAAUUCCUCCCUUCAAAGUCAAGGCUGACCCAAGCAUCCUGAUAAACGAUGAAGAUUAUCCAUGGUUAUGGCGCAAUAAGCCAAUGACACAAGCGAAGAAAAAGUGAAGACUUUCUCCCGCAACUAUUAUGAUGAUACCAUGCCAACUUUGUAAUAGACGAGUAUGAUACCAUUGUCCGUUUUGUACAAGAAGUGCAUCUAGUUUUUUGCCGUAACCCUCUCAACUUUCUUGCACAUGCUGUGUGGAUGAAAUGAUGAUACCAUGCCAACUUUCAAUCUUUUCAGAGUUCAUUUGAAAUGCUUUUCAAUUAGUAAAUGCAUGAAAAAUAACAGGCCAAAAAUUAAAAAUUAUGCCACCUACUGGGCCACCACGGCCUGAAUACGAUUAGAAACCCAUCCAUGGGCCAGGAUUCAGGCCCGCAGAAGGCCCAGUAGGCCCACAGGCAUGUACAGAGAGGUUAGGCCCGUAAGCCUGCUUUAGAGAGGAGCUCGACAGCUCAGGCGCACCGCACCUUAUAAAUAGGUGCGGCUCUCUCUUAGCUAGCGAGGUGGGACUAAACUCACCACCACGCCGCUGUGCAAGGCCAUUGGUCCCGGUUGGUGGCACGAACCGGGACCAAUUCCACCCUUUGGUCCCUGUUGGUGCCACGAACCGGUACUAAUGAGGCUGUGGCCCCACGAGCACCUUUAGUACCUGUUCGUGGCACGAACCGGUACUAGAGUUUCUUACUAAGCAGUUUUUUAGUCCCACCUCGCUAGCUGAGAGGCACUAGGAGCGGUUUAUAAGCCCUGAGUGCAGAGACAAUGAAGAAGAGGCGCAAUGCUCACGUUGCUUAGCUUCAAGCCUUGAGGAAUAAGGUAGACUGCAUCGAGCUAUGUGCAGUGCAGUCUACACUAUUCCAAAAGGCUUGAAGCAAAUCAACGAGCAUUGCGCCUCUUUUUUAUUUUUAAUAACUUAUUACAACUCCGGACUUCUUGUGUUCCGACAAAAUAAAAUGAACUUUAAUAAAAUUUAUGAAACUAAAAUUAACAAAGUAUUUUACGUUCAAAACAUUAUAAGAAACCUCUAUUAUUAUUGAAACUAAAAUCAUAUAAAAUUGAUGCAACUAAAAUUAUUGAAGUAUUUUCUGUUCAAAAUCAUUAAAAGCAAAAAGAAUUUUCAUAAAGAACUUUUUUUGAUCGAAACUUUAAUAGCAAAAAGAAUUAUCAUAAAGUAAAAUAAAUAAGUAAUUAGAAACAAAAUAAAAUAAAAUAAAUAAGUUUUUUGUUGUAAGUAGAAACAAAACAAAAUAAAUAUAGCAAAAAAGAAAACAAAAAAACUAAAUACAGCAAAAAGAAUUUUCAUAAAGAACUAAUGGCACUAAUAGAAAGUNNNNNNNNNNNNNNNNNNNNNNNNNNNNNNNNNNNNNNNNNNNNNNNNNNNNNNNNNNNNNNNNNNNNNNNNNNNNNNNNNNNNNNNNNNNNNNNNNNNNNNNNNNNNNNNNNNNNNNNNNNNNNNNNNNNNNNNNNNNNNNNNNNNNNNNNNNNNNNNNNNNNNNNNNNNNNNNNNNNNNNNNNNNNNNNNNNNNNNNNNNNNNNNNNNNNNNNNNNNNNNNNNNNNNNNNNNNNNNNNNNNNNNNNNNNNNNNNNNNNNNNNNNNNNNNNNNNNNNNNNNNNNNNNNNNNNNNNNNNNNNNNNNNNNNNNNNNNNNNNNNNNNNNNNNNNNNNNNNNNNNNNNNNNNNNNNNNNNNNNNNNNNNNNNNNNNNNNNNNNNNNNNNNNNNNNNNNNNNNNNNNNNNNNNNNNNNNNNNNNNNNNNNNNNNNNNNNNNNNNNNNNNNNNNNNNNNNNNNNNNNNNNNNNNNNNNNNNNNNNNNNNNNNNNNNNNNNNNNNNNNNNNNNNNNNNNNNNNNNNNNNNNNNNNNNNNNNNNNNNNNNNNNNNNNNNNNNNNNNNNNNNNNNNNNNNNNNNNNNNNNNNNNNNNNNNNNNNNNNNNNNNNNNNNNNNNNNNNNNNNNNNNNNNNNNNNNNNNNNNNNNNNNNNNNNNNNNNNNNNNNNNNNNNNNNNNNNNNNNNNNNNNNNNNNNNNNNNNNNNNNNNNNNNNNNNNNNNNNNNNNNNNNNNNNNNNNNNNNNNNNNNNNNNNNNNNNNNNNNNNNNNNNNNNNNNNNNNNNNNNNNNNNNNNNNNNNNNNNNNNNNNNNNNNNNNNNNNNNNNNNNNNNNNNNNNNNNNNNNNNNNNNNNNNNNNNNNNNNNNNNNNNNNNNNNNNNNNNNNNNNNNNNNNNNNNNNNNNNNNNNNNNNNNNNNNNNNNNNNNNNNNNNNNNNNNNNNNNNNNNNNNNNNNNNNNNNNNNNNNNNNNNNNNNNNNNNNNNNNNNNNNNNNNNNGCCGCCCCUGCCUCGACGCCGCCCCUCCUCCCCGUUCGGUCUGGCUCCGGCGACCCCCUUUCCUCCCUGUCCCCUCGAUCCUCUUCAUAUAAUUUGUUCAUAUAUUUUUUUUCAUAUAAUUUUUUUCAUAUGCAUAUGUUGAUUAUAUGGAUGGAUGGAUGAUGUAUAUGUUCAUUAUAUGGAUGGAUGGAUGAUGUAUGCUUUUUUUCAUAUAAUUUUUAGGCAGAUUUUUAGAAUUUUUUGUGUAUGUAUGUUAUGUUUAUAUGUAUGUAUGUAUGUAUGUUCAUAUGUAUGUAUGUUUAUAUGCAAAGCAUAUGCAAAGAAAAUGUAUGAAUGGUCAUAUGCAAAGAAAAAAUGUAUGUAUGGUCAUAUGCAAAGAAAAUGUAUGUAUGUAUGUUCAUAUGAAAGAAAAAUGUAUGGAUGUAUGUUCAUAUGCAUAUGCAAAGAAAAUGUAUGUUCAUAUAUAUGAUGAUAUGUUCAUAUAAAAAGGAAAAUAAGAAGAGGAAGAAAGGAGAAGAAGAGGAGAGGAAGAAGAGGAGAAAUAAAUAAGAAGAGGAAAAAAGAAGAAAAAGAAGAGGAGAAGAAGAAAGGAAUAGAAGAGAAGAAGAAAAAAUAGAAAAAAUUCUAUUUUUUCUUCUUCUCUCCUCUAUUCCUUUCUUCUUCUCCUCUUUUUUUUCUUCUUUUUUUUCUUCGAUCUUCUCCUCUAUUCCUUUUCUUCUUCUCCUCUUUUUNNNNNNNNNNNNNNNNNNNNNNNNNNNNNNNNNNNNNNNNNNNNNNNNNNNNNNNNNNNNNNNNNNNNNNNNNNNNNNNNNNNNNNNNNNNNNNNNNNNNNNNNNNNNNNNNNNNNNNNNNNNNNNNNNNNNNNNNNNNNNNNNNNNNNNNNNAUAUACCCCUCUCCCGAUAACUUCAACACGAGGGGGGGUCGAUAUACCCCCUCCCCGCCGAUAAUAUUAUUUUCCCAUGCACGUAUGUCGUCGUUGUCGAUAUAACCCCCUCCCGAUAACUUCAACACGUGGGGGGGGGUCGAUAUACCCCCUCCCCGAUAACAUUAUUUUCCCAUGUAUGUAUGUCGUCGUUGUCGAUAUAUAUAACUCCCUCCCAGAUAACUUCGACAUGAUGGACGGUCGAUAUUUAUACUCCCUCUCGACCGUGAUAACUUAUACCACGGGAGCACCCCCUAGCCCUCUCGCUCGACCAAAACUCUCGAGGACACCCAAACCCUAGAAAAAACUAUGUCGGUCUCCUACCCCCUCCCGCCGCGCCCCUACCCUUGAAGCGUUGCCUAGGCCACCCCAAACCCGGAAUAAGCUAGGUCUACGUUUGCACUAAUAUAUCCACCUGCUGUCAUGUUUGUGUAAUAAUUGCCAUGUUGUAAUAUUUGCAGAAACAAUGGAGCACGGACGAGAUGAGCAAGCAGAAGAGGUGUUGGGGGACAUAAUCUUAGCCGGAGGUGAUAUCUUGUCGUAUCUUAACGACAAUGAUGGUCUGGAAGAACAGGGUGAAGAAGCAGGCUACGGUGAUUGAAGAGUGGAGGAGGAAAGACAUGAUUAUGAUGGCUCCGGUGACCCAAUGCUGGUGCAAGAAGGAGCCCGUGGUGACGGCUCCGGUGACCGAACAGAGUCCGGCCAGGUAAAUAUAUUAGUUAAGCCUGUGCUGACUAGCUAAUUGAUGCAUUCAUUGUUUUGGUAUGUACAUAUAUUAAUUAACACUCGUCUUUCUUCUUUUUUCUAGCCCUCCGGAUCGAGCACAACUGCGGUAAAGAGACGAGGCCCGAAGAGAAAGUUGCGCUCGGAUGAAAGGUUUGAGAUCACAGCAAUCGCGCGCGACGGCCAACCGAUUGAACCCAUCCGGACAAAGGAUGCAUUUGCUGCUCAGUGCGGGAUUCUAGUUAGGGACAAGAUCCCGAUCAGCAUCCACCAAUGGUAUAAGCCUAAGAAGGAAGACCCUGAGGUGUCUUAUGUCAAUGAUAUGCAGAAAGAUGAUCUUUGGACUGAUCUGAAGGCAAAUUUCACCCUACCGCCAGAGGAGGAUUCGGAGAAGCCAGUUAUAGAGCAAUUAAUCAAGUCUCAUGCUCUUAAGAAGAUGGCAGACCUAUUCAGGAGGUGGAAGAAUGAGCUGAAAACGUUUGUCGACAAACAAGAGACACCAGAAUUCAUCGGCCGGUAUGAGAAGAUCAGAGAUCACUGGCCCGCAUUUGUGGCCCACAAGACAUCGGAAAAGAGUAAGAAGAUGUCAGCGACAAACAAGAAGAAUGCUGCGAAGAAGAAGCUUCACCAUCGCACGGGGUCAGGUGGCUACCUCAAAGCCCGACCUAAGUGGGCAAAGGCUGAGAAUGAUCUGCUUGAAAAAGGGAUCGAACCACAGACAAUGAACUGGACAGACUGUUGCCGGACUUGGUUCUUCGGGGCUGGCGGAACCUUGGACCCUGUAUCAGGGAGGUGUGUUUGGACGAACGAGCUUUUGAGAAUACUAGUCAAGAAGAUUCGGCAAUAUAUCGAUGCAGCGCAGGAAGGGACGUUCGUUCCAGACAGAGAGAACAACGAGCUCACAAUGGCCCUCGGGAAUCCUGAGCACCCUAGACGGACACGAGGCAUGCCAGGCUCCGUUCCGUGGAAGGCUGGUUUUCCGGACGCAGGCGGUUACAAAAGCCAGGAGAGGAGGAAAAAAGUGGAGCAGAUCCAAAUUCAGAAGCUGCACGAAAGGGUUCAAGCGCUAGAGGAACGAGACGGCAAUCGACAUGCCGAAACUGCCCCCGAAGCUACACCGCCAUCUCAGCGGAGAAGCAGCAUGGCUUCCACCGAGCUGCUUCAGCUGGAGCAUGCGGCUCCUGCUAGCUACCCCGUGGAUGCUAUCACGGAGUCUCAACAUUGCCACCUUAUGGCGGAAUGGCAGAACUUCAAAGUCAAGGCAGCGGUUGGCUCUGUUUUACCUCCUGAACCCGGCGCAACCUACCACUGCCGGCCGAUUCCAGAAGGAUAUGCUAGGGUGAUGGUUGAUGAAAUAACGGAGGGAUUUGAGGAGCUCCAGCUUGACCACCCUACCGGUGAAGGGGAGACUUGGCUGGGUUCUGCUCUGAAGACUCCAUGCCUAUGGCGGAAGGAGCUCAUCAAGCUUCCGAACUCGACGGCUCCGGCGAGUAAGGGCACUCCGCCUCCUCCUCCGCCUCCUCCUCCGGCGAGUGAUCAGGGCACUCAGCCUCCUUCUCCGGCGCGUGACGGCACUCCGCCUCCUUCUCCGCCAGCGCCGGCGCCCCAGAGCAGCCAGCCUCCUCCUUCUCCGCCUCGUCAGCAAGGGCGGAAGAGACCCGCCACCGCUGCGGCUGCUCCGGCGCGUCGUAGUCCUUCUCCUCCGCCUCGUAAGCAAGGAAAGAAGACAGUCGCAGCCGCUCCGUCUGCUCUGUCGGCGUCUAGCAGUACAGCUGCCAGAGGCGGGAGGCAAUACAGAUUCGGUCCUUCUCUGAAGACUCCAGAGAAGUUACCAUACGAUAGGACCGAGGAGGAAACCAGGAAGAUCGUGCGAGCCGAAGUGACAAACUUCUUUGAAGGGGUGAAUGCAAAGAAACAUCCACCUCCGGAGGAGAAGGUAGAUCCGGUGAAAGUAAAGCGCACUCUGGCUGCCUUGACAAAACCACCAAAGUCUCCGCCGAGAGGCCACUAUGAGCGCAUUCUUGCAAAGACAUAUGCCGAAGCGGAGCGGUCGGGAAGUACUGUUAGUGAUAAAAGGUUAAAAGAACGACGAGCUGGCAAAAAAAUUGCCCAGCUCGGCGAACAAGCGAACCAAUCGUGCCCCCCGCUCAAGGUGUCAAAAGACAUCGUCGCUAAUGAUCCGAGUAUGGUGCCCGGUUAUAGCAAUCUUGGAGAUUACCUGCCCGACGAUGUACAUUAUGAAAUCAUGGAGGUGGACGAACACAAAUACCAUUACGGGAAGCCUCUCGUCAAAGAUGAAAGAUCUCUAACAACGAUGAUGCGAAGACUACAUGAUUGGUACAUGAAAACCUGCAGAGAGUCUGAUGGGAUGGAUAAUUUGACGCUGAGAGUUAAACCGGAGCAUGACCUCAUUGGAAUUGAUCUGCUGAAUGUUCCAUUUGAGGAUUUCUUCCAGUUUUACAAUCAAAAGGCCCUCAAUAAAACAACGAUCACUUGCUACUGUCUGUAAGUAGUACUACUUCUGUCAUUAAGUCUCUCUAUAUAGGUCAGCUCUUUCAUUGCAUGUAUUUAUACUUAUCCUCACUAUAUUAUGCAGAUUGAAGAUCGCCGAAUUGAAGAAAAGACAAAUCGGUGAUAUUGGGUUCAUUAACACAAAUCUCAUAUAUGCAUAUACGGUUGAAAAACAUCCAAAGAAGCCGAGGCCAACUUGCUACAAUCGUUGGUAUUAAAUCAAAACAAAGAUAUAAUACUCUUUCCUUACAACUUCAAGUGAGUGUUACUGUCUUGUGCAUAUUCGGUUUCCCUUAUUAGUCCAGGUUAUGGUAAUGUAAUUGAUGACUUAUGCAUGCAUGCGCAGCUUCCACUAUAUUCUCCUAGAGAUUAAGCUUGAGCAGGGAGUAGUAACCGUCUUAGACUCGAGACGAAAAGAUCCCUAGGACUAUGAGAACAUGACUCAAAUGCUCGAGAAGUAAGUUAAAUCGAUCAUUAUCCACCAUAUCAGCAACUUUGUUCAUUUCAUAAUAUCAAGUAAUUGUUUUCUUUGUCUGGCAGGGUUUGGAGAAAAUUCACCUCAAAAGCUCCGGGACUGCCGAAGAAGCUGCAAUUUAAUCACCCGAAAGUAAGUACUAUAGUAGCAUGUUCCGCGCAUCUCCUAGUGAUUCAAGCGCUAGUUUCUUCAAUACCAUUUAGCAUGCUUGCUUAUCAAUUUGAUUGACCUCUAUUUCUUGUAAAGUGGUUGUGGCAGGAAACCGGGAAUAAUUACUGUGGAUACUACGUUUGCGAGUCCAUCCGCUACACGACCUGUGAGCGGGGCUACACUGAAGAACAAUAUGAAGUGCGUAAGCAAUAAUAUUCACAAUUUUAUUUUAUUACCAUCAUUUGUGUUGAGUUUCAUUUAUUCAUAUAUAUAUAUAUAUAUAUAUAUAUGUAUUGACCCCCUUCUUCAAAUUAGAUGUUUCGGAAGCGGGAUGAACUCCUAGCACCAGAUCGUAUGCGAGGAAUUCAAGAGGAAUUGGCGGCAUUCUUCCUUGACCACGUGAUCGCUGAAAACGGAGAAUACUAUGUGGACCUUGUGUUCCUACAAUUUAAUUAGGAGAUUGUAUUGUAAGAGAUAAUUAUUGUAUAUAUGUAGCCGGUAGUGUCGGAUAGAUAUACGAGAACUUGUUGUUCGACCAAUAUCUCGGAGAAGGAGAGGUGGUCGAUAUCACUUCUCUCUGUAUGCAUAUGUUCAUGACGAUCUUCUGUUUCCUUCAUUUGAUUACUAGCUAGCGUGUCUACUCCUCUCCAUACGUAUAUAGUAUGUAGCGUCGACCAAGCACGGAGAUAAGAGAGGACACUUCUCUCUAUUAAUUAGCUAGCUAACACAAUAUAUGAAACACCUAAAUUAACCCCCCAAAACCCCUAAACCACCCCCUUUCAAAAAAAACAAAAACCUCAGCUCCUGCCAGCUGCUGACGCGUGGAUGCCUAUUGGUCCCGGUUGGUGACACCAACCGGGACAAAAGGCCCUGCCUAUUGGUCCCGGUUGGUGCCGGCCCCCUGCCUGGGCUGGCAGCAGCGGCCACGUGGAGGACCUUCUGUCCCGGUUCGUGUAAGAACCGGGACUAAAGGGGGGAGGCAUUAGUAACGACCCUUUAGUCCCGGUUCGAGAACCGGGACAAAAGGCCCUUACAAACCGGGGUAAAAGCCCCUUUUCCUACUAGUGUUCCGGUAUUCGUUCAAUAUUUUGAUGAUAUGUAUGUUGUGAUUCUCUUAGUGGUGUCAUGUGAACGUCGACUACAUGACACUUCACCAUUGAUGGGCCUAAGGGAACUCAUUGUGGAGUAGUAAUUAGAUGAUGGGUUGCUAGAGUGACAGAAGCUUAAACCCCAGUUUAUGCACUAUUCCGUAAGGGGCUGAUUUGGAUCCACUAGUUUAAUGCUAUGGUUAGACUUUGUCUUAAUUCUUUUUUCUUAGUUGCGGAUAUCGGUGUCAAAACCGACAGAUCUCGGGUAGGGGGUCCCAAGUUGUGGGUCUAGGAUCAAUAGGUAACGGUGACGAUGAACACGGUGUUUUACCCAGGUUCGGGCCCUCUUGAUGGACAAUUUUUUUUAAAAAAAAAAUUUAGAAAUAUUUUUUUCAAUUUUUUUUUCAUUUUUUCUUAAUCUCGGGUCACUAUGGCUUAAUCUCGAGUCAAUAUGAUUAAUCUCAAGUCAAAUCGCACUAAGUGGUCAAACUUCCCGGAAGGUCACCCAUCCUCACACUACUCCAGCCCGAGCACGCUUAACUUCACAGUUCUAUCCAACCCCAGCACCACCUCACUCAACAGGCACUUGUUGAUAUAUCUACCAUAUCAAUCCUAUUAAACCUUGUUGAUGUCUAGGACUUUGUUCAUGUUCAUGAGUAUGAUAAAAUUUUGAAAAAUAUUUCAAACUUCCCGGUCAUAUCACGUAUCAUUUUUUGAAAAAAAAUUCCAAGAAAAAAUUCAACACCAAUUUUUUUUCUGUUACUAGUGGCGCACCUAGCAAACGGUGCGCCACUAGUAAGUUUGAAAUUUUUUGAAUUUUUUUGCCUCUAGAUCUUGAAAGCCCCGUAACUUUUUUUCUGUUAGGUUUUUGAGGAUUUUGAAAAUGUUUAACGGGGUUCCCCCGAUUAAAUUCGGAUGUAACUUUUCGAGUAGAUGAUUUUUCAUACAAAAAACUUUUUAAUCCGAGUUCGUAUGCAAAAGUUAUGCCCAUUUUACAAAUUCCAGAGAGAUUUUGCAAAUAAAGUUGAAAUUCAUAUUUGUAAAUUUUCCCAACAACUAGACCACAUAUCACAUGGGAAACUUAUUUUCUUUUAUUUUUUUAACAUUUCCAUUAUUUUCUUUUAUUUUUUUAAAACUGAAAAGGCGGUCCAUGAGGGGGUGCAUUCGGUGGAAUUUUUGGGUCAAGUUAGUAAUGGCGCACCGUGGGAGUGGUGCGCCAUUACUAGUUCAACUAGUAAUGGCGCAACACUCCCAUGGUGCGCCAUUACUAGUUUUGAAAAAAAAUAAAAAAAAUUUGAAAAAAAAUUUGAAUUUUUUUUACUAGUGGCGCACCGUGGAUGUGGUGCGCCAUUACUAGUUUAACUAGUAAUGGCGCACUAUCCCCUGGUGCGCCAUUACUAGUUUUGGAAAAAAAAUAAAAAAAUUUGAAAAAAAAAUUACUAGUGGCGCACCGUGGAUGUGGUGCGCCAUUACUAGUUUAACUAGUAAUGGCGCACUAUCCCCUGGUGCGCCAUUACUAGUUUUGAAAAAAAAUAAAAAAAAUGUUACUAGUGGCGCACAGUGGAUGUGGUGCGCCAUUAGUAUUUGGACACUAAUGGUGCGCCAUUAGUAUAUAGUAGUGGUGCACCACAUGUCUGGUGCGCCAUUAGUGUCCAUAUGAUCUAUAGCCCUUUUCCUAGUAGUGUUAGGGGUAUGAUCAGUAAUGUCAUAAUGAUGAUAAUAAUCUAUCGACUAGCCUGGCCUCGGCUUAUAUAAUGUACCAGAGGCCUAUGAUAACAAGACUCCUAGUUGGCUAUGUUGGUGGAGAGGAGUCCUUGUCUUGAUCAUCAAGUCUUGUGGAAUCUUCCCUGUAUAUGUCAUCGGUUGUCCGAACUGGCCCAUUAGUGAGGUCCUCGGCCCGACCCACUGGUCGGGAGACAACGUGGUGAGUACCCCCUAGUUCAGGACACCGUCAGCGGAUGCUUGCGAGAGGGGGUAAUCAUAAGUGGGAGGCUUGUUCAAGUAAGAACAACACCCAAGCACCGGUCCACCCACAUAUCAAAUCAUCAAAGUAGCGAAAGCGAACCGAAUGAACAUGAUGAAAGUGACUAGAUGAAAUUCCCGUGUGUCCUCAAGAACGCUUUUCUCAUUAUAAGUACUAGUUCUGGCCUGUCCUUUGCACUAAAAAGGAUUGGGAUAUCUUGCUGCACUUUAUUUACAUUUGUCACUUGCUACUCGUUACCAAUUAUCUUGCUAUCAGACUACUCGCUACCGCUUGUUUCAGUGUUUGCAAAAAUAUCGUUAUUGAAAACCGCAAGUCAUUUCCUUCUGCUGCUCGUUGGGUUCGACACUCUUACUUAUCGAAAGGACUAUGAUUGAUCCCCUAUACUUGUGUGUCAUCACGGGGCCACCCACCUGGGGUGCUCCCUCCCUAGCUUAUCACUCCCUCGAGACUCCUCGGGUCUUCCCCGAAGCUUCCAGGGUCUCUUUUGGUCCAGAAAACUUAAUCCAAUGUUUUUCUGUGUUUGUACCUUUUUUAUAAUGAUAUUAUAAAAUGAUAAAAACAAGCAAAAAAAUAACAACUGGCACUAGGCACUACGUUAAUAGGUUAGUCCCAAAAAAUGAUACAAAAAUAGCACAAAGUUGCAUAUAAAACAUCAAAGAUUGCUAAUAUAAUAGCACGAAACAAUAAAACAUUACAGAUAGGAGGCGUAUCAAGCAUCCCCAAGCUUAAUUCUUGCUCUUCCUCGAGUAGGUAAAUGAUAAAAACAAAAAAUUUGAUGUGGAAUGCUACCUAACAUGUUUCAUCAUGUAAUCUCUCUUACGGUAUGAAUAAUAAGAUCCGAAUGAUUCAAAGCAAUAGUCUAUAAUUUGAUAUAAAGACAUCAAUACUCAGGCAUACUAACAAACAAUCAUGCCUUUCAAAAUAACGAUGCUAACCCAAGUUAUCCCUACAAAAUCAUAUAAUCCUAUCAUGCUCCAUCUUCUUAACACAAAGUAUUUAUGAUGCACUACCCCAAUGACAAUCCAGGCAAUUGGUUCAUACUUCUUAACGUGCUUCAGCUUUUUCAACCCCCACGCAAUACAUGACGGCAAGCCAAGGACAUAACACUAUGGAUGGAAUAGAACAUGAUGAUAGAGAUCAAUAAGGGGAAAUCAAAAAUAAGAAGAUGGUCUCACAUCAAUGCGGCUAACAAACGGGCUAUAGAGAUGCCCAUCAAUUGAUGUCAAUGCAAGGAGUAGGGAUUGCCAUGCAACGAAUGCACUAAGAAGGCACCCAAGGUAAUAUCCAAGGAGACUCAAGCGUCGAAGCCUGGGGAUGCCCCGGAAGGCAUCCCCUCUUUCUUCUAAUGACUAUCGGUAACGCACUUGAGGCUACAUUUUUAUUCAUCACAUGAUAUGAGUUUUUCUUGGAGCGUCUUGUAUGAUAUGAGUCUUUGCUUUGUUUAUUUUUAGUAUAUCACAAUCAUCACCUCUGAACGCAUUUGCUUGAGAUAGCUUCAUGUCAUCAUGAUUUGCUUGAAUUGCCCUUUGUGCUUCACUUAAAUUUGUUGAGCUAGGUGGUUGCUCUAGUGCUUCAUUUAUAUCUUUUUUUAACACGGUGGUGCUUUUGUUUUGAAGAAACUUGUUCUCAUGCUUCACUUAUAUCUUUUUGAGAAUGCUAGAAAUUUUAUAAAAAUAUUAGUCUCAUGCUUCACUUAUAUCUUUUUGAGAGUUUGAAAUUAGUUAUGGUAAAAUGUACAGCUAUAAGCUUGGUCUCCAUAUGAUGAAUAUUCAAGAAGGAUAAUGAUAACUAGUAUAAAAAAUUUAUGGGACUUCAAAAACUUGAUUCUUUGCAACAAUUUUGAGAUAUGUAGAUGAUAAUACGUGAGUUAUGUUCAUGAAUAAUUAUACUCUAGUAUGAAUAUUGAUGUUAAGGUUUAUGAUUCCCUAUGCAAGCACGUAAAGUCAAUAGUUAUGCAAUGAAGUUACAUCCUACUUGUGGUGCAUUAUUCGGUGUUGGUUAUGUUUUCUGUAUGCAUGUGCAUCAUUACAAUUUCUUAGUUGGUCGCUUCUCAACCAUUUUGCUAGCCUCCAUUCGUACUAAGCGGGAAUACUGCUUGUGCAUCCAUUACCUUAAACUUGUUUUGCCAAUUGUGUCCAUCAUACCUACAUAUAUACGGUAUUUCAUUGCCGUCCCAAGUAAAUUUGCAUGUGCCAUCUCUAAUAAUUUUCAAAAUAAACUUCUCUUUUGUGUGCCUGUAUUGCUCAUGAAGUGAUAAGGGGUGGACGAUGAAUUCCGUGUUGUAUAUGUCAUUUUCAUGAUGAGUGUUUAUUCACUUGUCAUUGCACGAGAGUGUGGCGGUAAUAAAAGGGAUGCCCAGUCCCAAAAAUAAAUUGAAUUUCCUGGAAUAUGUUGUUAUGGAGGGCACCCGUGAAUACGGCUAGACAUGGAUUGUGAAAGGAAAGGUGGAAAAACUAACUCCUUCGGAUGUGAAUGGAAAAAAGGGACAAAAGUCUCAAAACCAUGGAACGAUGACAGGGAGCAAAAAAUUUCUUUUCAGUUUGGGAGCCGCCUAUGAUGUAUAUAACGUGGAAGGUAAGGAAAGCCUUGAGUCGCUGUCGUUGACGAGAAAACCAGGCCUCCCAAAAUAAAUUUUUUAUCUCUUUUUAAAACUUGAGGUCUGGCACCACUGUAAAUCAAUGCUUCCCUCUGCGAAGGUCGUUCUAUUUAUUUUUAUGUUGAGUCUCAUCCUUCUCAUUAAAAACCAACUAGGGGGUCAUGUGAUCAUGUGUGUGCAUGGAGUAUGAUUGACACUCGACUGUGUUUCAUAAAUCGAUCAAUGGUUGAGCAUAAUGGGCUAGGGAUAAUUUUCUUUAGCAUUGUUAUUUUGAAAGGCAUGGUUGCGUGUUAGCAUUGGAGGGGGUAUAUAUAGCCACAUCAUUGGUCCCGGUUCGUGGCUGGAACCGGGACUAAAGGCCACCCUUCUGUCCUGGUUCUAGGCACGAACCGGGACCAAUGGCUGUGGGCUAGGAGCGAGGACCAUUGGUCCCAUUCGUGCCUAGAACCGGGACAAAUGGGUCCACACGAACCGGGACAAAUGCCUCCCGAGGCCCGGCCGGCCCCCUGGGCGCACGAACCGGGACGUAUGACCCCCAUGGGUCCCGGUUCGUGACUGAACCGGGACUAAUGGGCUGGCCAGGCCCCAACCAAAGCCCUGUUUUCUACUAGUGAGGGGCGAUGCUCUGCGGAGUUCUCCCUCUUGGGGGCGUUGUCGUGGAGCUUAGGUGUGCUAGGUCGUAGCGUGAGCAUGUUUUGUUCUUCUGGUACUUGUUGUUGGUAGCGUAGAAGCAUGCGUUUUGCAUGUGCCGGAUAUCUCAGGAUCGACUUUGUAAGGGCUACCAAACCAUAUUGUAUCAUUUGACCAUGUACAUCUUUGGAUAUUGCUUUGUUUAUAAAGCGGGGAAAAGCCUAUUUCGAGAACAACGAAAACAACAACAACAACAGCAAACAGAUCAACAACUUCAGAAUAGUUUUUCUUUUAAAAUUUCACUUGCUUAAUUAACUACAUGCAUAGGACUUUCUACAGUGUUUUAGAGAACAACAACUACGAUUUGCCUGCUAGCUAGCUAGUUAGGUAUUUCAACACAACAUCAACAGCAAGGAGAAGGAGAAGAACUGUUAACAACCAGGCAGGCAGGUGGAGAGUGAGUGUGUGAGAGUGAGGUCUCUCUGGCUCUUUCCUGUAUGGCUACUCCUACUUCCUUCGCUGACAAAGUCCUGUUCUGAAUCCGUAAUACUGAUUCACAGUAAUGAUGGUGGAUCGACUAUACCUUGACUAAUCCAUGUACAACAAAAAUUACUACGUACAUGAUUAAAAAUCCAAGGGUCAAAUCCUGAUCAAUCGAUCUGGCAAAUUCUGCAUGAAUCUAGCAUGACAUCAAGUGUGAUUAACAGGAGUUUCAAUUAUAAUUAGCCUCCGAGAAGCUACAUGGAGGAGGAUGUAGUCGUGUUUUGUGGCCUUGUCAGAAACUUCGCUUUCCUUCAAUCUGAAAACAAGUGGUAGAGGGUAAAAGAAUGAAAAAAAACAUGUGUAGAGGAUAAGCAACACAUAAAGGCCACACACACAAAAACAGGGGUAUGCUAGCUGGUCCAUGACAUUGACAAGUCAAUUGAUUUGCUGCAACCAUAUAUAUGAAGUGUAGUAUUAUGAACAUGUGUGUGAAACUUGGUUCAAAUUGAUGUACUAUUAACUCGGGAGUAAGGAUUAAUGACAAUUUAAUAUUUCAAUGGAGAGCCACAUGAGUUGUGCAACCUUCUUAUCUGACAUGGAUCUACAUCAAACUAGGUGUUAAUGUUCUCCACAAACUCCAUGUCAGAUUUCAUUGUUCAUUUAUAGUGAGAAUAAUUGAUUACUUAUGCACUUUUCGCCUUUGAUGUUCCACUCACAAAAUAAGUUUAACUACCAACUAUCUCCAAAAACAAUCUUAGCGGGACAAAAAGUAUCCUCUGACAAAUCACGACCCAUCAAACAAGGUUCAAAUUUGAAGGAAAAUGACCCCUUCAACUUGAGUCAAACAAAUAAUUUGCAUACAAUCAACCGAAAUCAUUAUGGGCUUCUUCAGCCCUCCACUCGAUACACACCUACGCAGGGAGUCCACCAUUGUCGCUACCGAACAACAUUUUUGGAGGCGCACAUUAUCACCCAUAAACACAAAAUAAAUCAAAACGCAAUACAAGCCUAAAAGCGGUCAGUUCCUAGGGCCAGAAAAAGCUUGUUGACCUGCAAUUGCACAUGGUUUAUUUUUCACCUAUUUAAGUAUGAGUAUAAAUCCCACAGGGAAUACAUGAAUUGGACUUUGUCCCUAAGAGACACUUAUGGUAAUGUGCCUGCAUAUUAGUUUUCGACACAAAGCAAAGUGAACGCCAAAGAUUAUAAUGACUUUUGAGUUUAGUGCGAACAAAAGUAAAUAAUGCAAAAGAAUUAAAAGAGUGCAGCGGAACGAAUAAAGCAGGGAAACCGGUGGAGGAUUGAAGCAUUCUCAAGGACUCCAUAAUUCCCAUUGCAGUGUGUCUAAGGUAACAUAUGCCACUUCAUAAUUCUAAGCUAGAUACUUGAGUCACUCUUGAAAUUUGUUAUUGGGCGUAUCUGGGUACAAAAUACGUUCUACUCGAGGUGUACUCCGUACCACGAAGGCCACCACGGAAGCUUCCCCACUCUGGUUCUCACUGCGGUAAUUAAGGGUUUCCCCGUGGAAGCGGCCUUAUCAAGGGUUCUCCGUUAUGCCCCUAUCAGUUGCAAAGGCGAGGUAGAGAGUCUUUUACACUCACCUUGAAUUACCUCAACAUCCUAACCUUUACAACCAUGGUAAUAUGCCUCGUGUCCUUGCGACAGAAAUGGUGAGUGGGGCACCUUCACAAAAUUCAUGAAGGCUAUUGAAAAAACAUUCAACAGAGAAUAUCACAUCCUUAUUAACAUUUCAGCCUCCUAUACAUACCAUGGUUCAUCCAUAUCCCUGAGAACUGAGGAAACUACUCACACGUUGAGACAUGGAUGAAACAUCGGAUAAUACAUGUAUGGAUCGUACGAAUAGUGGAUAUAGCGGUGGUAAACAUGGUUUAAACACACGGAUAAUACAUGUAUGGAUCCACAAGGUUUUGGUAUUACAAUGGGAAGGAGAUGGAUGAUGCUGACGUCCCCUUGCACGAGCUGGUGGUGAUAGUGAUCUCCUCCUUUCCUUAAAUCUGCAAGCACAUUUAAAACAACAUCUUGGAGAGAACAGGAAAAAAGAAUUGUGCAGACGCGGUAAAAGCUAGCAAAUUUUACUGUGUAGGCGGGCUUGUGAUGGCUGUGGCAGUGUGGAUCUGACUACCGAGUUGUGACAAGCUGUGUGGGGCGAUGGUGGCGGUCCUCCCUCUUCUGAGCGUGAUAGCUGGCGACGGUGGGUUUCGACAGUCCCUCUCACGGGUGUGGAGGCGGGUCAAGGGGCGGUGAGUGUUGGCCGUGGUUUAGGCUGGCACUGGCGGAUCUGGGCAGGGGGAUUCAAUGGAGAGGCGGGGCUGGCAUUGGUGCGACUUCUCAGCGAGUAGAGUUGCCGGCUGUUCGGAGCGCCCCCACACAAGUUUUAGUGCUUAGUCGCCUUGGAUUAGGGUUUUUUGACUCUGGGUCGUUGUCGGUCAAGCCAAGGUGAAUGCUUGCAGCUCGGUUGGGGGAGGCACCUCCACACAUUGUAGUGUCGGUGAUGAUUGGUAGAUGUGGUGGUCAGGGCUAUGAUAUGCCGGCUGGUGGACCAGUGCCACAGUUCGCAGACUUGGCAUCUACGCACUGAUGCCAGGCUUUACUUGCUGCGAUUUGUGCAUUGUGAAGCGAGCGGGUCUAGGUGGUGCUCAGUGGUGAUGGUUGUGUUAGCAUUGCAUUCGUGCGCGGAUCAGUGCCGGUGAUCGCAAACAUGGCGUGGUGCGAGCUCGCCUGGCCAAGGGCUCGGUGCUGGCUCGCCGGCGGUCCCCCUACUCCACCGACCAUUGGCUGGGGAUGCAGGUGUGGGUGCGUCCUACGGUGGAGGUGCCCAACCAAACUCUUGGACCGAGUCUGGGCUAGGAGUAGAUGGAGUGUUGUCGCUCUUCCUACCAUGGUUGGCUACGUUGUCAUGUGAGCGGCGUAUGGUAUUUCGCGACAAGGAUGCCGGGUUGGCGGCCCCUGAUGGCGGGCCGCAUGAUUGCUCUUUGGCAGGCAUUAUUUCGUUGGUGGUGGCUCCCCUCCUGGGUUGUGGGGGCAACGGGAGGUGUUGCGGUUAGUAGCUCAGACGUGCCCUCUCUCUAGGAGGGGCAGUGUCCUGAUCAAGAUCUGGGGAUCUAACAUCAACGCGCUAGUCCUGAGGACCUCGUGGUGGCACAGGUGAGUUCUCGAGCAAAAGCUCCGUGCCUUGGCGUCGCCGCCAACGACACUCAUGGGUGCCGCACUCUUCUUGAAGACGUCGUUGUGGUUCUUCUCUCCGUGUCAGGGCUCCGGGUGUAGACCUUUGUCUGGUGUGGACUCAGCAGGGGCGACGCUGUGCAGAGUUCUCCCUCUUGGGGCCGUUGUCGUGGAGCUUAGGUGUGCUAGGUCGUAGCGUGAGGAUGUUUUGUUCUUCCGGUGCUUGUUGCCGGUAGCGUAGAAGCGUGCGUUUUGCAUGUGCCGAACAACUCAGGACCGACUUUGUAAGGUCUACGUGACCAUAUUGUAUCAUUUGGCCGUGUGCAUCUUUGGAUGUUGCUUUGUUUAUAAAGCGGGGCAAAAGCCUAUUUCGACAACAACGAAAACAACAGCAACAACAAACAAAUCAACAACUUCAGAAUAGUUUAUCUUUUAAAAUUUCACUUGCUUAAUUAACAACAUGCAUAGGACUUUCUAAAGUGUUUUAGAGAAGGACAACUACGAUUUGCUAGCUAGCUAGUUAGGUAUUUCAACACACCAUUAACAGCAAGGAGAAGGAGAAGAACUGUUAACUGCCAGGCAGGCAGGUGGAGAGUGGGUGUGUGAGAGUAAGUCUCUCUGGCUUUUUCCUGUAUGGCUACUCCUACUUCCAUCGCUGACAAAGACCUGUUCUGAAUCUGUAAUACUGAUUCACAGUAAUGAUGGUGGAUCGACUAUAUCUUGACUAAUCCAUGUACAACGAAAAUUACUACGUACAUGAUUAAAAAUCCAAGGGUCAAAUCCUGCUCAAUCGAUCCGGCAAAUUCUGCACGAAUCUAGCAUGACAUCAUGUGUGAUUAACAGGAGUUUCAAUUAUAAUUAGCCUCCGAGAAGCUACAUGGAGGAGGAUGUUGUCGUGUUUUUGGCCUUGUCAGAAACUUCGCUUUCCAUCAAUCUGAAAACAAGUGGUAGAGGGCAAAAAAAAAUAAAAAAACAUGUGUAGAGGAUACCGCAACACAUAAAGCCACACACACAAAAACAGCAGUAUGCUAGCUGGUCCAUGACAUUGACAAAUCAAUUGAUUUGCUGCAACCAUAUGUACGAAUAAUAUCGCCAAGGAUAAGAGAAGGAGAAAAAAAUAUAAAUAUACCGAUAGGCUCUUCUUUUGUUCAUGGAUGCAUGUUGCAUGAGCCAAGUGUAUUGGCAGUAUGGCUUGUGUUUGCUGCAUGAUGGCGGCAGGUUCCCAUUCAGUUAGGCAUGCUAAGUCCUAAAUUCAUUUAUUCACGUAUCGGGUAGAAGGAGAACAAAUUUCAUUUCUUUUCUGUAGGUUCCUUGCUUAAAAGAAAAUAGAAAAAAAGACACUUCUAUAAUUACCAGAAAAAAUCAACUGUAUGUCGCUCAGUCUUCCCUUUUUGUUCGGUAUCAGUACCAACAAUCAUAGUACUAAUAGCUUUCUAUACUGGCGGUAGUAAAUUCAAUAAAAGAAACCUGGAGACUAUCUGAACAAUUUGAAACAAUAUGUACAAACUGAGAUCAACUAACGACAGAAAUCCAAAAGAAAUGUUCAUGUCUACGUGGAGUGAAUCGAUCAAGCCGUGCAAAGCCCUAACAAUUCGUUUUGUAUUAAUAACUCAUAUGACAAUACAACCGCUCCAUAUGAAAAGGUAAUAUGAUGAUUCAUGAAUGCUUAUCCAUCUUAUAAAUAUAUUGUGCAAAAAAUAUCGAGUUAGUUCAGAGAAAACGAUGUCUAGAACAAUCUUCACAUUAAUAGUGUGAUCUAUCUCAAUGACUCACACAAGAUUACAUAGUUUGUUCCCUUAAGUAUGGCAAUCUGGAUACGCCUAACAAUAUGUAGAACAUGACAAACUAAAUCAGAACAAGGGACAAAAUCCAGAUCAAUGUUUGAAGUGUAAAGUGAAUACGAUGAGUCAUUUGUCGUUAUCAAGCAUUCCAUACACCUAGAUGAUAUGUGCAAGAACAAUCAACUAUGACGAACAAUCCAAAAUCAUGAUAGUAAGUAGUACCAUAAAACACGACAUACCAAAUUAUUGUAAAUGAUAAGCUUAAGAGCACUUUUUCAAGAAGCACGUGUGAAGAUUACAAACUUAGUUCCCUUAAGUUAUGCCAAUCUGGAUACACCUAACAACAUGUAGAACAUGACAAACUAAAUCGGAAAGACGGACAAAAUCUAGAUCAAUGUUUGAAGUGUAAAGUGAAUACGAUGAGUCAUUCGUCAUGAUCAAGCAUUCGAUACAGCCAGAUGAUAUGUGCAAGAACAAUCAACUAUGAUGAACAAUCGAAAAUCAUGCUAGGAAGUAGUGCCACCAAACACAACAUACCAAAUUAUUAGGUCGAUAGUCUUAAGUGCACUUUUUCAAGAAAGGAGUGGGAAGAUGAAAACAAAAUAUGUCAUGCCUGCUAUAAUUACGACUACACCAUGUGGGUCUCUUCCAUCAUCUAACCUUCAAGAACCUAGAGCAAAAACACCAAAGCCAAGUGAGCAAUAGUAAACACAAAUCAAACAUGAAGACCUUCAUCAUAUUUGUCCUCCUUGCUAUGGUGAUGAGCAUCGCCAGUGCCACUAGGCAACUAAGCCCUAGAGGCAAGGAGUUGCAAACACCACAAGAACAAUUCCCCCAACAGCAAUUCCCUCAACCACAACAAAUCCUCCAACAACAAUUCCCCCAACAACAACAAAUCCCCCAGCAACCGCAACAAUUCCCCCAACAGCAAAUCCCACAACAGCAAAUCCCGCAACAACAAUUCCCCCAACCACNNNNNNNNNNNNNNNNNNNNNNNNNNNNNNNNNNNNNNNNNNNNNNNNNNNNNNNNNNNNNNNNNNNNNNNNNNNNNNNNNNNNNNNNNNNNNNNNNNNNNNNNNNNNNNNNNNNNNNNNNNNNNNNNNNNNNNNNNNNNNNNNNNNNNNNNNNNNNNNNNNNNNNNNNNNNNNNNNNNNNNNNNNNNNNNNNNNNNNNNNNNNNNNNNNNNNNNNNNNNNNNNNNNNNNNNNNNNNNNNNNNNNNNNNNNNNNNNNNNNNNNNNNNNNNNNNNNNNNNNNNNNNNNNNNNNNNNNNNNNNNNNNNNNNNNNNNNNNNNNNNNNNNNNNNNNNNNNNNNNNNNNNNNNNNNNNNNNNNNNNNNNNNNNNNNNNNNNNNNNNNNNNNNNNNNNNNNNNNNNNNNNNNNNNNNNNNNNNNNNNNNNNNNNNNNNNNNNNNNNNNNNNNNNNNNNNNNNNNNNNNNNNNNNNNNNNNNNNNNNNNNNNNNNNNNNNNNNNNNNNNNNNNNNNNNNNNNNNNNNNNNNNNNNNNNNNNNNNNNNNNNNNNNNNNNNNNNNNNNNNNNNNNNNNNNNNNNNNNNNNNNNNNNNNNNNNNNNNNNNNNNNNNNNNNNNNNNNNAACAACAAUUCCCCCAACAACAAUUCCCCCAGCAACCACAACAACAAUUCCCCCAACAACAAUUUCCCAUACCAUACCCACCCCAACAACAAUCACAAGAAGCUUCCCCAUACCAACAAUACCACAACAACACCUAUCUGGGAACGACGUUAUAAGUAUCAGUGGCCGAUGAAAUAAAGAGAUGUACUACUAGACAGGUGAAUCAUCGUUGUUAGUCAAUGGAGCAUAAUGUAACGGGUAUAAAUAAAAUGAUGUGCACCAUCAUGUGUAACCCCGACAUGUACUAGUUCAAACAUGGGAAUAAAAGACAAAUAAGUUCUUUUCUGAAGCACAUUGCUGGCAAUCGUUAUAUUCAUGCCAUAUUUCGAUUUCCAUCGGUAACUCCAAUCUCAAUGUUAUGGUCUAUCUACUUAUUUAUGAAGUGUAGUAUUAUGAACAUAACAUAAUUAACAUGUCUGAAAAUUGGCUCAAAUUGAAGUACUACUAAUUCAAGAGUAAGGAGUAAUUACAAUUUAACAUUUCAAUGGAGAGCUCUAAUUGUAGACUGCGUUGUUAAUUCCCCGAAGAGGAAAGGAUGAUGUAGUAUAGUAGAGAUAAGUGUUUCCCUCAGCUAAGAACCAAGGUUAUCAAUCCAGUAGGAGAACCGCACAAAACCUCGUUAGCAGCACCUGCACACACAAAAGCAAACACUUGCACCGAACGCAAAUAAGAGGGUUGUCAAUCCUCUUAGCGAUUAUUUGCAAGGAUUAGUUCUGACAGUGAUACAUAGAUAAAAUAAAUUACUAAAUAAAAUAAAAAUAAAUAAAUUGCAGCAAUGUAUUUUUGUGCUUUUAUAUAUGAUAAAAGUAGACCCGGGGGGGGCAUAGUUUUCACUAGAGGAUUCUCUCUUGAUCAUAAAACAUAUGGUGGGUAAACACAUUACUGUUGGGCAAGCUAUUAUAUACUAAAAGGAAAAUACUGGUCCAAAAUAGAGAAUAGGCUAGAAAAUCUGGCGUUAAUUAGAAAAUAUGAACCCUUGAUCCGUUUAAUUUUAAAAAUUAUAAAUCUAUGACCGUUCAAUAUACGUAACAAGGUCGGGCGUGGAUAACUUCCCGCGUAACGUGACACAUGUAAGAAACACAAACAUGAGUCCAGUUAAGGCAAACACGUAGAUGUGUUGAAGUGGGAAUGAAUAGAAUUGCUACGUCCGAAUAUGCAAGAGAUAGAAAAGAUGAAGAAAACUAAAGAACAUGUCGUGUUCAGAUUGGACUAAACGUAUGUGCGUAUACAACCACAACCACAAUCCGAAAGAUCCAGCCAUUAAUCCCGUGGGUCCAUCCAAAACAAAAGGUGGAUAUCCAUCUAAUUGCCCCACGUCCAUGGAACAUACUUAUUAGAGUCCACAAACAGUAGCCGCUGGUCUCUUUUACGUGAUCCUCCUUGCACUGUUAGGACUUUGCCGUCGGACAUCCUUAAGUUCUUGUGAAGUUCACAUCUAAAAAUACUAUCAUAGUAAAAAAAUCCAUUUCAUACUCCAAGAAAGAUAUCACCAUCCCAAAGUUUCAAUUGCAAUCUAAGUUUUGCCACAACUGGGUAUUUAAAACUUAUUUUACCACAGCUCGGCAAUUUCAGCCACUAAGGUUUUUGUGGCAGAUGAAGCAUCUUCCCAUUGGAAACUCCCAACUGUAAAAAGACUAGCAAAUUAGCAAUCAUUGGCAAAUCAGCAAUCUUAUAGCGGCAGCAGCUCCCAUCAAUCAGGUAACUCAUCUUCCAAAAAUCAGAGACAAUAAGCAACCAUACACAUCAUGCACAUAUGAUAUUAACAUAAUUACAUAUGUGAUUUCUGUGUUGAAUUUCGUACAACAUUACCAUGAAGAGAAGCGCAUCCACAUGGCAAGUAAUUUCCAAAAGCCGCCAAAAAGGUGAAAAGCAAUCAAAUAUGCAAUCCAACAAGUUAAUUAUUAAGCUAUAGACCAUGCAUGUUUCAGUGGUGCAUACAAGAUCAGUAGAACAAAUUCCUAGCCGUUACGACAUUCAUCAGGGAGGCGAGGACUAUGAAGCGACGGGUUGCGAGCUGGAGGGAAUGGCGGCGCACCCCGUGUCUCAGCCGAGAGAGGAGAGGCCGGGGAUAGAAUUAAGAGAGACACGAGUGAUGUCAGAUGAUAGGCUAGGGAUCGUUGGGCGUUCUCACAUAUUGCGUGGAGGAGGUUAGCUAAAUGGGCCAGCACAAAGGCCCAGUCAACCGCAGGUGGCAGAGUUUUCUCCCAGUGCAGCAGCCCUUUAGGACAGUUGAGCCAAGAAAUAUAGUUACAAAAUUAGGAAUUCAUCCAACAGUCAGAAAUGAUCUAUACAAGUGAUCUGAUAGUUACAAAUGUUGAAUGCUUGAGAGAGCUGGGAUAAGGCUAAGUUUUACUGUCCUAAAUGUAUUAGAUAUGUAGAAUCUGACAGUUAUUAAAGUUUAAUUGUCCUUCAGAAAAAACUAUGGCUAAUCACCACUACGCUAAUUACUUUUUACAAUUGUUGUACAUGAAUGGGGGUUAGGCAAGCGUAACACUGCUGAUGAGGGUCCCAAACCCGAUAAAGGUGGAGGGUGCAUAAUCAAAUUAACAUCUAACACUAACAUGCAAUACCUUUUAAGUUCAUAUAUUGAUUCAAUCGCAAAAGGGAAAAAUGAAACAAAAGUAGGCAGCGGGACCUGGAAGUCAACAGAGGAAACAGAAGGGUAUGCUCAUCGUGUGGAAUCGUUUGUGGGGGGCGAGCUGAGUAAACAGAGGAAGGUGAUCGAACGACGUCUCAGGUUUAUUUGUUUACUGAACAGACAGACAUGUGUAAGUUUUUUUUCCCUUUGAGGGGAAAGACGUGUGUAACUAGGGAGGGAUGAUUUUGCACGUUCUGUAUUUUUUUCCACCAGAAAACAGAUACUACUUUAACAAAUAAAUCCUACACUAAAUAUUUUAUAUGCUGCAAAUUAUAGGCCACAUACGCAUGAGCCUAAAUUAUAGGCGACUAUUUCAUAGGGUGAAAGUAAACAAAAUAGAAAAUCUUAUAGGCGACAUGAGCAUGAACCUAAAUUAUAUAUUUUAUAUGCUGCAAAUUAUUUUAAAAACAUGUGAAAAUAUAGUGCAUGAUCAUCAGACCAAAAACUCUAGCCUGUACAAAACACUCAUAUUUAGACGUAUAUUUCAUAUGGAGCUGCCAAUUCAUAUCAAUCCGGCACUACAACAGUAACACUAUCGUGCAGCCGCUUAAGUCAAAUCUAAAGUUAAAGCUAAUCAACACAAAAUAUCCAAUGUAAAAGGAAUUACUUAUACUAAAAAUAUAAAAUAUACCUAAGAGUGCGAAAGAUGACGAAUAUUUACUAUAAGAGUGCUAGCCCUCGCAUUUGCGAGGGCCACCUUGCUAGUUGAUAAAAAACAAAUAAUUAUGAUGGAUUCAUGGCAAUGAUCAUGUAUAUAGGCAUCACGUUCGAGACAAGUAGACCGACUCCCGUCUGCAUCUACUACUAUUACUCCACCCAUCGACCGCUAUCCAGCAUGCAUCCAGAGUAUUAGGUAUAAAACAGAGUGACGCCUUAAGUACGAUGACAUGAUAUAGAUAAAGUAAAUUCAAGAAAUAUGAUUAAACCCCAUCUUUUUAUCCUUAAUUGUCAGCCCAUUGGCUGUUAUUUUCCCCGAUCUGACCAUCCGUGACGCUCCUGUUGUUCGCAACGCUACCGCUACGACUGCGGGAGCAUGUCAUUUUCGUUAUACAUGUAACCCAAAAAUAUCUCUAACAUUAAUGACAACAAUACAAAUACGUGUUAUGUCCCUUUUUGUCACUGGGAUUGAGCAAUGCAAGAUUGAAUCCAUCACAAAGCACCUCUCCCCAUUGCAAGAUAAACCAAUCUAGUUGGCCAAACCAAAUCGAUAGAUCAGGGAGAAAUAUAAAGCUAAAAUAAUCACGCAUAAAAGAGCUCAGAGAAGACUCAAAUAUUUCUCAUGAAUCAUAUGAUCAUAAACUCACGAUUCAUUGGAUCCCAACAAACACACCGGAAAAGAAGAUUACAUCGGAUAGAAAUCCAAGAACAUCGGGGAUAACUUUGUAUUGAAUAUCAAAGAGAGAGAAGAAGCCAUUUAGCUACUGGCUAUGGACCCAUAGGUGUGUGGUAAAAUACUCACACAUCAUCGGAAGGGCAGCAUGGUUUAUGUGGAAGCCCUUCGUGAUCGAUUCCCCCUCCGGCAGAGUACUGGAAAAGGCCUCCCGACGGGAUCGCGGAAAAACAGAGGCUUGCGGCGGAGAAAAAGUUUUCUCAUCUAUCUCUCUGGUGGUUAUGGAAUAUUUGUGAUUUAUAGUGGAAGAAUUAGGUCAGGAGGUGCCACGAGGGGGCCAUAAGCCUAGGGGCGCGGUGAUACGUCCAUUUUGCAUCAUGUUUUAUUACAGUUAUUUAUUAAGUUUUGAGCUAAUAUAACACUUCAUGGAGUAUUUCUAAUGCAUUUUCUCUCUUAAUAUGCAAGGUUUACACAAAGAGGGAGAAUACCGGCAGCUGGAUUUCAGGGCCUGAAAAAGCUACAUCAGAGAUCCCUAUUCUGCACAUCUCCAAAUGGGCUGAAAAUUCACGAAGAUUUAUUUUAGAAUAUAAAAAAAUACUGGGCCAAAGAUCCACGGGAGGAGGCCACCCAGGUGCCCACACAGCAAUAGGGCGCGCCCCACCCCUAGGGCGCGCCCUGAUGCUGUAUGAGGCCCCUGGCCCAAUUCAGGCCCCCUCCUUCUGGUAUAUAAGUCAUUUUACCAUAAAAUAUUUAUGGGGAGACUUUCAGGACGAGGCGCCGCUGCCACGAGGCGGAACUAGAGCAGGAGAAAUUUGGCUCUCCGGCGUGCAGAUUCCGCCGGGGAUACUUCCCUCCGGGUGGUGGAAAUCGAAGCUUACGUCAUCACUAACAACCCUCUCAUCGUGGGAGGACCAAUCUUCAUCAUCAUAAACCACAACACCAUCUCAUCUCUAUCCCUAGUUCAUAUCUUGUAUUCGAUCUCUGUGUCAAAACAUUAGAUUGGUACUUGUGUUUGACUAGUAGUGUUGAUUACUUAUCGUAGUUGAUGCUAGUGGAUUUGUUUGGUGAAUUACCAAAUGUUCUGAUCGUGCAUCCAAAUUAUAUUCUCUCUGAUCAUGAACAUGAUGAUGAUGUGUGAGUAGUUACUUUUAUUCUUGAGGACAUGGGAGAAGUCUUGUCAUUAGUAAUCAUGUGAUUCCGGUAUUCGUUCAAUAUUUUGAUGAUAUGUAUGUUGUGAUUCUCUUAGUGGUGUCAUAUGAACGUCGACUACAUGACACUUCACCAUUGAUGGGCCUAAGGGAACUCAUUGUGGAGUAGUAAUUAGAUGAUGGGUUGCUAGAGUGACAGAAGCUUAAACCCCAGUUUAUGCACUAUUCCGUAAGGGGCUGAUUUGGAUCCACUAGUUUAAUGCUAUGGUUAGACUUUGUCUUAAUUCUUUUUUCUUAGUUGCGGAUGUCGGUGUCAAAACCGACAGAUCUCGGGUAGGGGGUCCCAAGCUGUGGGUCUAGGAUCAAUAGGUAACAGUGACGAUGAACACGGUGUUUUACCCAGGUUCGGGCCCUCUGGAUGGAGGUAAAACCCUAUGUCCUGCUCUUGUUUGUAUUGAUGAAGUAUCAAGGUACAGAGUUGAUCUACCUCGAGAUCAUAUGUUCUGGUCUAAACCCUAGGGGUAUGAUCAGUAAUGUCAUAAUGAUGAUAAUAAUCUAUCGACUAGCCUGGCCUCGGCUUAUAUAAUGUACCAGAGGCCUAGGAUAACAAGACACCUAGUUAGCUAUGUUGGUGGAGAGGAGUCCUUGUCUUGGUCACCAAGUCUUGUGGAAUCUUUCCUGUAUAUGUCAUCGGUUGUCCGAACUGGCCCAUUAGUGAGGUCCUCGGUCCGACCCACUGGUCGGGAGACAACGUGGUGAGUACCCCCUAGUCCAGGACACCGUCAGCGGAUGCUUGCGAGAGGGGGUAAUCAUAAGUGGGAGGCUUGUUCAAGUAAGAACAGCACCCAAGCACCGGUCCACCCACAUAUCAAAUCAUCAAAGUAGCGAAAGCGAAUCGAAUGAACAUGAUGAAAGUGACUAGAUGAAAUUCCCGUGUGUCCUCAAGAACGCUUUUCUCAUUAUAAGUACUAGUUCUGGCCUGUCCUUUGCACUAAAAAGGAUUGGGAUAUCUUGCUGCACUUUAUUUACAUUUGUCACUUGCUACUCGUUACCAAUUAUCUUGCUAUCAGACUACUCGCUACCGCUUGUUUCAGUGUUUGCAAAAAUAUCGUUAUUGAAAACCGCAAGUCAUUUCCUUUUUCUUCUCGUUGGGUUCGACACUCUUACUUAUCGAAAGGACUAUGAUUGAUCCCCUAUACUUGUGGGUCAUCACGCGGCCACCCACCUGGGGCGCUCCGUCCCUAGCUUAUCACUCCCUCGAGACUCCUCGGGUCUUCCCCGAAGCUUCCAGGGUCUCUUUUGGUCCAGAAAACUUAAUCCAAUGUUUUUCUGUGUUUGUACCUUUUUUAUAAUGAUAUUAUAAAAUGAUAAAAACAAGCAAAAAAUAACAACUGGCACUAGGCACUACGUUAAUAGGUUAGUCCCAAAAAAUGAUACAAAAAUAGCAAAAAGUUGCAUAUAAAACAUCCAAGAAUGAUAAUAUAAUGGCACGAAACAAUAAAACAUUACAGAUAGGAGGCGUAUCAAGCAUCCCCAAGCUUAUUUCUUGCUCGUCCUCGAGUAGGUAAAUGAUAAAAACAAAAUUUUUGAUGUGGAAUGCUACCUAACAUGUUUCAUCAUGUAAUCUCUCUUACGGUAUGAAUAAUAAGAUCCGAAUGAUUCAAAGCAAUAGUCUAUAAUUUGAUAUAAAGACAUCAAUACUCAGGCAUACUAACAAACAAUCAUGCCUUUCAAAAUAACGAUGCUAACCCAAGUUAUCCCUACAAAAUCAUAUAAUCCUAUCAUGCUCCAUCUUCUUAACACAAAGUAUUUAUGAUGCACUACCCCAAUGACAAUCCAGGCAAUUGGUUCAUACUUCUUAACGUGCUUCAGCUUCAACCCCCGCGCAAUACAUGAUGGCAAGCCAAGGACAUAACACUAUGGAUGGAAUAGAACAUGAUGAUAGAGAUCAAUAAGGGGAAAUCCAAAAUAAGAAGAUAGUCUCACAUCAAUGCGGCUAACAAACGGGCUAUAGAGAUGCCCAAAAAUUGAUGUCAAUGCAAGGAGUAGGGAUUCCCAUGCAACGGAUGCACUAAGAAGGCACCCAAGGUAAUAUCCAAGGAGACUCCAGCGUCGAAGCUUGGGGAUGCCCCGGAAGGCAUCCCCUCUUAAUUCUAAUGACUAUCAGUAACGCACUUGAGGCAACAUUUUUACUCAUCACAUGAUAUGAGUUUUUCUUGGAGCGUCUUGUAUGAUAUGAGUCUUUGCUUUGUUUAUUUUUAGUUUAUCACAAUCAUCACCUCUGAACGCAUUUGCUUGAGAUAGCUUCACGUCAUCAUGAUUUACUUGAAUUGCCCUUUGUGCUUCACUUAAAUUUGUUGAGCUAGGUGGUUGCUCUAGUGCUUCAUUUAUAUCUUUUUUAACACGGUGGUGCUUUUGUUUUGAAGAAACUUGUUCUCAUGCUUCACUUAUAUCUUUUUGAGAAUGCUAGAAAUUUUAUAAAAAUAUUAGUCUCAUGCUUCACUUAUAUCUUUUUGAGAGUUCGAAAUUAGUUAUGGUAAAAUGUACAAGCUAUAAGCUUGGUCUCCAUAUGAUGAAUAUUCAAGAAGGAUAAUGAUAACUAGUAUAAAAAAUUUAUGGGACAUGAAUAACUUGAUUCUUUGCAACAAUUUUGAGAUAUGUAGAUGAUAAUACGUGAGUUAUGUUCAUGAAUAAUUAUACUCUAGUAUGAAUAUUGAUGUUAAGGUUUAUGAUUCCCUAUGCAAGCACGUAAAGUCAAUAGUUAUGCAAUGAAGUUACAUCCUACUUGUGGUGCAUUAUUCGGUGUUGGUUAUGUUUUAUGUAUGCAUGUGCAUCAUUACAGUUUCUUAGUUGGUCGCUUCUCAACCAUUUUGCUAGCCUCCAUUCGUACUAAGCGGGAAUACUGCUUGUGCAUCCAUUACCUUAAACUUGUUUUGCCAAUUGUGUCCAUCAUACCUACAUAUAUACGGUAUUUCAUUGCCGUCCCAAGUAAAUUUGCAUGUGCCAUCUCUAAUAAUUUUCAAAAUAAACUUCUCUUUUGUGUGCCUGUGUUGCUCAUGAAGUGAUAAGGGGUGGACGAUGAAUUUCGUGUUGUAUAUGUCAUUUUCAUGAUGAGUGUUUAUUCACUUGUCAUUGCACGAGAGUGUGGCGGUAAUAAAAGGGAUGCCCAGUCCCAAAAAUAAAUUGAAUUUCCUGGAAUGUGUUGUUAUGGAGGGCACCCGUGAAUACGGCUAGACAUGGAUUGUGAAAGGAAAGGUGGAAAAACUAACUCCUUCGGAUGUGAAUGGAAAAAAGGGACAAAAGUCUCAAAACCAUGGAACGAUGACAGGGAGCAAACAAUUUCUUUUCAGUUUGGGAGCCGCCUUUGAUGUAUAUAACUUGGAUGGUAUCGAAAGCCUUGAGUCGUUGUCGUUGACGAGAAAAGCAGGCCUCCCAAAAUAAUUUUUUAUCUCUUUUUAAAACUUGAGGUCUGGCACCACUGUAAAUCAAUGCUUCCCUCUGCGAAGGUCGUUCUAUUUAUUUUUAUGUUGAGUCUCAUCCUUCUCAUUAAAAAACCAACUAGGGGGUCAUGUGAUCAUGUGUGCGCAUGGAGUAUGAUUGACAUUCGACUGUGUUUCAUAAAUGGAUCAAUGGUUGAGCAUAAUGGGCUAGGGAUAAUUUUCUUUAGCAUUGUUAUUUUGAAAGGCAUGGUUGCGUGUUAGCAUUGGAGGGGGUAUAUAUAGCCACCUCAUCGGUCCCGGUUUGUGGCUGGAACCGGGACUAAAGGCCACCCUUCUGUCCUGGUUCUAGGCACGAACCGGGACCAAUGGCUGUGGGCUAGGAACGAGGACCAUUGGUCCCAUUCGUGCCUAGAACCGGGACAAAUGGGUACACACGAACCGGGACAAAUGCCUGCCGAGGACCGGCCGGCCCCCUGGGCGCACGAACCGGGACGUAUGACCCCCAUGGGUCCCGGUUCGUGACUGAACCGGGACUAAUGGGCUGGCCAGGCCCCAACCAAAGCCCUGUUUUCUACUAGUGAGGGGCGACGCUCUGCGGAGUUCUCCCUCUUGGGGGCGUUGUCGUGGAGCUUAGGUGUGCUAGGUCGUAGCGUGAGCAUGUUUUGUUCUUCUGGUACUUGUUGCUGGUAGCAUAGAAGCAUGCGUUUUGCAUGUGCCGGAUAUCUCAGGAUCGACUUUGUAAGGGCUACCAAACCAUAUUGUAUCGUUUGACCAUGUACAGCUUUGGAUGUUGCUUUGUUUAUAAAGCAGGGCAAAAUCCUAUUUCGAGAAUAAAGAAAACAACAGCAACAGCAAACAGGUCAACAACUUCAGAAUAGUUUUUCUUUUAAAAUUUCACUUGCUUAAUUAACUACAUGCAUAGGACUUUCUACAGUGUUUUAGAGAAGGACAACUAUGAUUUGCUAGCUAGUUAGGUAUUUCAACAGAACAUUAACAGCAAGGAGAAGGAGAAGAACUGUUAACAACCAGGCAGGCAGGUGGAGAGUGAGUGUGUGAGAGUGAGGUCUCUCUGGCUUUUUCCUGUAUGGCUACUCCUACUUCCUUCGCUGACAAAGACCUGUUCUGAAUCCGUAAUACUGAUUCAUAGUAAUGAUGGUGGAUCGACUAUACCUUGACUUAUCCAUGUACAACAAAAAUUACUACGUACAUGAUUAAAAAUCCAAGGGUCAAAUCCUGAUCAAUUGAUCCAGCAAAUUCUUCAUGAAUCUAGCAUGACAUCAAGUGUGAUUAAUAGGAGUUUCAAUUAUAAUUAGCCUCCGAGAAGCUACAUGGAGGAGGAUGUAGUCGUGUUUUGUGGCCUUGUCAGAAACUUCGCUUUCCAUCAAUCUGAAAACAAGUGGUAGAGGGCAAAAGAAUGAAAAAAAACAUGUGUAGAGGAUACGCAACACAUAAAGGCCACACACACAAAAACAGCGGUAUGGUAGCUGGUCCAUGACAUUGACAAGUCAAUUGAUUUGCUGCAACCAUAUAUAUGUACGAAUAAUAUCGCCAAGGAUAAGAGAAGGAAAAAAUAUAAAUAUACCGAUAGGCUCUUAUUUAGUUCCUGGAUGCAUGUUGCAUGAGCCAAGUGUAUCGGCAGUAUGGCUUGUGUUUGCUGCAUGAUGGCGGCAGGUUCCCAUUCAGUUAGGCAUGCUAAGUCCUAAAUUCAUUUAUUCACGUAUCGGGUAGAAGGAGAACAAAUUUCAUUUCUUUUCUGUAGGUUCCUUGCUUAAAAGAAAAUAGAAAAUAUACACUUAUAUAAUUACGAGAAAAAAUCAACUGUAUGUCGCUCAGUCUUCCCUUUUUGUUCCGUAUCAGUAUCAACAAUCAUAGUACUAAUAGCUUUCUAUACUGGCGCUAGUAAAUUCAAUAAAAGAAACAUGGAGACUAUCUGAACAAUUUGAAACAAUAUAGACAAACUGAGAUCAACUAACAACAGAAAUCCAAAAGAAAUGUUCAUGUCUACGUGGAGUGAAUCGAUCAAGCCGUGCAAAGCCCUAACAAUUUGUUUUGUAUUAAUAACUCAUAUGAUAAUACAACUCCUCCAUAUGAAAAGGUAAUAUGAUGAUUCAUGAAUGCUUAUCCAUCUUAUAAAUAUAUUGUGCACAAAAUAUCGAGUUAGUUCAGAGAAAACGGUGUCUAGAACAAUCUUCACAUUAAUAGUGUGAUCUAUCUCAAUGACUCACACAAGAUUACAAAGUUUGUUCCCUUAAGUAUGCCAAUCUGGAUACGCCUAACAAUAUGUAGAACAUGACAAACUAAAUCAGAACAAGGGACAAAAUCUAGAUCAAUGUUUGAAGUGUAAAGUGAAUACGAUGAGUCAUUUGUCGUUAUCAAGCAUUCCAUACACCUAGAUGAUAUGUGCAAGAACAAUCAACUAUGACGAACAAUCCAAAAUCACGAUAGUAAGUAGUACCAUAAUACACAACAUACCAAAUUAUUGUAAAUGAUAAGCUUAAGAGCACUUUUUCAAGAAGCAAGUGUGAAGAUUACAAACUUAGUUCCCUUAAGUUAUGCCAAUCUGGAUACACCUAACAACAUGUAGAACAUCACAAACUAAAUCGAAAGACGGACAAAAUCUAGAUCAAUGUUUGAAGUGUAAAGUGAAUACGAUGAGUCAUUAGUCGUGAUCAAGCAUUCGAUACAGCCAGAUGAUAUUUGCAAGAACACAACAUACCAAAUUAUUAGGUCGAUAAUCUUAAGUGCACUUUUUCAAGAAAAGAGUGGGAAGAUGAAAACAAAAUAUGUCAUGCCUGCUAUAAAUACGACUACACCAUGUGGGUCUCUUCCAUCAUCUAACCUUCAAGCACCUAGAGUAAAAACACCAAAGCCAAGUGAGCAAUAGUAAACACAAAUCAAACAUGAAGACCUUCAUCAUAUUUGUCCUCCUUGCUAUGGUGAUGAGCAUCGCCAGUGCCACUAGGCAACUAAGCCCUAGAGGCAAGGAGUUGCAAACACCACAAGAACAAUUCCCCCAACAGCAAUUCCCUCAACCACAACAAAUCCUCCAACAACAAUUCCCCCAACGACAACAAAUCCCCCAGCAACCGCAACAAUUCCCCCAACAGCAAUUCCCGCAACAGCAAAUCCCACAACAGCAAAUCCCGCAACAACAAUUCCCCCAACCACANNNNNNNNNNNNNNNNNNNNNNNNNNNNNNNNNNNNNNNNNNNNNNNNNNNNNNNNNNNNNNNNNNNNNNNNNNNNNNNNNNNNNNNNNNNNNNNNNNNNNNNNNNNNNNNNNNNNNNNNNNNNNNNNNNNNNNNNNNNNNNNNNNNNNNNNNNNNNNNNNNNNNNNNNNNNNNNNNNNNNNNNNNNNNNNNNNNNNNNNNNNNNNNNNNNNNNNNNNNNNNNNNNNNNNNNNNNNNNNNNNNNNNNNNNNNNNNNNNNNNNNNNNNNNNNNNNNNNNNNNNNNNNNNNNNNNNNNNNNNNNNNNNNNNNNNNNNNNNNNNNNNNNNNNNNNNNNNNNNNNNNNNNNNNNNNNNNNNNNNNNNNNNNNNNNNNNNNNNNNNNNNNNNNNNNNNNNNNNNNNNNNNNNNNNNNNNNNNNNNNNNNNNNNNNNNNNNNNNNNNNNNNNNNNNNNNNNNNNNNNNNNNNNNNNNNNNNNNNNNNNUUCCCCCAACAACAACAAUUCCCGCAACAACAAUUCCCCCAGCAACCACAACAACAAUUCCCAAAACAACAAUUUCCCAUACCAUACCCACCCCAACAACAAUCGCAAGAAGCUUCCCCAUACCAACAAUACCACAACAACAACUAUCUGGGAGCGACAUUAUAAGUAUCAGUGGCCGAUGAAAUGAAGAGAUGUAAUACUAGACAGGUGAAUCAUCGUUGUUAGUCAAUGGAGCAUAAUGUAACGGGUAUAAAUAAAAUGAUGUGCACCAUCAUGUGUAACCCAGACCUGUACUAGUUCAAACAUGGGAAUAAAAGACAAAUAAAUUCUUUUCUGAAGCACAUUGCUGGCAAUUGUUAUAUUCAUGCCAUAUUUCGAUUUCCAUCGCUAACUACAAUCUCAAUGUUAUGGUCUAUCUACUUAUUUAUGAAGUGUAGUAUUAUGAACAUAACAUAAUUAACAUGUCUGAAAAUUGGCUCAAAUUGAAGUACUAUUAAUUCAGGAGUAAGGAGUAAUUACAAUUUAACAUUUCAAUGGAGAGCUCUAAUUGUAGACUGUGUUGUUAAUUCUCCGAAGAGGAGAGGAUGAUGUAGUAUAGUAGAGAUAAGUAUUUCCAUCAGCUAAGAACCAAGGUUAUCAAUCCAGUAGGAGAACCACACAAAACCUCGUUAGCAGCACCUGCACACACAAAAGCAAACACUUGCACCCAACGCAAAUAAGAGGGUUGUCAAUCCUCUUAGCGAUUAUUUGCAAGGAUUAGUUCUGACAGUGAUACAUAGAUAAAAUAAAAUACUAAAUAAAAUAAAAAUAAAUAAAUUGCAGCAAUGUAUUUUUGUGCUUUUAUAUAUGAUAAAAGUAGACCGGGGGGGCAUAGUUUUCACUGGAGGAUUCUCUCUUGAUCAUAGAACAUAUGGUGGGUAAACACAUUACUGUUGGGCAAGCUAUUAUAUACUAAAAGGAAAAUACUGGUCCAAAAUAGAGAAUAGGCUAGAAAAUCCGGCAUUAAUUGGAAAAUAUGAACCCUUGAUCCGUUUAAUUUUAAAAAAUAUAAAUGUAUGACCGUUCAAUAUAGUUAACAAGGUAGGGCGUGGAUAACUUCCCGCGUAACGUGACACAUGUAAGAAACACAAACAUGGGUCCAGUUAAGGGAAACACAUAGAUGUGUUGAAGUGGGAAUGAAUAGAAUUGCUACGUCCGAAUAUGCAAGAGAUAGAAAAGAAGAAGAAAACUAAAGAACAUGUCGUGUUCAGAUUGGACUAAACGUAUGUGCGUAUACAACCACAACCACAAUCGGAAAGAUCCAGCCAUUAAUCCCGUGGGUCCAUCCAAAACAAAAGGAGGAUAUGCAUGUAAUUGCCCCACGUCCAUGGAACAUACUUAUUAGAGUCCACAAACAGCAGCCGCUUGUCUCUUUUACGUGAUCCUCCUUGCACUGUUAGGACUUUGCCGUCGGACAUCCCAAAGUUCUGGUGAAGUUCACAUCUAAAUAUACUAUCGUAGUAAAAAAAUCCAUUUCAUACUCCAGGAAAGAUAUCACCGUCCCAAAGUUUCAAUUGCAAUCUAAGUUUUGCCACAACUGGGUAUUUAAAACUUAUUUUGCCACAGCUCGGCAGUUUCAGCCACUAAGGUUUUUGUGGCAGAUCAAGCAUCUUCCCAUUGGAAACUCCCAACUGUAAAAAGACAAGCAAAAUAGCAAUCAUUGGCAAAUCAGCAAUCUUAUAGCGGCAGCAGCUCCCAUCAAUCAGGUAACUCAUCUUUCAAAAAUCAGAGACAAUAAGCAACCAUACACAUCAUGCACAUAUGAUAUUAACGAUAAUUACAUAUGUGAUUUCUGUGUCGAAUUUCGUACAACAUUACCAUGAAGAGAAGUGCAUCCACAUGGCAAGUAAUUUCCAAAAGCCGCCAAGAAGGUGAAAAGCAAUCAAAUAAGCAAUCCAACAAGUUAAUCAUUAAGCUAUAGACCAUGCAUGUUUCAGUGGUGCAUACAAGAUCAGUAGCACAAAUUCCUAGCCGUUACGACAUUCAUCAGGGAGGCGAGGACUGUGAAGCAAGGGGUUGCGAGCUGGAGGGAUUGGCGGCGCACCCCGUGUCUCAGCCGAGAGAGGAGAGGCCGGGGAUAGAAUUAAGAGAGACAGGAGAGAUGACGACAGAUGAUAGGCUAGGGAUCGUUGGGCGUUCUCACAUAUUGCGUGGAGGAGGUUAGCUAAAUGGGCCAGCACAAAGGCCCAGUCAACCGCAGGUGGCAGAGUUUUCUCCCAGUGCAGCAGCCCUUUAGGACAGUAGAGCCAAGAAAUAUAAUUACAAAAUUAGGGAUUCAUCCAACAGUCAGAAAUGAUCUAUACAAGUGAUCUGAUAGUUACAAAUGUUGAAUGCUUGAGAGAGCUGGGAUAAGUCUAGGUUUUACUGUCCUAAAUGUAUUAGAUAUGUGGAAUCUGACAGUUAUUAAAGUUUAAUUGUCCUUCAGAAAAAACUAUGGCUAAUCACCACUACGCUAAUUACUUUUUACAAUUGUUGUACAUGAAUGGGGGUUAGGGAGGCAUAACACUAAUCAAAUUAACAUCUAACACUAACAUGCAAUACCUUUUAAGUUCUUAUAUUGAUUCAAUCGCAAAAGGGAAAAAUGAAACAAAAGUAGGCAGCGGGACCUGGAAGUCAACAGAGGAAACAUAAGGGUAUGCUCAUCGUGUGGAAUCGUUUGUGGGGGGCGAGCUGAGUAAACAGAGGAAGGUGAUCGAACGACGUCUCGUGUUUAUUUGUUUACUGAACAGACAGACAUGUGUAAGUUUUUUUCCCUUUGAGGGGAAAGACGUGUGUAACUAGGGAGAGAUGAUUUUGCACGUUCUGUAUUUUUUUCCACCAGAAAACAGAUACUACUUUAACAAAUAAAUCCUACACUAAAUAUUUUAUAUGCUUUAAAUUAUAGGCCACAUACGCAUGAGCCUAAAUUAUAGGCGACUAUUUCAUAGGGUGAAAGUAAACAAAAUAGAAAAUCUUAUAGGCGACAUAAGCAUGAACCUAAAUUAUAUAUUUUAUAUGCUGGAAACUAUUUUAAAAACAUCUGAAAAUAUAGUGCAUGAUCAUCAGACCAAAAACUCUAGCCUGUACAAAACACUCAUAUUUAGACCGUAUAUUUCAUAUGGAGCUGCCAAUUCAUAUCAAUCCGGCACUACAACAGUAACACUAUCGUGCAGCCGCUUAAGUCAAAUCUAAGGUUAAAGCUAAUCAACACAAAAUAUCCAAUGUAAAAGGAAUUACUUAUACUAAAAAAUAUAAAAUAUAUCUAAGAGUGCGAACAAUGACAAAUAUUUACUAUAGGAGUGCCAGCCCUCGCAUUUGCGAGGGCCACCUUGCUAGUUGAUAAAAAACAAAUAAUUAUGACGGAUUCAUGGCAAUGAUCAUGUAUAUAGGCAUCACGUUCGAGACAAGUAGACCGACUCCCGUCUACAUCUACUACUAUUACUCCACCCAUCGACCGCUAUCCAACAUGCAUCCAGAGUAUUAGGUAGAAAACAGAGUAACGCCUUAAGUACGAUGACAUGAUGUAGAUAAAGUAAAUUCAAGCAAAAUCUGAUUAAACUCAUUAAUUGUCAGCCCAUCGGCUGUUAUUUUCCCCGGUCUGACCGUCCGCGACGCUCCUAUUGUUCGCAACGCUACCGCUACGACUGCGGGAGCAUGUUAGAGAUAUAUUUUCAUUAUACAUGUAACCCAAAAAUAUUUCUAACGUUAAUGACAACAAUACAAAUACGUGUGAUGUCCCUUUUUGUCACUGGGAUUGAGCAACGUAAGAUUGAGUCCAUCAUAAAGCACUUCUCCCCAUUGCAAGAUAAACCAAUCUCGUUGGCCAAACCAAAUCGAUAGAUCAGGGAGAAAUAUAAAGCUAAAAUAAUCACGCAUAAAAGAGCUCAGAGAAGACUCAAAUAUUUCUCAUGAAUCAUAUGAUCAUAAACUCAUGAUUCAUUGGAUCCCAACAAACACACCGGAAAAGAUGAUUACAUCGGAUAGAACUCCAAGAACAUCGGGGAUAACAUUGUAUUGAAUAUCAAAGAGAGAGAAGAAGCCAUUAAACUACCGUUUAUGGACCCAUUGGUCUGUGGUAAAAUACUCACACAUCAUCGGAAGGCAGCAUGGUUUAUGUGGAAGCCCUUCGUGAUUGAUUCCCCCUCCGGCAGAGUAAUGGAAAAGGCCUCCAGAUGGGAUCGCGGAAGAACAGAGGCUUGCGGCUGCGGAAAAGUUUUGUCAUCUAUCUCUCUGGUGGUUAUGGAAUAUUUGUGAAUUUAUAGUGGAAGAAUUAGGUCAGGAGGUGCCACGAGGGGGCCAUAAGCCUAGGGGCGCAGUGAUACGUCCAUUUUGCAUCAUGUUUUAUUACUGUUAUUUAUUAAGUUUUGAGCCAAUAUAACACUUCAUGAAGUAUUUCUAAUGCCUUUUCUCUCUUAAUAUGCAAGGUUUACACAAAGAGGGAGAAUACCGGCAGCUGGAUUUCAGGGCCUGAAAAAGCUACAUCAGAGAUCCCUAUUCUGCACAUCUCCAAACGGGCUGAAAAUUCACGAAGAUUUAUUUUAGAAUAUAAAAAAAAUACUGGGCCAAAGAUCCACGGGAGGAGGCCACCCAGGUGCCCACAUAGCAAUAGGGCGCGCCCUGAUGCUGUAUGAGGCCCCUGGCCCACUUCAGGCCCCCUCCUUCUGGUAUAUAAGUCAUUUUACCAUAAAAUAUUUAUGGGGAGACUUUAAGGACGAGGCGCCGCCGCCACGAGGCGGAACUAGAGCAGGAGCAAUUUGGCUCUCCGGCGGGCAGAUUCCGCCGGGGACACUUCCCUCCGGGAGGUGGAAAUCGAAGCUUACGUCAUCACCAACAACCCUCUCAUCGUGGGAGGACCAAUCUUCAUCAUCAUAAACCACAACACCAUCUCAUCUCUAUCCCUAGUUCAUAUCUUGUAUUCGAUCUCUGUGUCAAAACAUUAGAUUGGUACUUGUGUUUGACUAGUAGUGUUGAUUACUUAUCGUAGUUGAUGCUAGUGGAUUUGUUUGGUGAAUUACCAAAUGUUCUGAUCGUGCGUCCAAAUUAUAUCCUCUCUGAUCAUGAACAUGAUGAUGAUGUGUGAGUAGUUACUUUUAUUCUUGAGGACAUGGGAGAAGUCUUAUCAUUAGUAAUCAUGUGAUUCCGGUAUUCGUUCGAUAUUUUGAUGAUAUGUAUGUUGUGAUUCUCUUAGUGGUGUCAUGUGAACGUCGACUACAUGACACUUCACCAUUGAUGGGCCUAAGGGAACUCAUUGUGGAGUAGUAAUUAGAUGAUGGGUUGCUAGAGUGACAGAAGCUUAAACCCUAGUUUAUGCGCUAUUCCGUAAGGGGCUGAUUUGGAUCCACUAGUUUAAUGCUAUGGUUAGACUUUGUCUUAAUUCUUUUUUCUUAGGUGCGGAUGUCGGUGUCAAAACCGGCAGAUCUCGGGUAGGGGGUCCCAAGCUGUGGGUGUAGGAUCAAUAGGUAACAGUGACGAUGAACACGGUGUUUUACCCAGGUUCGGGCCCUCUUGAUGGAGGUAAAACCCUACGUCAUGCUCUUGUUUAUAUUGAUGAAGUAUCAAGGUACAGAGUUGAUCUACCUCGAGAUCAUAUGUUGUGGUCUAAACCCUAGGGGUAUGAUCAGUAAUGUCAUAAUGAUGAUAAUAAUCUAUCGACUAGCCUGGCCUCGGCUUAUAUAAUGUACUAGAGGCCUAGGAUAACAAGAGUCCUAGUUGGCUAUGUUGGUGGAGAGGAGUCCUUGUCUUGAUCACCAAGUCUUGUGGAAUCUUCCCUUUAUAUGUCAUCGGUUGGCCGAACUGGCCCAUUAGUGAGUUCCUCGGCCCGACCCACUGGUCGGGAGACAACGUGGUGAGUACCCCCUAGUCCAGGACACCGUCAGCGGAUGCUUGCGAGAGGGGGUAAUCAUAAGUGGGAGGCUUGUUCAAGUAAGAACAGCACCCAAGCACCGGUCCACCCACAUAUCAAAUCUUCAAAGUAGCGAAAGCAAAUCGAAUGAACAUGAUGAAAGUGACUAGAUGAAAUUCCCGUGUGUCCUCAAGAACGCUUUUCUCAUUAUAAGUACUAGUUCUGGCCUGUCCUUUGCACUAAAAAGGAUUGGGCUAUCUUGCUGCACUUUAUUUACAUUUUUCACUUGCUACUCGUUACCAAUUAUCUUGCUAUCAAACUACUCGCUACCGCUUGUUUCACUGUUUGCAAAAAUAUCGUUAUUGAAAACCGCAAGUCAUUUCCUUCUGCUCCUCGUUGGGUUCGACACUCUUACUUAUCAAAAGGACUACGAUUGAUCCCCUAUACUUGUGGGUCAUCACGCGGCCACCCACUUGGGGCGCUCCUUCAGUAGCUUAUCACUCCCUCGAGACUCCUCGGGUCUUCCCCGAAGCUUCCAGGGUCUCUUUUGGUCCAGAAAACUUAAUCCAAUGUUUUUCUGUGUUUGUACCUUUUUUAUAAUGAUUUUCUAAAAUGAUAAAAACAAGCAAAAAUAACAACUGGCACUAGGCACUACGUUAAUAGGUUAGUCCCAAAAAAGAUACAAAAAUAGCACAAAGUUGCAUAUAAAACAUCCAAGAUUGACAAUAUAAUAGCACGAAACAAUAAAACAUUACAGAUAGGAGGCGUAUCAAGCAUUCCCAAGCUUAAUUCUUGCUCGUCCUCGAGUAGGUAAAUGAUAAAAACAAAUAUUUUGAUGUGGAAUGCUACCUAACAUGUUUCAUCAUGUAAUCUCUCUUACGGUAUGAAUAAUAAGAUCCGAAUGAUUCAAAGCAAUAGUCUAUAAUUUGCUAUAAAGACAUCAAUACUCAGGCAUACUAACAAACAAUCAUGCCUUUCAAAAUAACGAUGCUAACCCAAGUUAUCCCUACAAAAUCAUAUAAUCCUAUCAUGCUCCAUCUUCUUAACACAAAAGUAUUUAUGAUGCACUACCCCAAUGACAAUCCAGGCAAUUGGUUCAUACUUCUUAACGUGCUUCAACUUUUUCAACCCCCACGCAAUACAUGACGGUAAGCCAAGGACAUAACACUAUGGAUGGAAUAGAACAUGAUGAUAGAGAUCAAUAAGGGGAAAUCAAAAAUAAGAAGAUAGUCUCACAUCAAUGCGGCUAACCAACGGGCUAUAGAGAUGCCCAUCAAUUGAUGUCAAUGCAAGGAGUAGGGAUUGCCAUGCAACGGUGUUGGGAAUCGUAGCAUAAUUUAAAAAAUUUCCUACGCUCACCAAGAUCCAUCUAUGGAGUAUACUAGCAACGAGGGGAAAGGAGUGCAUCUACAUACCCUUGUAGAUCGCGAGCAGAAGCGUUCCAAUGAACGUGGAUGACGGAGUCGUACUCGCCGUGAUUCAAAUCACCGAUGACCGAGUGCCGAACGGACGGCACCUCCGCGUUCAACACACGUACGGUGCAGCAACGUCUCCUCCUUCUUGAUCCAGCAAGGGGAAGGAGAGGUUGAUGGAGAUCCAGCAGCACGACGGCGUGGUGGUGGACGUAGCGGGUCUCGGCAGGGCUUCGCCGAGCUUCUGCGAGAGGGAGAGCUGUAGCAGGGGAGCAGGGAGGCGCCCAAGGCUGUAAUACUACUGCCCUCCCUCCCCCCCCCCUUUUAUAUAGGCCCCCUGGGAGGGGGGCGCCGGCCAGGAUCCCAUCUGGAUGGGGGGGCGGCGGCCAGGGGGGAUACUUGCCCCCCAAGGCAAGUGGGGCGCCCCCCCCCCCACCCUAGGGUUUCCAACCCUAGGCGCAGGGGGGAGGCCCAUGGGGGGCCUCCCAGCCCCAUAAGGGCUGGUUGCCCUCCCACUUCAGCCCAUGGGGCCUCCGGGAUAGGUGGCCCCACCCGGUGGACCCCCGGGACCCUUCCGGUGGUCCCGGUACAAUACCGAUAACCCCCGAAACUUUCCCGGUGGCCGAAACUUGACUUCCUAUAUAUAAUUCUUCACCUCCGGACCAUUCCGGAACCUCUUGUGAUGUCCGGGAUCUCAUCCAGGACUCUGAACAACUUUCGGGUUUCCGCAUACUCAUAUCUCUACAACCCUAGCGUCACCGAACCUUAAGUGUGUAGACCCUACGGGUUCGGGAGACAUGCAGACAUGACCGAGACACCUCUCCGGUCAAUAACCAACAGCGGGAUCUGGAUACCCAUGUUGGCUCCCACAUGUUCCACGAUGAUCUCAUCGGAUGAACCACGAUGUCGAGGAUUCAAUCAAUCCCGUAUACAAUUCCCUUUGUCAAUCGGUAUGUUACUUGCCCGAGAUUCGAUCGUCGGUAUCCCAAUACCUUGUUCAAUCUCGUUACCGGCAAGUCUCUUUACUCGUACCGCAAUGCAUGAUCCUGUGACUAACGCCUUAGUCACAUUGAGCUCAUUAUGAUGAUGCAUUACCGAGUGGGCCCAGAGAUACCUCUCUGUCACACGGAGUGACAAAUCCCAGUCUCGAUCCGUGCCAACCCAACAGACACUUUUGGAGAUACCCGUAGUGCACCUUUAUAGUCACCCAGUUACGUUGUGACGUUUGGCACACCCAAAGCACUCCUACGGUAUCCGGGAGUUGCACGAUCUCAUGGUCUAAGGAAAAGAUACUUGACAUUGGAAAAGCUCUAGCAAACGAAACUACACGAUCUUUUAUGCUAUGCUUAGGAUUGGGUCUUGUCCAUCACAUCAUUCUCCUAAUGAUGUGAUCCCGUUAUCAACGACAUCCAAUGUCCAUAGUCAGGAAACCAUGACUAUCUGUUGAUCAACGAGCUAGUCAACUAGAGGCUUACUAGGGACACGUUGUGGUCUAUGUAUUCACACAUGUAUUACGAUUUCCGGAUAACACAAUUAUAGCAUGAACAAUAGACAAUUAUCAUGAACAAAGAAAUAUAAUAAUAACCAUUUAUUAUUGCCUCUAGGGCAUAUUUCCAACAGUCUCCCACUUGCACUAGAGUCAAUAAUCUAGUUACAUUGUGAUGAAUCGAACACCCAUUGCGUCCUGGUGUUGAUCAUGUUUUGCCCUAGGGAGAGGUUUAGUCAAUGGAUCUGCUACAUUCAGGUCCGUAUGUACUUUACAAAUAUCUAUGUCUCCAUUUUGAACACUUUCACGAAUGGAGUUGAAGCGACGCUUGAUAUGCCUGGUCUUCCUGUGAAACCUAGGCUCCUUCGCAAGGGCAAUAGCUCCAGUGUUGUCACAGAAGAGAGUCAUCGGGCCCGACGCAUUGGGAAUCACCCCUAGGUCGGUAAUGAACUGCUUCAUCCAGACUGCUUCCUGUGCUGCCUCCGAGGCUGCCAUGUACUCCGCUUCACAUGUAGAUCCCGCCACGACGCUUUGCUUGCAACUGCACCAGCUUACUGCUCCUCCAUUCAAAAUAUACACGUAUCCGGUUUGUGACUUCGAGUCAUCUAGAUCUGUGUCGAAGCUAGAGUCGACGUAACCCUUUACGACGAGCUCUUCGUCACCUCCAUAAAGGAGAAACAUAUCCUUAGUCCUCUUCAGGUACUUCAGGAUAUUCUUGACCGCUGUCCAGUGUUCCAUGCCGGGAUUACUUUGGUACCUUCCUACCAAACUUACGGCAAGGUUUACAUCAGGUCUGGUACACAGCAUGGCAUACAUAAUAGACCCUAUGGCCGAGGCAUAGGGGAUGACACUCAUCUUUUCUCUAUCUUCUGCCGUGGUCGGCAUUGAGCCGUGCUCAACUGCACACCUUGCAAUACAGGCAAGAACCCCUUCUUGGACUGAUCCAUAUUGAACUUCUUCAAUAUCUUGUCAAGGUAUGUACUCUGUGAAAGACCAAUGAGGCGUCUUGAUCUAUCUCUAUAGAUCUUGAUGCCUAAUAUAUAAGCAGCUUCUCCAAGGUCCUUCAUUGAAAAACACUUAUUCAAAUAGGCCUUUAUACUUUCCAAGAAUUCUAUAUCAUUUCCCAUCAAAAGUAUGUCAUCCACAUAUAAUAUGAGAAAUGCUACAGAGCUCCCACUCACUUUCUUGUAAACACAGGCUUCUCCAUAAGUCUGUGUAAACCCAAACGCUUUGAUCAUCUCAUCAAAGCGAAUGUUCCAACUCCGAGAUGCUUGCACCAGCCCAUAGAUUGAGCGUUGGAGCUUGCAUACUUUGUUAGCAUUCUUAGGAUCGACAAAACCUUCCGGCUGCAUCAUAUACAACUCUUCCUUAAGGAAGCCGUUAAGGAAUGCCGUUUUGACGUCCAUCUGCCAUAUCUCAUAAUCAUAGUAUGCGGCAAUUGCUAACAUGAUUCGGACGGACUUCAGCUUCGCUACGGGUGAUAAAGUCUCAUCGUAGUCAACCCCUUGAACUUGUCGAUAACCCUUAGCGACAAGUCGAGCCUUAUAGAUGGUCACAUUACCAUCCGCGUCUGUCUUCUUCUUAAAGAUCCAUUUGUUUUCUAUGGCUCGCCGAUCAUCGGGCAAGUCAGUCAAAGUCCAUACUUCGUUUUCAUACAUGGAUCCUAUCUCGGAUUUCAUGGCUUCUAGCCAUUUGUCGGAAUCCGGGCCCGCCAUCGCUUCUUCAUAGUUCGAAGGUUCACCGUUGUCUAAUAACAUGAUUUCCAAGACAGGGUUGCCGUACCACUCUGGUGCGGAACGUGUCCUUCUGGACCUACGAAGUUCAGUGGCAACUUGAUCCGAAGCUUCAUGAUCAUCAUCAUUAACUUCUUCCCCAGUCGGUGUAGGCACCACAGGAACAUCUUCCCGCGCUGCGCUACUUCCCGGUGCGGAAGGGGUGACUAUCACCUCAUCAAGUUCCACUUUCCUCCCACUCAAUUCUUUCGAGAGAAACUCCUUCUCCAGAAAGAACCCGUUCUUGGCAACGAAUAUCUUGCCUUCGGAUCUGAGGUAGAAGGUACCCAAUGGUUUCCUUAGGGUAUCCUAUGAAGACGCAUUUCUCCGACUUGGGUUCGAGCUUUUCAGGUUGAAGUUUCUUGACAUAAGCAUCGCAUCCCCAAACUUUUAGAAAUGACAGCUUAGGUUUCUUCCCAAACCAUAAUUCAUACGGUGUCGUCUCAACGGAUUUCGACGGAGCCCUAUUUAAAGUGAAUGCGGCAGUCUCUAAAGCAUAGCCCCAAAAUGAGAGCCGUAAAUCGGUAAGAGACAUCAUAGAUCGCACCAUAUCCAAUAGAGUGCGAUCACGACGUUCGGACACACCGUUUCGCUGAGGUGUUCCAGGCGGCGUGAGUUUGAAACUAUUCCACAUUUCCUUAAGUGUGCACCAAACUCAUGACUUAAAUAUUCUCCACCACGAUCUGAUCGUAAGAAUUUUAUUUUUCUGUCACGUUGAUUCUCAACCUCACUCUGAAAUUCCUUGAACUUUUCAAAGGUUUCAGACUUGUGUUUCAUUAGGUAGACAUACCCAUAUCUACUUAAGUCAUCAGUGAGAGUGAGAACAUAACGAUAUCCUCCGCGAGCCUCAACACUCAUUGGACCGCACACAUCGGUAUGUAUGAUUUCCAAUAAGUUGGUUGCUCGCUCCAUUGUUCCGGAGAACGGAGUCUUGGUCAUCUUACCCAUGAGGCAUGGUUCGCACGUGUCAAAUGAUUCGUAAUCAAGAGACUCCAAAAGUCCAUCUGCAUGGAGCUUCUUCAUGCGCUUGACACCAAUGUGACCAAGGUGGCAGUGCCACAAGUAUGUGGGACUAUCGUUAUCAACUUUACAUCUUUUGGUAUUCACACUAUGAAUAUGUGUAACAUCACGUUCGAGAUUCAUCAAGAAUAAACCAUUAACCAGCGGGGCAUGACCAUAAAACAUAUCUCUCAUAUAAAUAGAACAACCAUUAUUCUCGGAUUUAAAUGAGUAGCCAUCUCGAAUUAAACAAGAUCCAGAUACAAUGUUCAUGCUCAAAGCUGGCACUAAAUAACAAUUAUUGAGGUUUAAAACUAAUCCCGUAGGUAGAUGCAGAGGUAGCGUGCCGACGGCGAUCACAUCGACCUUGGAACCAUUCCCGACGCGCAUCGUCACCUCGUCCUUCGCCAGUCUCCGUUUGUUCCGUAGUUCCUGUUUUGAGUUACAAAUAUGAGCAACCGCACUGGUAUCAAAUACCCAGGAGCUACUACGAGUACUGGUAAGGUACACAUCAAUUACAUGUAUAUCACAUAUACCUUUGGCAUUGCCGGCCUUCUUGUCCGCUAAGUAUUUGGGGCAGUUCCGCUUCCAGUGACCACUUCCCUUGCAAUAAAAGCACUCAGUUUCAGGCUUGGGUCCAUUCUUUGACUUCUUCCCAGUAACUGGCUUACCGGGCGCGGCAACUCCCUUGCCGUCCUUCUUGAAGUUCUUCUUACCCUUGCCCUUCUUGAACUUAGUGGUUUUAUUCACCAUCAACACUUGAUGUUCUUUUCUGAUCUCCACCUCCGCUGAUUUCAGCAUUGAAUAUACCUUAGGAAUGGUCUUUUCCAUCCCUUGCAUAUUGAAGUUCAUCACAAAGCUCUUGUAGCUUGGUGGAAGCGACUGGAGGAUUCUGUCAAUGACCGCGUCAUCUGGGAGAUUGACUCCCAGCUGAGACAAGCGGUUAUGCAACCCAGACAUUCUGAGUAUGUGCUCACUAACAGAACUAUUCUCCUCCAUUUUACAGCUGAAGAACUUGUCGGAGACUUCAUAUCUCUCGACCCGGGCAUGAGCUUGGAAAACCAUUUUCAGCUCCUCGAACAUCUCAUAUGCUCCAUGUUUCUCAAAACGCUUUUGGAGCCCCGGUUCUAAACUGUAAAGCAUGCCGCACUGAACGAGGGAGUAAUCAUCAGCACGUGAUUGCCAAGCGUUCAUAACGUCUUGGUUCUCUGGGAUUGGUGCUUCACCUAGCGGUGCUUCUAAGACAUAAUCUUUCUUGGCUGCUAUGAGGAUGAUCCUCAGGUUCCGGACCCAGUCCGUAUAGUUGCUGCCAUCAUCUUUUAGCUUGGUUUUCUCUAGGAACGCGUUGAAAUUGAGGACAACGUGGGCCAUUUGAUCUACAAGACAUAGUGUAAAGCUUUUAGACUAAGUUCAUGAUAAUUAAGUUCAUAUAAUCAAAUUAUUCAAUGAACUCCCACUCAGAUAGACAUCCCUCUAGUCAUCUAAGUGAAAACAUGAUCCGAGUUAACUAGGCCGUGUCCGAUCAUCACGUGAGACGGACUAGUCAAGAUCGGUGAACAUCUCCAUGUUGAUCGUAUCUUCUAUACGACUCAUGCUCGACCUUUCGGUCCUCCGUGUUCCGAGGCCAUGUCUGUACAUGCUAGGCUCGUCAAGUCAACCUAAGUGUAUUGCGUGUGUUCCGAGGCCAUGUCUGUACAUGCUAGGCUCGUCAACACCCGUUGUAUGCGAACGUUAGAAUCUAUCACGCCCGAUCAUAACGUGGUGCUUCGAAACAACGAACCUUCGCAACGGUGCACAGUUAGGGGGAACACUUUCUUGAAAUUAUCAUAAGGGAUCAUCUUACUUACUACCGUCGUUCUAAGCAAAUAAGAUGCAAAAACAUGAUAAACAUCACAUGCAAUCAAAUAGUGACAUGAUAUGGCCAAUAUCAUUAUGCUCCUUUGAUCUCCAUCUUCGGGGCACCAUGAUCAUCUUCGUCACCAGCAUGACACCAUGAUCUCCAUCAUCAUGAUCUCCAUCACUGUGUCUUCAUGAAGUCGUCCCGCCAACGAUUACUUCUACUUCUAUGGCUAACGCGUUUAGCAACAAAGUAAAGUAAUUUACAUGGCGUUAUUCAAUGACACGCAGGUCAUACAAAAUAAUAAAGACAACUCCUAUGGCUCCUGCCGGUUGUCAUACUCAUCGACAUGCAAGUCGUGAUUCCUAUUACAAGAAUAUGAUCAAUCUCAUACAUCACAUAUAUCAUUCAUCACAUCUUCUGGCCAUAUCACAUCACAUAGCACUUGCUGCAAAAACAAGUUAGACGUCCUUUAAUUGUUGUUGCAAGUUUUUACGUGGUUUGUAGGUUUCUAGCAAGAACGUUUCUUACCUACGUAUGACCACAACGUGAUUUGCCAAUUUCUAUUUACCCUUCAUAAGGACCCUUCUCAUCGAAUCCGUUCCGACUAAAGUAGGAGAGACAGACACCCGCUAGCCACCUUAUGCAACUAGUGCAUGUCAGUCGGUGGAACCUGUCUCACGUAAGCGUACGUGUAAGGUCGGUCCGGACCGCUUCAUCCUACAAUACCGCAGAAACAAGAUACGACUAGUAGCGGCAAGAAGAAUUGGCAACAUCAACGCCCACAACUGCUUUGUGUUCUACUCGUGCAUAGUAACUACACGCAUAGGCCUGGCUCAUGAUGCCACUGUUGGGAAUCGUAGCAUAAUUUAAAAAUUUUCCUACGCUCACCAAGAUCCAUCUAUGGAGUAUACUAGCAACGAGGGGAAAGGAGUGCAUCUGCAUACCCUUGUAGAUCGCGAGCGGAAGCGUUCCAAUGAACGUGGAUGACGGAGUCGUACUCGCCGUGAUUCAAAUCACCGAUGACCGAGUGCCGAACGGACGGCACCUCCGCGUUCAACACACGUACGGUGCAGCGACGUCUCCUCCUUCUUGAUCCAGCAAGGGGAAGGAGAGGUUGAUGGAGAUCCAGCAGCACGACGGCGUGGUGGUGGACGUAGCGGGUCUCGGCAGGGCUUCGCCGAGCUUCUGCGAGAGGGAGAGGUGUAGCAGGGGAGCAGGGAGGCGCCCAAGGCUGUAAUACUACUGCCCUCCCUCCCCCCCCCUUUUAUAUAGGCCCCCUGGGAGGGGGGCGCCGGCCAGGAUCCCAUCUGGAUGGGGGGGUGGCGGCCAGGGGGGAUACUUGCCCCCCAAGGCAAGUGGGGCGCCCCCCCCCCCACCCUAGGGUUUCCAACCCUAGGCGCAGGGGGGAGGCCCAUGGGGGGCCUCCCAGCCCCAUAAGGGCUGGUUGCCCUCCCACUUCAGCCCAUGGGGCCUCCGGGAUAGGUGGCCCCACCCGGUGGACCCCCGGGACCCUUCCGGUGGUCCCGGUACAAUACCGAUAACCCCCGAAACUUUCCCGGUGGCCGAAACUUGACUUCCUAUAUAUAAUUCUUCACCUCCGGACCAUUCCGGAACCUCUCGUGACGUCCGGGAUCUGAUCCGGGACUCCGAACAACUUUCGGGUUUCUGCAUACUCAUAUCUCUACAACCCUAGCGUCACCGAACCUUAAGUGUGUAGACCCUACGGGUUCGGGAGACAUGCAGACAUGACCGAGACGCCUCUCCGGUCAAUAACCAACAACGGGAUCUGGAUACCCAUGUUGGCUCCCACAUGUUCCACGAUGAUCUCAUCGGAUGAACCACGAUGUCGAGGAUUCAAUCAAUCCCGUAUACAAUUCCCUUUGUCAGUCGGUAUGUUACUUGCCCGAGAUUCGAUCGUCGGUAUCCCAAUACCUUGUUCAAUCUCGUUACCGGCAAGUCUCUUUACUUGUACCGCAAUGCAUGAUCCCGUGACUAACGCCUUAGUCACAUUGAGCUCAUUAUGAUGAUGCAUUACCGAGUGGGCCCAGAGAUACCUCUCCGUCACACGGAGUGACAAAUCCCAGUCUCGAUCCGUGCCAACCCAACAGACACUUUCGGAGAUACCCGUAGUGCACCUUUAUAGUCACCCAGUUACGUUGUGACGUUUGGCACACCCAAAGCACUCCUACGGUAUCCGGGAGUUGCACGAUCUCAUGGUCUAAGGAAAAGAUACUUGACAUUGGAAAAGCUCUAGCAAACGAAACUACACGAUCUUUUAUGCUAUGCUUAGGAUUGGGUCUUGUCCAUCACAUCAUUCUCCUAAUGAUGUGAUCCCGUUAUCAACGACAUCCAAUGUCCAUAGUUAGGAAACCAUGACUAUCUGUUGAUCAACGAGCUAGUCAACUAGAGGCUUACUAGGGACACGUUGUGGUCUAUGUAUUCACACAUGUAUUACGAUUUCCGGAUAACACAAUUAUAGCAUGAACAAUAGACAAUUAUCAUGAACAAAGAAAUAUAAUAAUAACCAUUUAUUAUUGCCUCUAGGGCAUAUUUCCAACAAACGGAUGCACUAAGAAGGCACCCCAAGGUAAUAUCCAAGGAGACUCAAGCGUCGAAGCUUGGGGAUGCCCCGGAAGGCAUCCCCUCUUUCUUCUAAUGACUAUUGGUAACGCACUUGAGGCUGUAUUUUUAUUCAUCACAUGAUAUGAGUUUUGCUUGGAGCGUCUUGUAUGAUAUGUGUCUUUGCUUUGUUUAUUUUUAGUUUAUCAAAAUCAUCACCUCUGAACACAUUUGCUUGAGAUAGCUUCACGUCAUCAUGAUUUGCUUGAAUUGCCCUUUGUGCUUCACUUAAAUUUGUUGAGCUAGGUGGUUGCUCUAGUGCUUCAUUUAUAUCUUUUUUAACACGGUGGUGCUUUUUUUUUGAAGAAACUUGUUCUCAUGCUUCACUUAUAUCUUUUUGAGAAUGCUAGAAAUUUUAUAGAAAUAUUAGUCUCAUGCUUCACUUAUAUCUUUUUGAGAGUUUGAAAAUACUUAUGGUAAAAUGUACAAGCUAUAAGCUUGGUCUCCAUAUGAUGAAUAUUCAAGAAGCAUAAUGAUAACUAGUAUAAAAAUUUAUGGGACAUGAAAAAUUUGAUUCUUUGCAACAAUUUUGAGAUAUGUAGAUGAUGAUAUGUGAGUUAUGUUCAUGAAUAAUUAUGCUCUAGUAUGAAUAUUGAUGUUAAGGUUUAUGAUUCCCUAUGAAAGCACGUAAAGUCAAUAGUUAUGCAAUGAAGUACAUCCUACUUGUGGUGCAUUAUUCGGUGUUAGUUAUGUUUAAUGUAUGCAUGUGCAUCAUUACAGUUUCUUAGUUGGUCGCUUCUCAACCAUUUUGCUAGCCUCCAUUUGUACUAAGCGGGAAUACUACUUGUGCAUCCAUUACCUUAAACUUGUUUUGUCAAUUGUGUCCAUCAUACCUACCUAUAUACGGUAUUUCAUUGCCGUCCCAAGUAAAUAUGCAUGUGCCAUCUCUAAUAAUUUUUAAAAUAAACUUCUCUUUUGUGUGCCUGUAUUGCUCAUGAAGUGAUAAGGGGUGGACGAUGAAUUCCGUGUUGUAUAUGUCAUUCUCAUGAUGAGUGUUUAUUCACUUGUCAUUGCACGAGAGUGUGGCGGUAAUAAAAGGGAUGCCCAGUCCCAAAAAUAAAUUGAAUUUCCUAGAAUGUGUUGUUAUGGAGGGCACCCGUGAAUACGGCUAGACAUGGAUUGUGAAAGGAAAGGUGGGAAAACAAACUCCUUCGAAUGUGAAUGGAAAAAAGGGACAAAAGUCUCAAAACCAUGGAACGAUGACGGGGAGCAAAAAAUUUCUUUUCAGUUUGGGAACCGCCUAUGAUGUAUAUAACAUGGAAGGUAUCGAAAGCCUUGAGUCGUUGUCGUUGACAAGAAAAGCAGGCCUCCCAAAAUAAAAUUUUUAUCUCUUUUUAAAACUUGAGGUUUGGCACCACUGUAAAUCAAUGCUUCCCUCUGUGAAGGUCGUUCUAUUUAUUUUUAUGUUGAGUCUCAUCCUUCUCAUUAAAACACCAACUAGAGGGUCAUGUGAUCAUGUGUGUGAAUGGAGUAUGAUUGACAUUCGACUGUGUUUUAUAAAUGGAUCAAUGAUUGAGCAUAAUGGGCUAGGGAUAAUUUUCUUUAGCAUUGUUAUUUUAAAAGGCAUGGUUGCGUGUUAGCAUUACUUGAGUAUUUAUGUCUUCAUGUCAAACUAUAGAUUACUAGUCAUCAACCCGUGCAUCUCCAUGGCCUAGCUACUAUAGGGAUCCAUAAUUAUUAUGAAAAGUGUAUUAGCUUGUGAAAUAUUGUAGUUUAAAUUUGAAAUAUCGCACAAUGCUAAGUUUUUCAUAUUAAUAAGAAAAUCAAUUAUAUUCCUUCAACUAAUGUUUAUUAAUAGGUUUAUGUUCCUCUAUGGUGUUCCAAUGCACGACAAUUUAUGCAUACUUUUCUACUUGUCUUGCAAUUGCGUGAUUUCACAUAUAAAAUUAAUGACCAUGUUAACGGUGAUAUAUGUGAUCCACCGGGGGAAUUUAAUAGGCUUAUUUUCCUUAACAUGUGGCUUGAGGACUCCUUAUUUGUACGUUUCUAUUUUCUUACUUAAAGCAGACGGGUACAUAGUUUAUGUUUUUGUGCGAAUUGGGAUGUGUAAUCCUUUUUUAUAUGGAAAUUCAGAAUGUAUCUAUCGAGCAUGAAAUCAAACGAUGUAGUAUCUCAUAAUACUCGGGAAAAAUGUUUAGCUGUAAACAUUUAAAUUUAAUGGAUCUGGUUGUGAAAUGCCACUAUUUUGAAAUACUCGACGCUCUGCUUUUCGAACCCUAGUGAAAAAACCAUUAAUAUUCCAACCCCUAAAAAAGCAAUCAUAUUCCUUUAAUUAUAUUUCAUAACUGGAUUAAGUUUAUUUUGUUAUGUGUGACCAUUUAUGCAGAUUUCUUUCUUCUUUAAAAAUUAGGUGGUUUCAUGUAAUAAAUCAAUGACCUUUCUUUUGUGAUAAUAUUUGGGAGCCACAUGGAGAGAUUCAUGUAUGCUUGUGUUUGAAUUAUUUUAUUUUGACUGGAUCUUGUUUUUGUAUGUGAGUAUUCAAAUUGAUUUUUCAAUUAUUAGGCGUGUCCGUAUUUGUACGUGUCAUUUUUUUUCCAUGUGACGCCGCCCUUUAAUAAUUUCUAGACUCCUUAUUUCGUCGUAAUUUUUGGACUCCUUAUUUGUACGUGUCCGUUUUUUCUUUCCUCAAGAGUACAUGCACAUGGUGUUUGUUUUUUGGGAAUUAGGAUAUACACACUUUUGUAGUGUGAGGAGAAUAUAUUUUAUUUUGUACGUGUAUUUUUUUUUCUUUUUUUAGGAAGGAGGAGGCACGUGCUUUUUAAAGUUGGACCAUAGCUCUCUUUUAUAGCAUAAGGAGUUCUUUUUUUGCACGUGACGCAGCCCUUUAAUAAUAAGAAAUGUCUCAUUUUUGUACGUGUGGGUUUAGAUGAUUUUUCUUAAUCGCGGUGGCUCUAUUUGAUAGCGUGAGGACUCCUUUUUUUCACGUGAUGUCUUCUAUUUAUAAUAGGAAGUGUCUCUUAUCUUUGUAAGUGUGGGUUUAAUUCUUUACGCCGUGUUUUUUUAUAAGGAAAGUCUUCUAACAGAUCUUGACCAUUAAAUUUUCAAUCUAAUGGCUAAAUUAAGCUUGAUGAUGUGGAUUAACGUGGAAGCUCGUAUGGUGCCUCCAAUUAAUAAAUAUAAGAUUGCUUUGAAUCAUACAAGUCCUCUUGUCUAUGCUAUAAAAAUAAAUUGAGUAUGUUGGGUAGCAUUCCACAAUCAAAAAUAUGUUUUAUCACUUUCCUACUCGAGGACAAGCAGGAGUUAAGCUUGGGAUGCUUGAUACGUCUCCAACGUAUUUAUUAUUUUUGCUUGUUCCAUGCUAUGAUAUUAUUAUUCUUGUAUGUUUUUAUAUCAUUUCAUACAUUUUUAUAUCAUUUUUGGAGACUAACCUAUUAACUUAGUGCCUAAUGCCAGUUUCUGUUUUCUGCCCUGUUUUUGUUUUACAGAAAAUCACUAUCAGAUAAGAUCAAAUCGUCCCAAAACUUUUUAAAGAUUUUUUUCUGGAGAUAAGGAUCAGCUUCAACUUGAAAACCAAGGAAGAAGCUUCUGGAGGGCCCCACAUGGGGGGCGCGCCCUGAUGCCAUGUGGGCCCACUCUGUGUCCUUUUGCCCUACUUCCACCUCUAUAAAUUCAGAAGAAUUACCAAAACCCUAAGACACCAGAUGAAACACUUUUUUCGCCGCCGCAAGUCUCUGUUCUCGCAAGAUCCCAUCUGGAGGCCUUUUCCGGUAUUCCGCCGGAGGGAGAACUACUCACGGAAGGGCUCUACAUCAUCCUUGCCACCUCUCUGAUGAUGCGUGAGUAGUUCACCAUAGACCUACGGGUCCGUAGGUAAUAGCUAGAUGGCUCUCUCUCUCUCUCUCUCUCUCUCUCUCUCUCUCUCUCUCUCCCUCUAUGUUCCUCAAUACAAUGGUCUCCAUGGUCUUCAUGGAGGUCCAUCCGAUGUAAUGACUUUGUGCGGUGUGUUUGUUAGGAUCCGAUGUAUUGUGAGUUUAUGAUCAGAUCUAUCCUUGUUUUAUUUGAGUUCUUUGAUGAUCUCUUUUAUGCAUGAUCUAGAAUAGCCUUGUAUUUCUUCUCCGAAGUUUUGGUUUGGUUUGGACAGCUAGAUUGGAUCCUCUUGCAACGGGGAGAGGUGCUCGGUAAUGGGUUCGAUCUUGCGGUGCUCGGUCCUAGUGACAGAAGGGGAGUUGACACGCAUGUAUUGUUGCCAUUAAGGAUAACAAGUACGGAUGAAUUCUUAUUUGUGUUUGUCUUGACUACAUCAUGCCAUUGAUCUUUAUGCAUUACUUCGUUCCUAUGAACUUAAUACACUAGAUGCAUGUUGGCUAGUAGUCGAUGUGUGAAGUAAUAGUAGUGGAUGCAGAAUCGUUUUGGUCUACUUGUUUUGGAUGUGAUGCCUAUGUUAUGAUCAUUACCUUCGAUAGCGUCAUAAUUAUUUGCUCUUCUGUCAGUUGCCCAACAGUAAUUUAUUUACCCACGGUAUGCUAUUUUCUUGAGAGAUGCCUCUAGUGAACUCUACGGCCUGCGGGUCUACAUUUAUCAUAAGAUCUAUCUUGUUUUACUUAUACACAAAUACCAAAAAUAUUUGUUGCAUAUUUUUAUCUUUUAUUUAUUUAUCAAUCUAUCAAUCUAUCAUAUACCAUUUAAUCUCGUUACUUGACCACCGAGAGAUUGACAACCUCUCGUUUGCGUUUGGUGCGAGGGUUUGCGUUUUGUGUGUAGGUGUUGUUUAUGUGGUGUUGCUUCGUUCUUCUACUGGACUGAUAACCUUGGUUUCUUAACUGAGGAAAAUACUUACUCUACUGUGCUGCAUCAUCCUCUCCUCUUCGGGGAUAAAAAUCCAACGCAAUCUACAAGUAGCACCUUGCGACAACCGAUGUGGCGAUGGAGAUCGGCCUGACACCCACACUAACCGAAAUUACUUGGUUAAGAAGGUCAUGUAGAUCGUAAGCGGCAAUGCGGACAAGACGAACCCUUGUAACAACAACGAUAAGGACAUGCUACAACCCGGUAAAGGGGAACGGCAGGCAGAAGCAGUACCCACUACAAACAAAGGAUGUAAAUAAGAUUUAUCCAUCUCACACCUCCAAGAAAGAUCGAAAGCGUGCUGUCCACGAGGUAUAUUCCGUGGAGUCCUUUGAGCCAAAAUACAAUCCUUGGUUGAAAAUCCUGAUCACAUGUAUUUGUCAUGACCACCAGACUAUCGUCCACCAUGGCGGUUUGCCCGCACUUGUCUUGGACCCGAUAUUCAACAGUUUCCACCUCAUCGAGCUUGAACCUCAGCUACGUCGAUACACUGAGAAAGAUGCACUUCGACAAGUCAUGUAUCGAGCUGGUGAAAACCAAGUUCAAGGGUAUUAUAUAUCACGGGCAUGAGGCGCACUAGAAGGGUCACACCAGACGGGGUGUUCGGUACCUCAUACGUCUACUGUUUGGAUCCUCUAAGCUUUGACGUAGUCCCUUUCAAGUGUGGUUAUCACUCCCUCCUCGUGUCAGACCGCGUUCGCGCGCUUUGGCAUCGUCACACAUUAUGCUUACAAGAAGCUCAAGAUGUCAGGCCCGAAUGUCGUCAUCAUCUUGGGGAACAUUGAGCGAUCUCAUAAGACUCAGAAGACCACGUUGGUUCUAGCGGUCGAGGCCGAGGCAAUGGCCUUAGCAAAGAAGGAGAUUGCUGACAUGAGGACCAAGGUCAACAAAGACUAAAUAAUCUUCACCAAUUGCACAAAGUCAACGUCAUUCCAGCCUGGCCAUGACAUCGUAAAGUUCCAGGUGCACACCAAGGAUCCGGCCAAUAGAUCUACAAAAAAGUAAGAACAUCACUAAUCAAAGAACAAACUAGAGCAGCAAACAACAACAACAGGAGGUCAGCUGUUGAAUCCACAGAGGGAGCAAAGCAAAAAUCAGCAAGCACGAAUGCAGCGGAAGCUCGAACUCAAAGUAGCCGUGGGAGCUGCAACAUAAAUCGCCAGAGAAGAACCCACUCCCCCUAACCAUCUUUCUCUCCCGGUUGAAGAGUGGCUACUCGACACCAUGUGAAGCAUCCAGAAAUUAAACUUGGAAAAUAAAGGCAACAAAGACACCCGCGACUUAACGGGCGGUAGCGGUUACUGGGAAAAGAAGCUGGCCCGAUAAGAAAAACUGAUAUCCUCCAUCGGGAAUCACAAAGCAAGAUCGAAUGACUAGAAAAUUUGACAGAAGCCGAAUUGUAAUCAGUCGAAUGAAAAAUAGCAAAACCUCUGUCGGGGGUUGAGACGCUUCAUCAAUAACUUACAAGGGGGAGGGGGGCUCCGACAAGAGCGAGUCCUGAUGCCUGUCACCCUCCAUUUUUUUUCCUCACAAAGAGAUAAAGACCUUUCUGAAUUGUUCCACAUUGAUUUAAUCAAUGGAAACAUUUCUUAGGUAUGAAGAUGAUUGCCAAAUCCUGAACCAAUCCCAGCAUAUUCUACCUCAAGCUCCAUGCUUCGCUUUCCAUUGGAAAAAAAGAUAGUGGUAGAGGAUAAAGAAAACAAAUUAUGUAGAUGACACACAACACCUAAAAGAAACAAAUUUUGUGCUGGUCAAGGACAUGACCCCGCCUGGACCUGUUUUCUCUACCACAAAUAUUUGAAUGAUUUGAUGCCUGAAUUUGCAGCAACCAUAUAUACUCCAACGACACAUAUACUCCAGCGAAUAUAUGUGAGAACCAAUUAAGCUGGAUAAAGUUUCCAGCCCAAAUCAAUGUACGUCCUUUUUUAUUGCUGCGUGAUUUCAAGUGUUUAUAUUUGACUUGUGUUGCUGCUUGAUAUGGACAGACCUCCACAUUGUUAUGUAUGCACAUUUCCUGUAAUACGCAAACUUCUGUUAGGAUGAUCUUUAGAUUUCUUACUUUGAGCCAUUCUUGCGACUAAAUUGAGUUGUUAUCAUAUCAGCGACAGCAAUUAAUAUAACUCUUCUAACAUAAUUAAUUGUGUCUGUAAACAGAAUAACAUAAUUAUAUAUUGUUUGGAUGCGUUUCGAAACCUAACUGCUCCUGCUCUGCUUAUAGGAUGGAUGGUCAAAACUUGCUUGUACUGUAUACAUGAUGUUUUGGAUUUCUUGUUCCAUUUCCAUGUCCAUCACAAUGCAUAUGUCAACAGUGACAUAAGAAGAAAGAAAAAUCGAAAAGAGCAUAAAACUUCCGGUCUCCGCAUAAUAGCAACAUAACAAAGAGAUAGACAACAAAAUAAAGUGAUUAUUCACUACAUGCAACAAAGGAAGUAAUUCUUUGCCGUAUAACUUUGAUGUCUAGCCCAAUUUAUCUAUUUGUAACAGCUUGAUACACUAAUAAAAAAAUCCAUUAACGAAAAAGUAUGAUCCCUGACAUAUACAGUAACGCUGUUGUUAAAUCUCAAUAAUACAAAACUCACAUGAUUCCACCAUGUAACAUAUGCGGGUAUUUUACCAUGUAACAUAUCCCAGUGAGCACAGGCAAACUAAUUAACAAGCAGCAAGAACCAAACGAGACAGAGAAAGAGAAAAAUAAACAGGUAGAACAGGGUGAAGCGGGGUACUCUACUACUCAUGAUGAGGAGCCGAACUCGAUGCGGACGCCAACGACAAUGAGGAAGAAGGCAUUGAGCGCGCAGAAGAUGAUGGUGUGGAUGAGGAUGGAGACUACGCUCGUGUGGAAUUUGCCGCACUCGAUCGUCCGUGAUUUGCCGGGGAUCUGGAAGAGGAGCCCCGGGGAUAGAAGGAUGAAGAGCAUGAAGGAGAUGAGCACCGGACCCCAGUCUUGCAUCUUCUUCUUCCUCCUCUUCUUCUUUGGGAUGAUGAUGAUGAUGGCUACUCAAGCCAGCUACAGCUAUGCUUCUAGAGGUAGAUAGAAGAUGGCCUUUUCUUUAUUUAUGGAUGGCUUUCCAUUCUUUGUGUGGAUUAUCACUUAUAUAUGUACUGCCAGGACAGCAGGGCAAAUGGAGUGGUCUCUAGAAAGUUUUGUUUCUGAAAGAACUUGUGGUUUCCAUAAGAUGCAAAACGAGACUAGCUUCUUUAUUCUGUGAAAGAGGAGGGCGGAAGCAACCAAUCAGAGUGGCUUGCUUCCUUUGUCUGUUUGAGUUUUUUCUGCACAAACUUAAUUAAUGAACGCAUUUUCUGGACAGCAAAAUUUCCUCCAGGAUAUGGACAGAAAUGAGAAAUUGCCCGCUCUCUAAAGUCUAAACCAACAGUAAAAUCUUACAUGGACCAUACUGAUACCAAUGCCAUAUACUCCCUCCGUAAAGAAAGUACUAUUUAGAAGUACACUCCUAUAUUUCUUUAUAGAGGGAGUACUAUUUAGAACUAGUUGUGAAUCAUCUCAAGAAGGUCAAAAUUCAGAAAGCUCACCAUUAAAGUGUAGGUUUGCGGUUAGACCUUACUCCUUACCUUAAUAGGGAUCUAGCUCAGUCUGACUUCCACAACCAUUUGGUUAUUUUUUUAAGGUUAUUUUGCUACAUACAAAGCUAGUUAAUGCAUAAUAUUGUGGUUAGGAAUGAACAUCUCCACGUGUGCCCGAAUGGAAACACCGACGGAUAACGCUAUAUGCAGAAAAUAACUUAGUUUGCCUUUUAUUCCCAAGUUUGAACUAGUGCCAGUCUAGUCCACACAUGAUAAUGCAUGGCACUUUAUUUUUCACCGCUACAUGGAUCGGACCAUUGACUAAACAUUGGUGGUCCAUUUUUCGGAUACUAGAACUCUCGUCUUCUCAGUAGCCGCCCAUGUCGGUAGUGACGUCACUGGAUGGUGAUAUGGUGGUGUAGCAGUAUGGUGGAACAUGCACGUCGCACAUUGCCGGGAUGGUCUGAAUCACCCAUGUCCCUAUCACCGCAAUCCAACCCUGAUCCAGUUGUGUUUGUUGUUGUGGCUGGCUAGAACCCAGACCCUGUUGUUGUUGUUGACCUUGUUGUUGCUGCUGCUGAGGUUGGGUGGAAGUAGCUUGUACCAAUUGUUGUUGUUGUUGCAAAAUAAUGGCGUGCACGACGUUGUGGAUGGCCUCGCAUCUUGACUGCUUGGGGAUCGCUUUUAGUUGCUGACAGCACUGCUCCCACAUUACCAAGCAGCUGCUAUGUUGCACCACCUGUGACCGGAGGAAUGACAUAUCAGCAACUGGGCUACACUGUUGUAGGAGGGCAUCCCUGCAUGGGUUCAACUUUUGAUGUGGAACUGGAUGUUCUUGUGGCUGCGGAGUUGGUUGAUGCUCCGGAGAUGAUGGAUGUUGCGGCUCCCAAGCACUACGGAAUGCAGUAAAGGGUUCGGCGGCCGUGGUGGUCGCCGCGACAACAAUGAGGGCAAGGACGAGGAAUUUCUUCAUGGUUGAUUUGUGUUAGAUAAUGUUUGUUCUCCAGUUGAGUGAAUGGUGGGUGCUGGAGGAGUGUCUUGAUUGUUUAGGCCUAUUUAUAACCGACAUGGCAUCGCCUUUUUUCAUCUUUGCAUUUCCUUUCCUUAAAAGUGCAUGGAUGCUUCUCGGACUCUAUCAUUUGGUAUGCUGCGUUAGGUGCAACUACUUACAAGCAUAUUCCUGCACUGAUCAUCAAAGUUCUUUGUUGUUGCAUGUAUCAUUCCGCUAUCAACAAAUCUUGAUAAUUGACAUAACUCAUCUUACUUACUUUACAUGUCAAACAUCGAUCCGGAUUGCAACAUUUUCUAAAACUGGGUUUGUUAUAUUCUACAAGUUGUUACGCAUAAACUAGAUUAGCUUGCCUUGUGCCGAACUAAAGUUUGUAAUUUUGUGUGGCCUGUAAAGAUACAAUAGACUAGUAUUGUAACUUGCAAAAGUAGAUGAUGACAUGAUUCGUCAAAGUCCCUUUACAUGCCAAGGAUUGUAAUGUCGUACAGGAUUAGUAUAAGGAUUUACACUCAAGUACAGGCGAAGAUUUGUUCAAGAUUCCAUCUAUUUGUCGAAUUAAACCUGUACUGUUGUGCAAAUCGUUAAGAUAAUCAAGUAUUGUUUGCUGAAUAAGUUCGGGAUUGUUCAUGACUAGUGUUAGCACCGGGGAUUCCUAAGAAUGAUACAGAGCAUGUACAUAUAAGUAUGAAUAGAUAUGCAUCCAGGCGUUUCAUCAAUCUGCAAGAGAAAUCACAAGCCAUCUGUUAAUUAAGCUACAAACCUACAAAACAAAUAUGCGUCCAGAAAAUGUACCGGAUUUCAAAACGUUCAUGUUUGCAAAAAAUGUUCUCAUUACACAAAAAAGUUCAAAACUUUCUAAAUUCAGAAAAUGUACCGGAUUUCAAAAUUUUGUUCACGUAUUCAAAACAAAGUUCACGCUUCCAAAUUUUUUCGGGAUUUUUCAAAAUUGUUCUCCGUUUAAAAAUUUGUUCUCAAAACUAAAAAAUGUCGGUGCUUUAAAAAGUUGUUCGCGCUUCAAAAUUUGUGCUCAAGAUUCAAAAAAUAUUCGUGCUUUAAAAAGUUGUUCACAAAUUCCAAAACCAUCAUGUUUUAAAAAAUGUUUGGGAAAUUCAAAAUGUGUUCGUUUUCAUAAAUUUCGUUUGCGUUUGUGAAAAGAUCAUACGAUCAAAAAAUUUGGAAAAAAAGGGAUUUUGCCAAACAGUGUUAAGUCCGCAACUGUACUUCGUUUCUUUUAGAUUUCCGCUGUAUUUCGGUCGACAUGCCAGUUCGUGCAAGCAGGAAGUGCCAUGUUCCAUUCCUUGCCACCGCGCGCUACCCUGUUUUGUGUUUUUCACGCUCGUAUUCGAAGUGCACUGAAUGGGCAGGCCUACUCGGCACCCCCUGUGCGACAAGGCGUAUAUUUGCCGCAGAACGCGGCAAAUAGGAGCUCCCGCCAUGCGAAGCGCUGAAUCGCGGACGCCCCGCUCCCCCGCGCGAUGUUUUGGGCCGGCCCAUGUGCGGCGCAGGGGGUCCUUUUUUGUUGUUCUCUUCCAUUUUUUUUCUUUUUCGUUGGUAGUUUUUUUUUCUUCUUCUUCUUUUUACCUUUUUAAACAAUAUUCAAGAUUUUCAUAAAAUUUUCAUGAUUUUUUUAAAUCAGCAAAUUGAAAAAUAUUAAUAGCUAUCAAUAAAAUGUUCGUGCAUUUAAAAACAAAUUUAAAAAUGAAAAAAAUGUUCCAAUUCAAGUAAAUGUUAGUGCAUUUCAUAAAAUCUUCACUCAUUCAAAAAACGUUCUUGCAUAUCUAAAAAAUGAAAAAUAAAUUGUAUCUGAUGAACAAUUUUUGAAUUCGAUGAAUUUGAUGAGGAAAUUCUGAAUUGGAUGAACAAUUUUUGAAAUCGAAGAACUUUUUUUAUAUAUUCAAGAACAAUUAAAAAAUGAUGAACAUUUUUUGUUUUUGACAGAAAUAUUUUGAAUUUGAUGAACAAAAUUGGGUUCGAUGAACAUUUUUUAACUCGGUGAAUUUUUUUGAAUUUGAUGACAGAAAAUGUUCAGGAUUUAAAAAACUGUUUGUGAAUUUGAAACAUUUGCAAAUAAAAAGGGAAAUAAAAAUAAAAAAAGAAAACGAAGACAAAAAAUAAAAAAAAUGUCUGUGAACGUUCUAGAACUUCUACUACUACUUCAUAACAAAAGAAUAAAGAGAAAGAAACAAUAGCCCAUACGUCCCACAGUGAUAUUCCGUUAUUAGCUAGCUAAUUAUACAAACAUUGAUGAUCAAUAAUACUACCUCCGUUCAAAAAUAACUGACGUGGUUUUAGUUCAAAUUUGAACUAAAACCACGUCAAUUAUUUCUGAAGGAGGGAAUAUAUACUAGUGUGGCUCCGCUCCUCAUCACUCACAGUCUAUCUGUCUCCAAUCAAGAGUUGGCCACCACAUCGUUUCUCCCUCCCUUAAUAAACUAGCUACUCCACAAAAUUUAAUUAGCUUAAUCAACUCAUCANNNNNNNNNNNNNNNNNNNNNNNNNNNNNNNNNNNNNNNNNNNNNNNNNNNNNNNNNNNNNNNNNNNNNNNNNNNNNNNNNNNNNNNNNNNNNNNNNNNNNNNNNNNNNNNNNNNNNNNNNNNNNNNNNNNNNNNNNNNNNNNNNNNNNNNNNNNNNNNNNNNNNNNNNNNNNNNNNNNNNNNNNNNNNNNNNNNNNNNNNNNNNNNNNNNNNNNNNNNNNNNNNNNNNNNNNNNNNNNNNNNNNNNNNNNNNNNNNNNNNNNNNNNNNNNNNNNNNNNNNNNNNNNNNNNNNNNNNNNNNNNNNNNNNNNNNNNNNNNNNNNNNNNNNNNNNNNNNNNNNNNNNNNCUAGUUGGUGCCUUGCUAUUUGCCGGUCCACUGUGUGUUCCCGGGGCUCCACUUAGGGCACUUGGGGCUCAGGUACUUGCCCUCCACCAUGUCAUCGAGGAGCUCCACCACCGGGCCCUACCACACACACUCUGACACGUUGCACUGGUUGAUCGAUGCAUCGCGACCGAGCGCGUAGUCCAUGAUCUUGCCAAAGGUGCCCUUGGGAGACGAUGUGGAUCUCGAGGGGUCUGACGGAGCAGUCAGCUGCACGACAUUGCCGGUACACAUUGUUGGAGCUCUCACAGUCACAAGGACCGACUAGGCGGCAUGAUUGAUCUUCUUUUGCCGAUCCGCCUUUUAGGUUCACCUCUUAGCCAUUGAUUGUUGGCUCUCUGGAGUAUGUACCCUUUUUAUUUUCCUUUUUGCACUUGGGCUUGUUUGUGCGGUAGUCCUAGCUGACCUUUAUUUUUCGUUCAUGCAUUUGAACUAUCUGUAUUGAUGGGGUGGUUGAUUUAUAUAUAAAGCGGGGUUGUCUCAAAAUAUAUAUAUAUAAAGCGGGGUAAAACUCUAGUUCAAGAUAAACUUAAGGAGGUUGCCUGCAAGAUUAAAUUUGUGCCCUCUAUUUCUUUUCAGAUGUUGUUUAUGAGAAGAUACACCUCUAACAUUAACGGAAGGAGUAUAUACUUUUACAGACGACAGCCCAUGACAAUCUUGCAUCAAAAGUUUUUCACACCAUGUAAUUGUACACUCUGUGUUGUAAAUGAAGGGGUAGGUACGGUGAAAGGGGGAGGAUGAAGUAGUCCAAUCCUUUGAGAGUCGAUCCACCGCUCAUCAAGUUCUUAGUGAAGUCGAACAUGGAGGGGAAGGGGCUCCUUGAGCACCUAAAAUAGGUAAAUAAGCAAUCGAUGAAGAACAUCAUGAAAACAAGAGGGCAUGUUUGACUCGCAAGAUUCUAAAUAGAAAAACGGAAAGGUAGGAACAUGAUAUAAGAAUACAUGCAGAAAGUACAUGACUGACAAACAUAUAAAUGAGGAAUAUCAAAACACAAGAAUUAAUCCUAAUAAACAAUGUCAAACCAUAGUCAAACCACAUGGGAAAGUAUAAUUGGAACUAUACCGUUAAGGAUCUGAGCCUCGUUCUUCGUUUGUAGAAAUUUGAAAAAGAGGACCUAACGAAUUGCACAGUUCCUCGUUUUUCCUUUCAGAUCGAAGGGAAAUCCUUCUCCAUUUCCCCUUUGCUCCAUUCAUUUGAACCAAGUGUAUGAAUAGUGCACCAGAUGGAAAUUUUGUCGGGUUGGUCGCGACGGCUUGCGUGACAUCACCGUGGGAGCAACAAAGGCACCCUUAACAUGCAAGGUGUGUCAGGCGAGCUAUGUUAGCCAACCUCGCAUGACUGAAGUGGCAUAUGUCUGCUCUAUCAGACGAAGUGUUCCUCUUCGAUGUCACUGAGCUUCGUGGAUAUCCUUGUGCCUGCCCGGAUUGAUACAACGUUUUCGGUGUGCACUCUAGUAGCGGCGAAGGCGCUAGAGUUUCAUGAUGUUGUGUGGUGUUGGUCUUCUCGCGUGUUGUAUGUUUUGUGGUGCUUUAGGUCUAGUCUAGCUAGGCGUUGUUUAGGUUUCUGCCUGGAUUUCCUUGAUAUUUUGAGCAGUCCUUUUUCAUUCCUUCUUUUUUUGGCACUUGGCUUUAUGCGGUGCAUUUCUCCUUUGGGGUGUUACUGGUAAUACCCUUUUCUAAUCAAUGAGUUUGGCAUCUCUCCUGCCAACAUUAAAAAUAAUCUUACAUGGACCACAUUGAAGGUCAAAAUCCAGAAGGCUCACCAUUAAAGAGUUUACCUUAAUAGAGAUUCAGCUUGCUCCAAUUUUUAAAAAUGCGCUACAUACAAAGCUAAGUAAUGCAUAACAUUGUUUUUCGUAUGAACAACUCAACAUGUGCAUGAACGGAACACUGACAAAUAGUAUAUAUGCAACAAAAAAUAAAUAUCUUGUAUUUUAUUAAUUUGUCGCCGCUACAUGGAUCGGACCAUCGACUAAACAAUGGCAGUCCAUCUAUCGAGUACUAGAUCUCUUUUCUCAUUAGCCACUCAUGUUAGUAUAGCGAUGUUACUACGGUGAUGUGGUGGGGGAGCAGUAUGAUGGUACGCGGAGGUCGCACAUUGUCGGUAGGGUCUGGAGCACCCAUGUCCUUAUUGCAUCGAUCCAACCCUGAUUCAACUGAUGUUGUUGACGUUGGAUGGAACCUUGACCUAGUAGUAGUUGUUGUGGUUGGGCCAAAGUACCUUCUACCAAUUGUUGUUGUCGUUGUUGCAAAAUAAUGGCGCGCACAACGUUGUGGAUGGCAUGGCAUUGUGCUCGCUUGGGGGUAUGUGAUAGUUCCUGACAGCACUGCUGCCUCAACACCUGGCAUCUGCUUUGUUGUACCAUCUGUGACCGGAGAAAUGACACAACUGCCACUGGACGACACUGUUGUAGGAGGACAUCCCUACAUGGGUUCGGUUGUUGUUGUACAAAUGGUUGUUGUUCCUGAACUAGGUGUUCAUGUUGAUGUGGAAAUGGAUGUUGCGGUUGGGGGUAGGAUGGCUGUUGCGGUUGGGGAUAUGGUGGUUGUUGUGGAAAUUGUUGUUGCCUAAAUGGUAUCUGUUGUGCUGGAAAUGGCUGUUGUUGCGGAGUUGAUUGCUCCUCUUGAAAUGGUUGUUGUUGCGGUUGUGGAAAGGGUUGUUGUGGUUGUUGUGAAAAUGAUUUUUGUGGUUGCAAUUGGGGACUAUGGCGAUGGUAGCGAUGGAGGCAAGAAAGGCAAGCGUGAGGAAGAUCUUCAUAGUUUAUUCGUGUUGGAUAAUGUUUGCUUGCCUUUGAUGUGUUGUUCUCUAAUGUGAAUGGUGGAUGAUGGAGGAUCUUGAUGGUGUAUGCCUAUUUAUAGCUACCAUGGCAUUGUUUGUUUUCACCCUUGCAUUUACUUUUCUUGGGAAGUGCAUGCACGCUUCUCAACUCAUUAUUUCGUAUGUUGUGUCUGUUGGCACUACUUAUAAGUGUAUUGUUGGAUUGCUCAUCAAAGUUCUUUGUUGUUGCACAUAUCACUCCACUGUCACCAAAGCUUUAUAAAUUGAGAUAACUAAUGUUAUUCACUUUACAUGUCAAACAUCAAUCUAGAUUGCAUCGGAAGUUUCUGAAACUACUCCCUCUGUAAACUAAUAUAAGAACGUUUAGAUCACUAAAGUAGUUAUCUAAACACUUUUAUAUUAGUUUACGGAGGGAGUAGUUUGUAAUGUUCUACAGGUUGUUACACAUAAACCAGAUUAGCAUGCCUUACACUGAACUAAGUUUGUAAUCCUGUGUGGCCUGUAAAGAUACACAAGACUUUACAGUACAAUGUGACUUGCAAAAGUAGAGCAUGACAUGAUUCAAUAUUCUGUUGGUUUGCCAAACUAAGUUUGUAUUGCUGUGCGGAUCAUUCAGAUAAUCAACAGGUUUUGCUUGCUAAAUCUGCUCAUGACAAGUGUUGGAACUGGGAUUGCUAGGAAUGAUACCGAGCCUUUACAUGGCAUAAUUUUUCUGCAGCUCGAGGGAAAUUUAUUUAGCAGGUAAAAACAAAUAGAUAAGAGAUAUCCAGGCAUUUCAUGGAUCUGCCAGAAAAUUCACAAGGCAUUAUCUAUCAUGAACAAUGCUACAAAACAGGUUGAGGAAAGCAAUCACAUUCUUAUUCCAGCCGAACAGUAGUUGAAUGCCGUAUGCUCAGAUUAGAAAUAUUGGCUUCAACUCAGCAGUCUCUAACUAGUAGGAGAAAGACCUGUAACAAGUCCAGAACAAAAUCCAGAUGUGCAGAUCGAAGAUGAUAAGCCAUCUAAAACUCAGACCACUGGAAGCUCCCCGCACUCACUAAUGACCACCUUCUUCUUCGGACGGUCACCUCUGUCAGUCUCCGACGACUCUAUCGUCCUUACGAUGUCCAUGCCUUCAAGAACCUGGCCAAAGACAACGUGUCUCCCAUCCAGCCACGGUGUCUGCAAGCAAGGCAGCAGAAACCUCAAUAUGGAAUUAUGAACUUCAAACUCAGCAACAGAAAAAGGGUACUAUUAUUCAAAUUGACUGACUGGUAGCAGGAAGUACACAAUUAAUUACCUUCAUUGUGCAGAUGAAGAAUUGGCUGCCGUUGGUGUUCGGUCCAGCAUUAGCCAUGCUGAGCACUCCAGGUCCAGUAUGAACCACUAAGAACAUUAAAUAACAUAUAAUCAGUUAGCAUAUAAUCUGAAGCAAAGCUGUGCGACACAGGUUCAUUGCAACACAUACAUUGGAAGUUCUCAUCCUUAAAGGUGCGGCCAUAUAUGCUUUUCCCUCCAGUACCCUGAAAUUAUCAGUUUCUAGUUAUUUAAUGCCAUUGUUGGAAGCUGUAUGUUUCAUUUUAGGCAAUCUGAAGUCUCAAAGUACUUCAAAUGCAGAUGAAACACAAAAUCAGGUAUGGGCUCAAUAUAGGAAAGGAUGGCGCAAUGACAAUCACCUUGAAUUCUUACCACGAGGCCACUGACCAAAAAAACAGAGUAGGAUGCACUUGUGCAAGUGAUUAAUGACAAUCAAACAUGGAUAAGAUCCAGGGUCAAAAUGCAGCACCAUAACAAAUUGAAUGCAGGUACACGAGCAAAGCUAGUAGUAAAGGUUCUAAACUCCCUUUCCUUCUCCCCCAGUCCCUCUGGUCCGUAAAAUAAUGCUUAAACAGCUAGCAUAACUAUCAACAAACUGAAACAGGUACAUUCGUGCAAAAAACAAAUAAGCACAUGUAUCUGUUCAAUCUUGUAAGCAAAGGUAUUUGCAUGGUAACAACUGAUAGUCUUUAGCUUUUCUUAAUGCAAUCUGUAAUACGGCAUAAGGAUGCACAUGCAACAAACAAGAAUAGACGAAGGUAGGAAACACAUACGUUGCCCUUGUCAAAGUCUCCUCCCUGAAUCAUGAAGUCCUUAAUGACACGGUGGAAACUUGAUCCCUUGUAUCCGAACCCUUUCUCCCCUGGACAAAAGAAAAAAAGAAAAAUUGCUCAUACACCUCAUCAGAAUUAAUUCUUGAAGAUGGGAUAACAGAACAUGGCUCCAGCAGUCCCUCCUACCAGCGCAGAGUGCACGGAAGUUCUCAACGGUUUGUGGAACGUCAUCCCCAUAGAGCCCGAUGACAAUCCUUCCAACAUUCUUCCCGACAGGGUUGCCAAUGCUUAUGUCAAAGUACACCUUGUUUGUAACUUUGGACUGAAGCUCAGGUGCCUGCAAUGCAUGACGAAAGAACAGCUUCAAACACCAUGAAAUGCAUGACAUCUAUAAUAAGGUAAAAGACAUACAACAGUGCAAGCACAAAAGCGGCAUAUUGUUUAAACCAUACAGUGGCACAUUUGUUCCCUUAGACAGCCGGCGACUAAAACUAACUGGGCCAUAUAAUGUACUAAACACUAACACAUGCCAUACCAAUGUAUGGUAAUAUCUGCAUCUAACACUGGCAUAACCCGACGGUUAUCAUAAGUGAUGAUAAAACCUCAACUUGCAAAUUUGUUCACACAAAAAAAAAAUUAUCAGUUAGUGACCAGAUUUUUCUCAUGAAAAUUACAGCUACC